rnacentral:lncRNA from 1 species
GAUCGACAUCCACACAAUGUCAAUAUGAACAUUGUCUUGAUACAACUUUAUUUGUAUUUUAUUUCAGAAUUUAAACAACUAGUUUGGGCGGGUCACACACGACGUUGUGUGACACUUUAUUUGUCACCGCUGCAUCGACAUAUCCAUCGACUAAACAACGGUGAUCCAACUAUAUAUUACUAGAGACCUUUCCUUAUCAGUAGGCACCAACUCCGGUGCCAACGCUGAAUGGCACACUAGUGGUGGUUCUAUACAAGGGCACAUUGACACGGCACAUCGUUGGCAGGGUACGGAGCGCAAUGGAAGUCAUCACCUCAAGCUGAGCUAUCUGGUGUGGAUGCAAAAAGGUACCCUGUGCCAAUUGUUGUUGUUGAGGUUGUUGCCCGAGUUGCUGCUGCGACUGCUGUUGGGGUUGGGAAACGCAUUGGCCCAACUAUUGCGGUUGCUGCUGCUGAGUUUGGAUGGAACCCUGAACCUGUUGUUGUUCUUGCAGGACGAUGGAGUAGAUGAUAGCACGGAUUGCCUCAUAGCGGGAUUGCUGGGGGAUUUGCGGCAACUGCUGGCAACAUUGUUGUUGCAUCACAUGGCAACUGCUCUGCUGCAACAUUUGCGACCUAGCAAGACUUUGUGGCAUUGCCACAGGGCUGCAUUGCUGCUGGAGGAAUACCUUGCAUGGGUUUAGUUGCUGCAAGAUAGAUGGAUGAACAAAUGGUAUUUGUUGUUGCGGUAGAACUGAUUGUUGUUGUUGCGAAAAUGGUGGUUGUUGCGGUAGUACUGGUUGUUGUUGUUGCGAAAAUGGUGGUUGUUGCUGUGAAAAUGGUGGUAGUUGUUGCUGCGAAAAUGAUGGUUGUUGCGGUAGAACUGGUUGUUGUUGCUGCAAAAAUGGUGGUUGUUGCUAUGAAAAUGGUGGUUGUUGCGAUAGAACUGGUUGUUGUUGCUGUGAAAAUGGUGGUUGUUGCUGUGAAAAUGGUGGUUGUUGUUGCUGUGAAUAUGGUGGUUGUUGUUGCUGCGAAAAUGGUGGUUGUUGUUGCUGCGAUAAUGGUGGUUGUUGUUGUUGCUGUGAACAUGGUUGCUGUUGUGGAAAUGGUUGUGGUUGUUGUUGGAUAGGUUGUUCUUGUUGUUGGUGCCAUAAUGUUUGUUGUGGUGGUAAUGGUUGUUGCUGCGAUGGUCUCUCCAAACCAGGGAUGUGGCUAUUCUCCAUUUGUGCAAUGGCACUUGUCGCCGCAACGGCGAGGAGGGCAAAGAUGAGGAAGGUCUUCAUGGUGGAUUGGUGUUAACUAGUGUUGCUUGGUUUUGAUGCUUGUGCUUGUGACGAUCUUUAUACUUCAUGCCUAUUUAUAGUAGCCCGGGCACCACCUUUUUCUUCUUUGCAUUAGCUUUAAUAAUUUUGUUUGGAUGCAAAAAUGAUUUUUGGUACAAUGUGUUAGGUUGCACUAGCUACACGCGUACUUUUGGAUUGAUCAUCAAAGUUGCUUUUUAGUUGUGCAUAUGAUCACACAUAAAGUACAGAAACCUUGAUGUUUGGUAUAUAUGACUCACCUUAUUCACUUUACAUGUCACACACUUAUCUGGAUAGUAUCACUUUUGCAACCGAGUUUGGAACCUUGUAUAGGCUGUCAUCCAUAAACAAGAAAGGCAAAACUUGUGUAGGACUAAGUGUAGAACUAACUUUGUAUUUUUCCUCUAAAAUGAUUAGAUGAACCGACGCCUAUAGAGCAUGACAUGACUCAUCGAAUUCCCUUUACAUGUAAAGGAUGGUAAUUGCUUACAAGCUACUCCUACUAGCAUAUAUCCGGUCCUAACUCUUGACACGUCAUCAUCAGUUUCGCCUAUUUUUUUAGAUAAAUCAUCAGUUUCAUCUAUUUGUGAAGGGUUUUUUUGGGGGAAAUGAUAGUUUUUUUAUGCUAGGGGGAUUUUUUUGGGGGGGGGGGAUGACGCUAGGGGGAAAUGAUAGAUGGGGCUGGAACAGAGGCCCCCAGCCUGGAGCGAGAGAUUAGGCCCAACAUAAGUGCCGUGUGUUAGGGCACCAAUUCGAUUUGGGCUAUAGUUCUCGUAGGCCCCAACGACACAAGCCCAGCCCACACUCCGCGGAUCUGCGUCCCUCCCUUCCUCGUCCUCCUCGCCGGCCGGACCGCUCGCCGUCGCAGCCUCUCCCGGACGCCCACCGCUCGCGGCCCCUCCACGUACCUCCGCGGCAGCGGAGACGUCAGCCUCCCUCCCACCCUCAACAUCCGGCCCCCCACCACCACCACCACCGCUCGACAAAAAAGGUCACUUUUGAAGCUCCUCCGUCGAUUGUGGGCCGUACGUCGACGGCAGCCACUCCGACCUCCCCAUCAACACAAGGUAUCGAUUUGUUUCGUCUGUCUCUUCCAACGAUUCAAUGCACAUAAAUCCGAGAGGCAGACCCAUCUCCAUGCUAGCUGCACGGAUUAGGAGGGUCAGGCAUCAGAAUUCAGCUGGGAAGCCUGACAGUAAUGUACAUUUGUGGCUUUAGUAGCUGAAUAUAACUAUGUGCUUUCUGAGAAUUUCACUUCAAAAGUUCCAAUAAUCAUCAAAUUUCCCCCUAUGCGCGCUAAGCAGGUGGACCAUAUAUUUCUCAUGUCGACGAACGAAAAAACAAAACUCCACAACUAGAAGUCUAUGAUAUUGACACGGAACCGUGCUGUAGGGUCGCAAGUAAAAAUAUGAAAAGCAUGCCUAAUAAGCGAGAUGACGCAGUUCCUGACCGCCCCGCUACGACUAUUGGUUCCAGCGUGGCGUUUGAAUUAUGCCGCGCUAGAUGUCUUUUGUCCGGCGAGGAACAAGUGGGGUCAAGCGUGCUUCGGCAAUUCCCGCCGUCAGAAGACUUCCUUGUAGUCCGGUGUAGAGGUGAGGUUGUGGGGAGAUACAUCGACUAGCACUACUAGGGAAAAGGCUAGCAGCAGCGCGGGUUUUAGAUGUAUCAGUAGUGCGGGUACCCGCGCUACUAAUACGGCGCUACAGCUAACUCAUAGCAGUAACGCGUGAGCACCCGCGCUACUGCUACACAAGUGUAGCAGCAGCGCGGUUAUGAGAAGCUCGCUACCGCUAGUAGCGCUAGCGCUCUUUGGCCGGACGCUCUACUGCUAUUGAGGCGCUGCUGCUAACUUUUGUACACUCGCUACUGGUAAUUUAAGUAGUUUUUUGGCAUAUUUGUUUUGUAUUUGAACCGGCUUUGUAGAAGAAUCUUUAGCACAUAGAAAUGUCAUCAUGAUACACAUACAAAUGCCUGCGAGACCACAAAUGUAAUCAUAGCAUGUACAUACAAAUAGUCUCUUCAUAAUCAUCAUCCAACACAAAGUGAUAUCUUGUCAUCAUCUCGAAAAUAGCAAUACAUGCAAGUCUCGAAUACUUGCAACUACAACAACGUCAUCCAUCUAAACAAAGGUAUACGCAAGAAGUGCUAUCACUAUGAGUGAGAGCGGAACCAUGCAGUACAUGAGGUGGCGGUUAUGAGUCCUCUCUUGCGCUAGCGUGAACCUCAAGUAACUAGCUUCUCCUUCUUGUCUGCUUUUGAAGCCUUUAUGGCUGGCGCCCGUGAACCCAUUCACUUGCGCCUGACACUCAUGCCACUCGUUGUACACCCCCGGAACCUUCCCUUUGUACACGACAUAGCAUUUCCAUCUCGCCAUCAAGAAACUAGGUACCUGUUAGAGAUGCAUGUUCAUGAAGAGGAUGUACAAUCAUAUAUAUGCAACAAAAUAUACUAGAGCAACACUAAGAAAGAAAGGUUAGCAACUAGAUGCAACAUAUACAUUACGCAAAUUAAUUAACUAGAGGUACGCAGGUCAUCGUACGCAAACUAACAAAGUAGCGUUACGCAAGUUUGGCAGGGACCAUGGACAUCACAAAGUUUCAUCGCUACAAAAAGUAUACAAGUUCAACCGACACAUAUCAUCAUCAUCGGCAUCAUAAAUCACUAGAAGUUCCAUCCUUCCAUAUCAUCGAGGACGAACCCUAGCUGCUUGAACGGCGUGAGGUCUAGACGUUGCAUGCCUAUGCGAGUUCGGACGUCAGCUCGCGAUAUAGGGCCGUGGUGGAACAUCCCCUUCUCAUCGACGACUUCUUUCAUGAUGAUCAUCGCAAUGUCGCUUUGGAUGCGAAAGAAGUCAUCUCUAAGUUUAUAAUUCGCUUCUCCAUGAGAUUCUAGCCACUUGUGGAUAUGAUCAUCAUUUCUGCUGUUAAUGCGAAGCUUUUGGUGAUCCGUGUUGAACUGAAUCAUGAGAUGGACGAUGUAGAAUCCAUCCUUCUUGCUUGGUUUUGGGACGUGGAUGCAGGAGAAGUUAGUUUUAUGCGCGAAACCCAUCUUCUUGUUCCUUUGUUUCCUGAUAUGCACGUGGCCACCUCUAAAGUUGAAGCCUUGGAGAGCAUCAUCUAGAAUAUUCAUUAUGUGGGUGUAGUCCUUUUUCUCGUAGUCUCUAGAAGGGUCAAAAUACACGGCGUGGGAGACUUGCGGGUAAAGAAUGAUAAGGACGGCGCGCCCGUUGCUGCGGGGAAAAGACACCUCAAAUUAUUCCCCAUAUGAGAGAGAAGGAAUGAUUGAAAUGUACGAAAGGGUUGUCCGGAACUGACUUACUUUGGAUGAUAAGGCACGAGGACAAUUUCCCGGUCCUUAUUCUGUACCAUGAAGUUUUGGAGGUACUCCCUAGCAGUUUCACGCUCAAAGUCGCCGAGACUCAAGAAAGACUCGUGCAUGUAGUACGGAUCCGCCACACAGAUUUGCGAGACUUCUUCACUCUUCACGACGGAGCUCAUAUGUAGCGCAAAAAGGCGGACGAUAGUAAAAUCAAGCCGCCUUGUUAGAAACAUCUCAAAGAUAUGGUCAAACCGCAGGAAGAACACCUCCGUGGGCCGUGUGUCGACGUAGCACUUCCCCUCAGGCACACGAGCUGCGUAUGUCGGAUAUCCUGGAUCCUUUGAGGCUAGUAGGCUUUUCUCAGUCGACAGCACGUGGUCGUGCAGUCUCCUGAGAUUCCCUGAUAGUGCCUCCAGCGGUUUCGGCGGUAGCAUCGGCUCGCCCGUGAGAUGGAACAUGACCGCACCUUUCACGGGUACACGCUCUUCAGAAUGCAUCGUCUGGCUGCUGUGUGCUCUGGCUUGUUUGGAGGCAGUUACCUUCCCCAAUCUCUUCCUCUCCUUUUUCUUGGGCACACCUUCCAGACCCUUCCUUAACCCCUGCCCAAGUGUUCCCGGGCUAAGUAUUGUACGACCCUCACGCCCGGCUAGUUGAGCCUGUGUUGAGGCGGCAUCUUCAGGCGUGUCCUGUGAGGAUUUCAUGAAGAGAGACUUUUUGCAUUCCAUGGUACGGCCCUGCCCGGGCAUAUCAUCCAUAUCCUCAUUAGCAAGCUGAUAGCCCGAUUCGUCAUAUGGUUGACUCAUCAUAUCUAUGUCACAGUCAUACGCGUUUGUAUUGAGGUAAUCCAUCGGGUCGACCUCCGUCUCAUCAUCCAUUCUCUGUUCUACAGGAGAAAUUACAUCAGCCAGUACUAUUGCACCCCCUUCAUCAUGUCGUCCGCCGCUCUCACACGGCACUACUACAGGAGCUGGUAAUUGCGUAGGUGGGGUGGUGGUCUCCGCACAUGCUUGCUGAUGUGUGGUAGUUAUUGGUGUGCUCUCGGCCGGCUCCAGACGAAUAAGAUUCUUCGGCCAUAGCAGCACCCAACCCUUGCAGCGUCCAAUCCGCGGCGGGGUCUCGUCGUCCGCUCCCACCUGCUGUACUGGAGGAGGCAAAUCCUCGUGCCCCGAUUUCACACUGGUCAAGCUAACCCUGAAGUGCCCAGCGGGGAUCGGCUGGUUGUGGAAUGUGCGUUGAGAGGGGUCCAUUAUCAUCCCCUUUCCCACGUCCACCUUCUGGCCUUUGAUCAAGUAGAGUAUGGUGCAUGGGGUUUCUUUCGCCUGCAAACACAUAUGUCUGUGGUGUAAAACAACCGAAAGGCAACAAAAAUGGAAUAUUAUAUAUAUAUAUAUGUUGGUGCGACAUGUAAUUACCGUGACGGCGUCGAGCUCAGCCAAAGACGAAGGCCCACCUAGCGCGCCUGAGACUGAGGACGGGCUGCUAUGAGCUGGAGCGGCUGCGAGAGGAGGCCCGGUUGCUUGAGCAAGUGAUGGUGCGAUGGUGUUGUUCAUGGAGUUGCUCGCGACGAAACUGGGCAUUGGGAAAUCAUGUACCGUCUUGUCUGGAUUUUCCUUCGCCCAGUUGAUGAUAACUGGAACCAAGUUAGUAGCGAAAUCAUUUCUGCAGGCAUUUACAGCUGCAUUGACUGCCUGCUGUAGCAACUCAUAUUUGUCCUUGGCUGCUUUUUUCGCGUCCUCGGCUGCUUUUUUCUCGACCGCAAGCUUCACCUUUGCGUCGAUGUCCGCCUAACUAAACUUCUUUUUCUGCUUCUUGGCCUCCGGGCCGUCGUUGUAAAACACCUUCCACGUGGCGCCGUCUCCAGCGCCGUGCACACGACCAUAUUGCGGCCGCUGGUCCAACGGGAGUCCCUUAAGUUCGUUCAAGGCCCAGUUGAGAGGUGUGUCCCACUUGGGCCUCAUCGGAGAAGUAGGGCUUUCGGCUGCAAGCCGGUGUUGCUUCUCCAGUAGUCUAAUCAAUUUCCUCGUGAUCUUGUCCGUGUAAAAAACCUUUUUCUCCUUGUCCCACUUGUAGCGGGCCCUGAUGAAGUCAUGCUCCAAGGGGUUGGUGAACUUCGCGAAGGGGUCUGGGAGACCCGCGGCUUCACGUUCCGCGUCCUCCUUAUCCCAUAUGGGCCUUUUACCGAGGUAGCCACGGCUUCCGAGGCGAUGCUUCCCCAUGUUCCGGAGCUGAAGGCUUUUGAAUUUCGCAGCCUUAGCCUUGGCUGCCUUGGUAGCGCAAGUGUCCUUGAACUUUUCGAACUCCUCUUCCGUAAGUGUCGGAUUUUCCUCCAGAAUCUUGGACAGGGGUUCAUCAGCCUCAAUAGCUCGUUUCACCCUCCCUUUCCAGGAGGCCAAAUCAUUGCUGAACAUGCCCAUGGCGUGAUUGUUAAUCUUUUUCAUCUUCGGAUCAUCCCACGGUUGUUCUAUGUUAUCAUCCCGGUCGGGGAACUUGAAUCUCUUCUGCAACUUCGUUAGGAGCAACUGCGUCAAAUGUUCUUUACUCCUUAAGUCAUCAUCGUUGAUGCUCGCGCAUUCCCGUAGGAUGCAUCCUACUUGGUUCCCAUAGCACUUGCGAGGUUCUUCCGGCUCUAACGGCUCAAACUUUCCAGGUGCCAUCUUUGUGAUCACAAGUCGUCCAAUCCCUAGUUUGUUAGGUUUUCGUAUCCUCUGCUUCUUAUGCUUCCUCUUUUCGGUAUCGGCAUCGGGGCCGGUACCUUCCCCGCCGGUCUCGGCGCCGCCAUCGGUGCCGGCGCCGUCGGUGCCGGCACCGUAGGUGUCGAUGUCGGCGUCAGUACCAUCAUCGAGGCCGACCUGCAAACCUUGCUUAGCAGUCAAAUAGUCGAGGUACUCUUGUUCACCCUCAUAAUCCAUCUCGUCUGCAUCUUGGUCAGAAGGCCCAGUUUCUUCGUUGUUCGACAUGUUUCCUAUGAUUAAGUGGCCUCAUUUAUUUCUAAAAGUAUGAAUAAAUGAGAAAUGACAUAAAAAGAAAUCUAUGUGCCAACACUCGAUAUGCCAACUAUGUAGCACAAAUCAUGCCUUUAUUCACGGGAAAUUUCGGCAUGACCUUUGCUAAAAAAUGGACAUAUCGAGCGCCUGAAAUUCACCGAAACGGAAAUGAAUCAACAUUCCUGCGCAACAUAGGCCACUCGGAUCAUUUUCCAAACAUGACAUGUCCAAAACAUGACAUAUGCACAUAUCACAUGUCCAGUUCAAAUUUCCAUAUAAAUUCAGCUAAUUCAUAACUAAAUAGAUAACCUAAUUAAUUAACAUGAAGANNNNNNNNNNNNNNNNNNNNNNNNNNNNNNNNNNNNNNNNNNNNNNNNNNNNNNNNNNNNNNNNNNNNNNNNNNNNNNNNNNNNNNNNNNNNNNNNNNNNNNNNNNNNNNNNNNNNNNNNNNNNNNNNNNNNNNNNNNNNNNNNNNNNNNNNNNNNNNNNNNNNNNNNNNNNNNNNNNNNNNNNNNNNNNNNNNNNNNNNNNNNNNNNNNNNNNNNNNNNNNNNNNNNNNNNNNGGGGGCGAGCGACAUGGUCGGGGGCGAGCACGCCGGAGUCGGGGUCGAGAGCGGGACAGGGGCGAGCGCCGGGGCUGGCACCGGCGCCGGCAGGGUCGGGGGCGAGCGCCGGGGCCGGGUCGGGCACGGCGGAGCGACGGGGGCCGGAGAGAGAGUGGGGAUUUGGGGGGAAAUGGCGGGAUGAAGCUGGGCGAGUGCGAAUUUUGGGUUAAGUGGACGUAGCAGUAGCGGGUUAUGUCAAAACGCGCUGCUACUAUAUUCUGUAGCGGCAGCGGUUUAUGAGAAACACGCUACUACUAUGGUGCGUAGCUGCAGCGCUUUAUGGGAAACUCGCUACUACUAUGGUGCGUAGCGGCAGCGGUUUAUGAGAAACACGCUACUACUAAGAUCUAGCAGCAGCGGUUUUGUGGAAACGCGCUGCUACUGCCGUCGCUACUGCCAGGUUUCCUUUUUCUUUUCCUUUAUUUUAUCCCACUUUUAUUUCCCGAGGGCAAUGAACGAAGGGAGGGCGAUAUAUAUUGCAUCAUUUGACGGUUAAAUAUGUAUGCAAAAUAGGAACAUAUAUAUUACACAUCAUUGGACCCAUGCAUAAUAAUGACUAAGUGUGUAUACAAAUUAAAUAGGAACAUAUAUAUAUUACACAUCAUUGGACCCAUAACAUACGUUUCCUCAGUGCUGACGUUUUCGUUUUUGAGUCAGCUUCUUUCCCUUCUUGUUCGUCGAAGAAUAAUUGAGCCCCUCAUUGUGACUUUGCCUUUUCCAUGGAGUACGAUUUUUCUUAGGUAAUGUAGUAUUGAUUCUUCUUUUGACGUAUACUUCAUCAUCAUCAUCAUCUUCCCUCAUUGGGUUGCUGUACUGAUCAUAGUCUUCCUCGUUGGCGACUCCAUCCAUUCCAAUGAUGUUCCUUUUGCCUCUCCUCACGACAACACGGCUGGGAUUGCGCGGGUCAGUUAUGAAGAAACAUUGUGUCACGUGCUUAGCGUGUACCCAUGGCUCGUUUUUUGCGAUAGCGUUCAUGGUAGCGCUCUUGGCGUCGGGUAUAGUCAUGGUAGUGAACAUCCGGCUUUCUCUUUCGACAUUCUUAGCCCAUCUGACACGGAACAUCAUCGUGCUGUGCAGUCCAGAGUAGUCAAGCUCCCAGAUCUCCUCGACCCUUCCAUAAAAUCGUUCAGUUGUGCCGUUGUCGCUGCCGGUCAUGCAUUCCAUCGUCACCCCUGAGUUCUGAUCAUCACUGUCCAUAUCUUUUGCCUCUGUGUAGAAUGUGUAUCCGUUGAUAUCAUAUGCCUGAUAGGUUACGAGGUUGGGCGAGGGGCCAUGUGCUAAGGCGUAUAUGAGCAAUCCGUCCUUAGAGCCCUCCUCCGGUGGAUUAGCAAUAAUAUGCUCUUUGAACCAAUGCAGGAAAGUGGAGUUGUGCUCUCUAGUAACUUCGGCGUCCGUCCUGCAUACCCCCCGGUCACGAUACUUCUUUGUGAUAAUUUCUUUGUGCAGUGCCACGAAAGGAUCUACCUCGUCUAGGUGUUGUAGCACUACCAAGUUUGCUCUGUCAAAGUCGCUGCGUCGAUCUGAGUAUGCCACGUGCAGUUCCCUGCGACCGUUGCAGUGACCAUCUCCUUUGAGCCUCCCAUCGUGCUUGUUAACGGGCAAACCAACACUAACACCAGGCGGCUGGUCUGCGCCAUAUAAAAAAUUCUCACAGAAAGAGAUGCACUCUUGUGCCAAAUAGCCCUGGACGAUGCUUCCAUCCGGACGGGACAUGUUACGAACGAAUCCUUUGAUGAUCCCAUUCAUCCACUCAAACGGGAUCAUGUUGUGCAGGAAUGACGGCCCCAGGUCUAUUAUGUCAUCCACAAUAUGGACACACAGAUGCACCAUCACGUCGAAGAACGCGGGCGGGAAGUACAUCUCAAGCUCAUUCAGUAUCACAACGAUCUCUUCCUGUAGCCUUUGGAGCUGCUUCACACUGAUCGACUUUCGAGAGAUGACAUCGAAAAAGUUGCAGAGACCAAUAAGCGUGUCACGGACGUGCUUGUCCAUUAUCCCUCUAAGGGCAACAGGUAGUAUCUGCGUCAUCAUCACAUGACAGUCAUGAGACUUCAUCCCGCUGAACCUUUUCUUGUCCGUGUCUAGAUAUCUGCUUAUCUUGCCACAGUAACCGGAACUAACUUUCACUCCGGUAAGGCACUUAAAGAAUUGAUUGAUCUCAGCCUGACUUAAGGUGAAGCAAGAGGGGGGGCAAUAAUCUUCUUUCUUUAAUUUCUUGCCCUUCUUCUCCCGUGCCUCUGUCUUCGUCUCUGUCUCGUCUGACAUUUUACGGGGCGGCAUCUGCAGAUCUUCCCUGAUUUUCAAAUCUUGCAAGUCUUUUCUUGCCUUCGGCCCAUCCUUGGUCUUAUCCGGCAUGUUCAUCAGUGUUGCGAGCAAGCUCUCAAGGACAUUCUUACAGAUAUGCAUUUGAUCAAGGCAAUGAGGUGUAUCGAGUUUGUGCCAGUACUCCAAGUCCCAGAACACGACCUCGUCUUCCAUACCUUCAGCAGCGGCUCCGGCGCCUUUCUCAUCGUCUUUCCCGGCGCGGGGCACUCAUUCCAGUUUUUCAAUAGCUCAUCGAUUUCGGCACCGCUCCGCUUACGUGGAGGUCCUCGAUGCUCAGCGUGACCAUUGAAUAGAUCUCCACGGUUUCUCCACGGGUCGUCCUGUUCAAGCCAUCUUCGAUGCCCCAUGUACAUGAUUUUCGCAGACCCGCCAUCUUUCCUUGACGUUAGCUGCUGAGACGUUGUAUCAUCCAUGCACCGCGUGCAUCCGCAAUAUCCAUGGCACACCUGGCCUGCCACAUAUCCGUAACCGAGAUAGUCCUGCACUGUCGUGAUCAGCGCGGCUCUCAUGUUGAAAUACUCACCUUUGCUGGCGUCCCAUGUCUUGGCCGGUGUUUUCCAUAACGUGUCUAACUCCUCUUGAAGUAGCCCCAGAUACAAAUUAAUAUUAUUUCCUGGUUGUUUCGGCCCUUGAAUAAGCAUGCUCAUGUGAAUGUACUUCGAUUUCAUACACAACCAGGGGGGGAGGUUGUACAUCCAUACAAACACGGGCCAUGUACUAUGGUUGGUGUUCUAGUUGCCAAAUGGAUUCAUGCCAUCGGUACACGCGCCGAGCACGAUGUUCCUUGCAUCACAUUCAAAAUACCGUUAGAAGCUGUUCAACGCUCUCCACUGGCUUCCAUCCUUCACGUGUCUCAGCUUCGGAUCAUCUCCAUCGUCGGGCUUCUUCCUCUCCGCGUGCCAGCGCAUUAGCUUUGCUUCCUUGGGAUCUACAAAAUACCUCUGAAGACGGGGAGUGAUCGGUAAGUACCAUACAACUUUCUGGGGACAUUUCUUCCCGGCCUUCUUGUAUCGAGAAGCAUUGCACACCGGACAGCUUGUUUUUUCCGCGUGCUCCUUCCGAUAAAUUAUGCAAUCGUUGAUGCAUGCAUGGUAUCUAACGUGUGGCAGAUCAAGAGGGCACACGAUCUUCUUGGCCUCAUCAACACUAGUAGGACAUAGAUUACCCGCGGGAAGAAUAUCCUUUAGGUACUUGAGAUGGUCAUCGAGGCUAGUGUCGGUCCAUUUGUUUUUAGCCUUCGUCUUCAGGAGUUGGAGCGUGAAACUCAACCGGGUCACCUCAGGAUUGCAACCAUCAUACAAUGGAGUGUUCGAGUCUACCACCAGUUGCUCCAGCUUAGCCUCCUCUCUAGAAGCAGCUCUCUCAGUACUCGUCUCCUUGCGAAGCAAUGCUUGAACAUGAGGGUCCCGCACAAUUGAACUUAGUACCGACGAACUCUGCUGCGUGGAGUCCAUGUCGUUCUCUCCGCCGCCAUGUCCGGCCCCUUCUCCUCCGCCAUGUCCGGCCACUUCUCCGCUGCCAUGUCCGGCCUCUUCCCCGCCGCCAUUAUCGAUCAUCUCUUCGUCUUGCCCCGUGUCAUCAUUGCCUGCCCCGUCGGCAUCCUCAACAUCUUCAUCCUCAUCUUCAAUUAUCCACCGAGUAUAGCCAUCCAUGAAACCAGUCAUGAGCAGGUGCGCUUCGACACGACCAUCGUCAUGGGGGUCGAGCCAAACUAUUCCUUUGCAUUUUCAACACGGACAUAAAACCUCUGUCCGGUUAUUUUCUUUCAUGUCUUGCACCGCCGACCGCAACCACCUGUCCACCAUUGUUCCACUGACCAUCGUCAACUCUGCACGGUAAUAAUAAAAAAAUUGAUUGUAAAAAUGCAUGCAUGCAUCAAAGUCAUAAAAAAAUUUGGCAUGACCUUCCCUAAAAAUAGGACAUAUAUGGAUCUAGAGUUUGCCCGAAAUUCGCCGAAACGAAAAUAAAUCGACAUUUCGGCAAAACAUAGGCAACUCAAAAGCACAAUUUGGCGGCGUCAACUCAUGCCACAGACACAAUUUCCACAAACAUAUCACACAUACACAUAAACACAUUUCCAUUUUGCAAAAGCAUGAAAUUUUCAUCACCUCUAUCUCGAUGGCCGGAGAUGAUGUUGUAGGGAGAUCAAAAGUGCACAAAGCUAUUCUUGACAAAGAUAGAUCUAGUUAGGGGGCAAAUAGGUCACUUAACUAAAUCCUACAUCUACCUAGCUACCUAAUUUGGAAGGAGACAACUUCAACUAGUGGAGGGGGAGGAAAAAGAGAAAGAAGAUGCAUUAAUUAAUGGAGGUGGUGUAGUUAUGUAGGAGUAAUGAAGAGAGAGAAGGUGGAUAGAGAANNNNNNNNNNNNNNNNNNNNNNNNNNNNNNNNNNNNNNNNNNNNNNNNNNNNNNNNNNNNNNNNNNNNNNNNNNNNNNNNNNNNNNNNNNNNNNNNNNNNNNNNNNNNNNNNNNNNNNNNNNNNNNNNNNNNNNNNNNNNNNNNNNNNNNNNNNNNNNNNNNNNNNNNNNNNNNNNNNNNNNNNNNNNNNNNNNNNNNNNNNNNNNNNNNNNNNNNNNNNNNNNNNNNNNNNNNNNNNNNNNNNNNNNNNNNNNNNNNNNNNNNNNNNNNNNNNNUGUGGUGGAGGGAAGAGAGGAGAGGGGGAGGUAGGGGGGAAGGGAAAAAAGGAAGGGGGAGGGGAGGGACGGGUUGGGGGUUGGUGGGGUUAGCAGUAGCGCGGGAGAUAAAACGCGCUGCUGCUAAGAACUUAGCAGCUGCGCGCUUUGCGGUAAGGCGCUACUGCUAACUGGGACAAAAAAUUGUGGCAAUUUGAAACUUACCAGCAGCGAUCUCGAGGAAACCGCGCUACUACUACGUACUUAGCAGUAGCGCUGUUAUUGCGACCGCGCUACUGCUACUUAGAGUUGGGGGAACACCGCCGGUCGAUAUUUGUAGCAGCGCGUUUCUUGUCGAGCGCGCUACUGCUAAAUCUUUAUCAGUAGCGAGUUUACGUAACCCGCGCUACAACUACUUAGCAGCAGCGCUCUAUUUUGAACCGCGCUGCUGCUAAGAUUCUGUGUAUAGGCUUUUCCCUAGUAGUGUAGGAAGGAAUGACCACAUGAAUGAGCAUACGUAUGAUGUGAUUAAGUCUCUCGAUUGGGUAUCUGGUGCCUUAUGUACGGUGUCUUCUUUUUGUCAAGCUAUGACAUCUUUCAGUUUGAGUGUCUGAUAUUAGGGUUGCAUACGUUUUGUUAUUCAGUUGCCUGUUGUGAACUCUACGGUUAUAUCAUCUCGAUGUGUGAGUCAAUGUGUUUGAACCAAUGUAGAGUUUCAUGUGAAUGUUACAAGUGUGAUUGAUAUGUUCAUGUUAUCCGCGGUUGCCUUGGUAAGAAACUGAAAGAGCAAACCGUUAUCGUGCUAGGACAAAAGUCAUCACUCAAUAUAAGUGCUUCUCUAGAACAGCCACACCUUGUGAAAGAAGAUGGCAAACACCCAAUCAUGUCUGGUUCGAUAUGGGCGUGGCUAUGGGUAGCUUAUAGCGACAUGGAAGCCAGCAUCGCUGGAAGAAACGCCCGGGUGGGCCGGCCUAGAGACAUUUCUUGAUAUCUACCCUUAGUUUUGUUUUUCUGCCCUUCUUUCUUUAUAUUUAUAUUUUUCCCGACAUGUUCACUACUUGAUGCUCAACUGGGAUCUCAUCCUUCACAAAUACGGAGAGCCAUUAUUGUUAGAGUUAAUCUUGACAUGUGUGUAUGUGCAUGUGUGCAUUGCAUGUUAGUGGUCUAGAGAUGGCCGGGUCGAUGCGUCUGUUCUGUGCUGGAGUGAGUCCAGCAGUUUGUUUUGGUCAGGUCGUGGUGGCUAGAGCCAUUCUAGGAGAGGAUCAAGUCAAGUUGUUAGCUGAACUCGGCUGGGUAGUGUUUGGCCGUUGAGGAUAGGCUGUACUAGUGGUGGGCAUGGCCGUGCAUAUAGCUAGCGAUUAGUUACACUAGUAGAAAACCACCCAUUAGUCCCGGUUCGUAAGGGCCUUUAGUCUCGGUUCAGGAACCGGGACUAAUGGGUCGUUACUAAUACCUCCACCCAUUAGCCCCGGUUCAAACACGAACCGGGACCAAUGUGCCUCCACGUGGCCCUGUGCGGCGAGCCCAGUCAGGGGGCCUUUGGUCCCGGCUGGUGGCUCCAACCGGGACCAAAAGGCAUCCACGCGUCUGCAUUCUAGUGGUUUCUGGUUUUUGUUUUUUUUUUGAAAGGAGGGGGGUUGGGGGUUUUGGGGAGUUAAUUUAGGUGUUUCGUAUAUUGUGUUAACUAGCUAAUUAAUAGAGAGAAGUGUCCUCUCUUAUGUCCGUGCUUGGUCGACGCUACGUAGUAUAUAUACAUAAGUAAUCGAGAGAACCAUUCAGUACAGAAGUUCGUCAUGCAUACCGAGAGAAGUGAUCGAUCGACCUCUCCUUCUCCGAGAGAUUGGUCGAACAACAAGUUUUUUACUGGCUACAUACAUGUACAAUAUGUAUAAGAUCUCUUAAUUACAAACCCAUAGCAUUUGAAAUCAACUUCCACAUGGUAUUCUCCGGCUUUACUGAUGACGUGUUCAAGAAAGAAUCCCGCUAAUUCCUCUUGAAUUGCUUUCAUGCGAUCUGGUUCUAGGAGUUCACCCCGCAUCUGCCACGUCUAAUUAAUUUGAAGAAGGGGGUUAAUUAAUACAUAUAUAUGAAUGAAACUCAACAGAAAAUGAUGGUGUAAUAAAAUGAAAUUGUGAAUAUUAUUGCUUACGCACUUCAUAUUGUCUUCUAGAGUAGCCCCGCUUGUUUCUCAAAGUUGCGUUGUGGAUGAACUCGCACACGUAGUAUCCACAAAAAUCAUUCCCUUCCUCCUGUCACAAGCACUUUACGAGAAACAGAGGUCAAUCAAACUGAUAAUGAAGCAUUAUAAAUGGCAUUGAUGAAAGUAUAGCUAUAGAAUCAACGGGAGAUGCACGCAACUAGCUAGCCAGUAGUACUUACUUUCGGGUAUACAUAUCGCAGCUCCUUCGGCAGUCCCGGAGCUUGUGCGGUGAACUGUUUCCGAACCCUGCAAGACAAAGAAAAUAAUUAUUAUUACUUGAGAUAUCAGGAAAUGAACAAAAAGUUGCCGAUAUGGUGCGAUAAUGAUCGAUUGAACUUACUUGCUGAGCAUUUCAGUCAUGUCCACAUAGGUGCUGGGAUCUUUCCGUCUCGAGUCUAAGACGGUUACUAGUCCACGCUCAAGCUUAAUCUCCAGAAGAAUAUAGUGGUACCUGCGCACGCGUGCAUAACUCAUCAAUUACAUUAACCUCGCUCGAGUAAUAAGGGAAACCGAAUAUGCACACGACAGUAACACUCACGGGCCGUUGUAAGGAAAGAGUAUGGUAUCUUUGUUUUGAUUUUUGAUCAACGAUUGUAGCAAGUUGUCCUCGGCCUCUUCGACGUUCUUUUCAACCAGAAAUACAUCUAUGAUAUUUGUGUUAAUGAACCCAAUAUCAUAAAUUUUUUGUUUUUUGCACUCGACGAUCUUCAAUCUGCAUAAUAUAUUGAGGAUAAUUAAUUAUAAAUACAUGCAAUGAAAGAUCCGAGCUAUAUAUAGAGACUUAAUGUCAGAAAUAGUACUUACAUGCAGUAGCAAAAGACCAUUAAUUUAUCGAGGGCCUUUUGAUUGAAGAACUCAAAGAACUCCUCAAAUGGAACACACAACAGAUCAUUUGAAAUGAGGUCGUGCUCCUCUUUAAUAUUCAAAUACAAACUGUUCGUCCCCUCAGACUCUCUGCAGGUUUUCAUGUACCAAUUAUGGAAUCUUCGCAUCAUUAUUGUCAGAGAUUUUUCAUCUUUGACGAGAGGCUUCCCGUACUCGUAUCUGAAUACGUCCACCUCCAUGAAAUCAGGAAGUGCAUCGUCAGGCAGGUAAUCUUCAAGAUUGCCAUAACCGGCCACCGUCCCCGGAGGAUUAGACACAUUGAGCGGGGGGCACGAUUGCUGUGCUUGUUCGCCGAGCUGGGCAAUUUUUUUCCCCUUUGCUCGUUGUUCUUUUGACCUUUUAUCAUUGACAGUAGUUCCCGACCGCUUGGCUUGGAGAUAUGUCUGUUCAGUAAUGCGCUCAUAGUUGGUUCUCGGCGGAGACUUUGGUGGUUUCCUCAGGGCAUCGAGAGUGCGCUUUGCUUUCACCGGAUCUACCUUCUCCUCCGGAGGUGGAUGUCUCUUUGCUUUCACCCCUUCAAAGAACUCCUUCACGUGGGCCUGCACGAUCGUAUUGUUUUCCUCCUUGGUCCUCUCGUACGGUAACUUCUCUAGAGGCUUUAGAGGUGGACCGUAUCUGUAUUGCCUCUCUCUUCUUGUGCUGCUAGACGCCGGAGCAGACGGAGCGGCUGUGGCGUCUGUCUUCUUCCGUGCUUGCUUAUGAGGCGGAGGAGAAGGACUACGACGCGCCGGAGCAGCCGGGGCGGCGGCGGGUCUCUUCCGCCCUUGCUGGCGAGGCGGAGAGGAGGAGGCGGAGUGCCGCCACAUGCCGGAGAAGGAGGCGGAGUGCCGCCAUGCGUGCCCUGAUCGUCACUCGCCGGAGGAGGAGGCGGUGGAGGAGGCGGAGUGCCGCCACGCGUGCCCUGAUCGUCACUCGCCGGAGGAGGACGCGGUGGAGGAGGCGGAGUGCCCUGACUCGCUGAAAGAGGAGGAGGAGGCGGAGGCGUCCAGUUCAGAAGGUUGAUGAGCUCCUUCUGCCAUAGGCAUGGAGUCUUCAGAGCAGAACCCAGCCUAGUCUCCCCUUCACCGGUAGUGUGCUCAAGCACGAGGUCCUCAAAUCCCUCCGUUAUUUCAUCCACCAUCACCUUAGCAAAUCCUUCUGGAAUUGGCUGGCAGUGAUAAGUUGUGCCGGGUCCACUAGGAUAAACUUGGCCAACAGCCGCCUUGACCUUCAAAUUCAUCCAUCACACAAUAAUGUGGCAAUUUUGAGACUCCGUGAUACCAUCCACGGGAUAGCUGGCAGGAGCCGUCAAGACAUGCUCCGGCUGAAGCAGCUCAGUGGAAGCCACGCUGCUUCUCUGCUGAGAUGGCGGGGUAGCUUCGGGGGAAGCUUCGGCAGGUCGUUUGUUGUGAUCUGCUGCUUCUUGUUCCUCUAGCCCCAUUACCCUUUCGUGCAGCGCCUGCAUUUGGUCCUGCUCCAGUUUCUUCCUCCUCUCGUAGGCUUUGUAAACGCCUGCGUCCAGAAAACCAACCUUCCACGGAAUGGAGCCUGGCGUGCCUCGUGUCCGUCCAGGGUGCUCGGGAUUCCCAAGGGCCAUUGUGAGCUCGUCCUUCUCCCUGUUUGGAAGGAACGUCCCUCGUUGUGCUGCAUCGAUAUAGUGUCGAAGGUUCUUGACUGGUGUUUGCAGUUGCUCGUCCGUCCACUGACGCUUCCCUGUUACAGGGUCCAAGGUUCCGCCAGCCCCGAAGACCCAAGUCCGGCAACGGUCUGGCCAGCGCAUUGUCUCUGGUUCGAUUCCUUUUUCAAGCAGAUCAUGCUCAGCCUUGGACCACUUAGGCCGGGCUUUGAGGUAGCCACCUGACUCCGUGCGAUGGUGAAGCUUCUUCUUCGCAGCAUUUUUCUUGUUUGUCUCCGACAUCGUCUUACUCUUUUCCGAUGUCUUGUGGGCCACAAAUGCGGGCCAGUGAUCUUUGAUCUUCUCAUAUUUGCUGAUGAAUUCUGGUGUCUUUUUUUUCUCGAGAAACUGGUUCAGCUCUUUCCUCCACCUCCUCAUUAGGCUUGCCAUCUUCUUAAGAGCACAAGACUUGAUUAAUUGCUCUUUAACUGGCUUCUCCGGAUCCUCCUCUGGCGGUAGGGUGAAAUUUGCCUUCAGCUCAGUCCAAAGAUCUUCUUUCUGCAUAUCAUUGACAUAAGACACCUCAGGGUCUUCAUCCUUAGCAGGCUUAUACCAUUGCUGGAUGCUGAUCGGGAUCUUGUCCCUAACAAGAACCCCGCACUGAGCAGAAAAUGCCUUCCUUGUCCGGAUGGGUUCAAUCGGUUCGCCGUCGGGCGCGAUUUCUAUGAUCUCAAACUUUUCAUCCGAGAUCAACUUUUUCUUCGGGCCUCGUCUCCUUACCGAAGUUGUGCUCGAUCCGGAGGGCUAGAAAUUAUAAGGAAGAAAGACGACAGUAAUUAAUAUGUGUACAUAUACCAAAACAAUGGAUGCAUCAAUUAACUAGUCAGCACGGGCUUAACUAAUAUAUAUAUACCUGGCCGGACUCGGUUCGGUGACCGGAGCAGUCAGCACGGUCUCCUUGUACCUCCAUUGUGUCACCGGAGCCAUCAUGAACAUAGUCCUCCUCUUGUACCGGCAUUAAUGGGUCGAAGCCAUCAUAAACAUAGCCCUCUUCUUCAUCCAGUCCUUCCAGCUGACCAUCGGUGUCGAUGAGAAAUGACGCAACAUCAUCACUUCCAUUUGCGAUUAUGUCCCCCAACAUCGCUUCUGUUUCUUCGUCUCGGGAGUGCUCCAUAGUUUCUGCAAAUAUUUACAACAUGUCAAUUAUUAUUCAAACAUGGUACAAAUGGAUAUAUAUAUAUAUAUAUAUAUAUAUAUAUAUAUAUAUAUAUGAAAAUGGAUUGGUACUCCUAGGAGUACAUACUCUCACCUACACCCGUCAUCGUUGGAAACAUUCAUCCCGCUAACUACUAAAAAAAGAGCUAACUAACUACGGAUAAAGCCUUUGGAUUUAAAAAUUAGUUGAACCGCUUCCUUUUUUUUCAGCUCUCGUAGGCGUGCCUUCCAGGGAUUCCAUUUGAAACGGCGUUCUCAUCUCUUGCCAGCACCCAUGAACAUAAAAAAACAGAGCAUCGGCUCGCCUCCGCCCCGCCGACUGACCGGAAGACUUGGUCGACAUGGCCGACGAUGAUCCCCGUGCUUCUUCCCUCGCAAACUAGGCUUCAACCACCACGUCCAUCAAUCAGAGGAAGAUUGAUUCAUCAUCUGUAGUUUGCGAGGGUACGUGCAAUUGAUGUUUCCCGAUUUUUCUGUUCGGCUACCACAACCGUGUUCAUGUUCCCGCUGACCCCUUGAUCCAUUCCUGUCCAGUAUGUCAUCGUCCGAGAAGAAAAUAGGACGGAGAUGAUUGAUCGGCCAGAUUGAUCGGCCAAGUCUACUAGUACCACUGGUGGAAAAAAGGCCUUUGGUCGCGGUUCGCAACUGCCAUUAGUCGCGGUUGCGCAACCGCGACCAAAUAAGCGCGACUAAAGCCCCCCACCUUUAGUCGCGGCUGCUUAAGAACCGCGACUAAAGGCCCGUCCAUGUGGGCGCCAGGCGGCCGUCGGGACGGAGGACCUUUAGUCGCGGUUCUUCUGGCCAACCGCGACUAAAGGCCGCCACAGGUUUAGGGUUUUAGCCCCCCCCCUAAACCUGUUUUCUGUUUAAUUUGUAUUGUUUUAUUUCUUUUGUGCUUUAUUUUAAUUUUGAAGGAGUUUCAUAUAUUCUACGGUACUACAUACAUGCAUAUGAAUGUACAAUUUCAAAUAAAUUUGAAAUUAGAACCAAAAAGAAUUCAAGAGGAAUAUACAAUAUAUAUUCAAUAUCAUCGGAUGACCAUAUACAAUUUUGAACAAGUUUCCAUACAUGAUUUAAUGCAUAUAAAGUUCUACGUCCUCGUAAUAGUGUUCUCCUUUAGGAUGGAGGACUUCCCUGCUGAACCAUCCAGCUAGUUCCUCUUGAAGUGGUCGGAAGCGAGCUUCUGGACUAAGCAUCCACCGGAGGUUAUUCCUCUGAGCAUUGGUAUCACUCGGAACCCGCUCAGAGGUGUAUCUCCGGAUCAUCUCACAGACAUAGUAUCCACAUAGAUUGGUCUCCGGUGGCUGAAUAUCCCCAGCAUUCUUAGCCACUGACCUUUUGAAUUCUAGCUCUUUUUUGAAUUCACCGACCUUUGUAUCUACGAACCGUCUCCAAACCCUACGAGGCAAAGAAAAUUAAAUGAACAAGAGAGUUAUUAGUUACUUGAUAUUAGGAAAUGAACGAAAUAGGCCGAUUGAUAUAGAGCGCAAAUGAAUGAAAAUAAUUACUUCUGCAGCAUUCUUCUCAUGCCGCCCCAAAGCUUUGGAUCCAUAUUCACAGAGUCGUGGACGAGACAUUCUGAGGUGUUAACUUUAAUUACUAGCAGAAUCCAGUGGAACCUGCGGACACGAUACAUGCACAGUACGUCAUGCAUAACUCAUCGAUUAGCCGGCCACAUACCAUGCAUGGAGUAAACAAAAGAGAAUGUGCUCAAGACACAAACACUCACCCAAAAUGGUAAGGAAAUAGAAUAUCACUUUUGAGUUCCUGCUUUGUAAGAAACUGCCACAGGUCUACCUCCACGUCGGCGGGGUGACGCUCCAACACAUGUCCAUUAACGAUGUGUGGGUCAAUGAACCCAACAUCAUGGAUGUUCCUUACUCUGCAUUCCUUAAUCUUCAUUCUGCAUGUAUAAUAGCGGACACAACAAUAUAGUUAGGACAUAUAUAUAGUGCAGGCAAUAUGAACGAGAUGGGGUAGAAAUUAAUAAAUCACUUACAGAACGUAGCAACUGAUGAUAGAUUUAUCGAGCUCGCGCAGAUUGAAAAGCUGGAACAAUUCACUCAGUUCAAUUUGUACAUAGUAAUGUUUGAAGUGAUGCUCAUGUCUAACUUCCGCAUAAAUAUAUUCUUUGGCGUUUUUAUUUUUUAUGUAACCCUUGUACCAUUUCAGCAGACCUUUCAUUUGUGGAGGUAGAUCCUUUUCCUGCGCAGGCUCGACGAGAGGCCCAUUCUUGACAUAUGUAAUUACUACCUCCUUCACUGGCGCCUCAUCAAGGCCUAACAGUUCACGAAGAGUAAUACCUAAGUUGGCCGCUUGUUCUAUGGCACUCGUUACAGUCAAUCCCUGUGCUGCCGCAGCUUGUAUGAUCUCGGGGGCAUCCGGACAGAAGGCUUCCACUAUAAGCGGGGCAAUCGAUUGUUUACUUUGUUCCCCGAGCUGGGCAACUUGUUUCCCGCUUUUUUUACUUUCGGCCUUCUCCCGCUCUUUGUUCUCCUUGAACAUGAGUGCCUGCCUGCGAAGUUCACGUGCAUAGUCGUUAGGCAGAUUCUUCGCGGCUUGGGACGGUGUGCUCAAAAAUGACUUAGCCCACUUGUUUUGCUCAUCAGAAAAUACUGGCUUGGGCUCGAGCUCUCUUUUCUUCUUGCAGUCCGCCUUCCAUUUCUCCAAAUCAGCAGCCGCGGCCGCGUCGACUUCCUCGGCACUACGUUCCCAAGGCCUUGUGGGGAGAGGCUUCAGUGAUGGCUCCGGUACCUUUGUGGUCUUAGGUACAUAAGGGUCCGGGUUAAUAAUCCAGGACUGCUUCUGCUUCUUUGCCGGAGGUGGAUUGGGGGGCGGCGUCUGAUCACCCGCCGGACGAGGACUGGGGGGCGGCGGCUGAUCACCCGCCGGACGUUGUGGACUGGGGGGCGGCGUCGGCUGACGUGACGGAGGUGUAGGUGAACCGCCACCACCACCACCACCACCACCACCGCCACCGCCACCACCACCACCGUAGGGGGGUGGACUUGUUGUCCUUGGCGCCUCGCCUGGAAACUUGAUAAACUUCUUUUGCCAUAGAAUGAAAUGGCGCUUGACAUCUCCAAGUCUUUUCUCCCCUUCAGGUGUAGCAAUGUCAAUCUCCAGGUCCUCAAACCCUUGGACUAUGUCCUCCACCGUGACACGAGCAUAGCCAUCUUGAAUGGGGUUGUUGUGGUGGAGUGCUCCAGGUAAACAUGGUAAAGCACUGCCGAUGGCUACCUUCAUGGACAUGUUCCCGAUAGGAUAAUACAGAUGACAUUCUUCUCCGCUGCUGGCUUCCGAGAUCUGCUGGAUGAUCUUCAUGCUGCACCCGAGCUGCAUCUCUUUCGGCUACUAGUACACUCAUGGUUUUCUUCAUCACAUCCAUUUCCGAUGCCAACCGCGCCACAACAUCUGCUUCCCGAUCCACCUUUCUCUUACGGCUUCUGUAACCGUACGGGUCAUCGUUCUGGGGGAACCCUAUUUUCCACGGAAUGUGCCCCAUGCCUCGUACACGUCCUCCGUGUUCAGGAUUCCCGAGGGAUUUUGUCAGCGCGUCGUUCUCUCUGUUGAACUUGAUCUUCCCCUGUUGAGCAUCCCUCAUUGCGUUAAUAAGGGCUUGGGUGGGUUUAAUUAAUUUGCCCCGGUAAACACACUCCCCUGUCUCCGGGUUCAGCGUUCCCCCAUGCCCGUACCACCAACUUUUGGCCCUUGGGUCCCAUCCCUCCGUACCUGCACGGAUUCCUCGCGCCCUCAGCUCGUUCUCCAUCUUCUCCAACCUAGGCACCCAAAUGCGAUACCCUCCUGGCCCCAUAACAUGAUUGUACUCCUUCUUAGCCGCAUUUUCCUUAUUUUUUCGAUAUUUGAAUGAACUGCUCCGAUUUCUUUUGCUUCACAAAUUCUGGCCAAUCAUGUUUCAGUUUCUCAUAUUGUCCUUUGAAAUCCGGAGUCUUGUUCUGCUUGACAAAGUCAUGGGCUAGAUUUUGCUUGAAUUUCCGGAAUGCGUCGGCCAUCUUAUGAAGAGCGAACUGUUUGACUAGCCUCCUCCUCUCCUUGUUUUCUUCAAUCUUGUUACCCUCCUCAUCGAAUUUGUUGUAUUCCGGAGGUAGAACGAAAUGUUCCAUAAGCUUCUUGAAGCAAUCUUUUUUUGUUCUCUUAUCGACAAAAGUGAAACCAUCAAUUCGUGCCUUCUUUGGCUCAUUCCACUCCUGGACGGUGAUCGAGACGUUGUCUCUAACAAUGGCUCCGCAUUGGCUGACAAACUUGGUGGCGUUCUUGCGGGGCUCCAGCGGCCUGCCGGUUGCACUGUCGACAACCUCGAUGGUGCAUGUUUCUCCUUGUUUCAUCGUCUUGGUUGCGCCACGCUUUGACGACGUACUCGAUUGUUUCGACGAUCCGGCCGAGGGCUAAAAUAAGAAAGAGUCGCGCGCGUUAGUACACACAUAUUUAUUCAAAUCAGUUAGUUUGUAUCACCAGAGGCUCAAUGUAUAUAUAUACCUCGGCGCCGGAGGUGGUUGCUACAUCCAUUUGAAGAUCGUCGUUUAUCGACGUUUGUUCGGCAUCAUCUUGCUGACGGCGCCCUUCAUCUUCACCGUCAAGGUUCAGAUAAGAAGAGAUAUCAUCUUCUUCUUCUCCGGUCGGCACAUAUAGAAUAUCGCCGUUUAUGAUGCCGAACAUAUGUGCUUCACCGUCCGGAUCAUAGUUGUCCAUAAUCGGGUCAGCUCUAUCGUCCGCCAUUAUGUCAGUCCUGAAAACAUGUAGUAAAAACAAAUUAAUUAAGUGAAGAAGGGGGGCGGUGGCGGUGGCGGUGGCGAAAGGGUGGUGGCAAAAGGAGGGGGCGAGGAAGGGGUGGGAGAGGGUGUCGCGGUAGAGCGCGAGACGGGGCGGCACGAACGUCAUUUUGUGAAGAAACUUUGCAAGCAAUUAAACAUUUGUCAAUGUUUGGUAAAAAAAAUACAGGUAGCGUCUGUUGCUCCUAAUGAUUGGAAACGGUUUCCAAUUGCCAACGAGGAUUUAGAUCGACUACUACUACUAGUUGCAUUGCUCCCCAUCGGGACGAUGUUGCUCCUAAUCCCCUCCUUUGGAAUCUAUAGUACUAGUGCAUACUAGCUGGCCGUUGACCGUUGUUGCUCAUCGCGUUUUCUCAAAGUCCACUGAUUUUGCUCAGGGCCAGUUCGGAGAUUUUGCUGGUCCACUGAUUUUGGAUCAACGCCGGGAUGGCAUGGGCGCUCGGCGAUGAUGCGAAGUAGACUUGCACAGGCAACGUGAUGUACAUGGAUGUGUCAGUACGGUACGCUCGGCGAUGCCACGGUAUGGAUGACUUCUCGAGUGGAGAUUGGAGAACCAAGUUCGCCGGUGAAACGUCGGCUCCUGAUCAGAUCUGGGGGUCGCGAACUAGCGAUUGGAUCUCGGAAGGGAGUUAGGAAAGCGAACAGACGUGCGUUCAAGGCUACAACUUUUUUUUUCAGGAUCUUGAAAACAGCUACGCGUUCAAGGCCCGGUCCUGAUUUUGCUCAUCUACCCGGGGCGGCGUUCGCACUGCGCGAGGGCCGACUCCGCGGGGUGCUGCCGCGUCGCCUCGUCGACGCUGAGCGAGUUGGCGAGGACCGUGUACAUGGUCGGCACGUCGCCGGCGGAGAGGGUCAUGCUGUCCCCGACCAGCGGCGGCCACGGACGGGGAGGGCGGCGGCGGUGACUGGGAAGGAAUGAUAGGAGAGGAAGGAAGGUCGCGUGGGGUUGAGGGCGGNNNNNNNNNNGGCGAGGAGGGACUCCUUGGCGGAGAGGCGCUCCGUCUCGCGGGCGUAGCUGGCAGCGGGCUCCCACGCCUGCGCGUACACGUCGUCCCGCCGUGCGUUCAAGGCUACAACUUUUUUUUUUAGGAUCUUGAAAACAACUACGCGUUCAAGGCCGGCCCGGUCCUGAUUUUGCUCAUCUACCCGGGGCGGCGUUCGCACUGCGCGAGGGCCGACUCCGCGGGGUGCUGCCGCGUCGCCUCGUCGACGCUGAGCGAGUUGGCGAGCACCGUGUACAUGGUCGGCACGUCGCCGGCGGAGAGGGUCAUGCUGUCCCCGACCAGCGGCGGCCACGGACGGGGAGGGCGGCGGCGGUGACUGGGAAGGAAUGAUCGGAGAGGAAGGAAGGUCGCGUGGGGUUGAGGGCGGGCGAGCGAGGCGGCAGUACCGAGGCUGGCCGGCGGCGCGCGCGCGGUGGGCGAGGGCGACGGCGGGCGGCGUCGAGGGCGAGGGCGACGGCGGGCGGCGUCGAGGGCGCGGCAGAGACGAACAGGCGAGAAACGGCGGGCGGCGUCGAGGGAGCCUUGUAUUUAUAGCCCCCCCNNNNNNNNNNNNNNNNNNNNNNNNNNNNNNNNNNNNNNNNNNNNNNNNNNNNNNNNNNNNNNNNNNNNNNNNNNNNNNNNNNNNNNNNNNNNNNNNNNNNNNNNNNNNNNNNNNNNNNNNNNNNNNNNNNNNNNNNNNNNNNNNNNNNNNNNNNNNNNNNNNNNNNNNNNNNNNNNNNNNNNNNNNNNNNNNNNNNNNNNNNNNNNNNNNNNNNNNNNNNNNNNNNNNNNNNNNNNNNNNNNNNNNNNNNNNNNNNNNNNNNNNNNNNNNNNNNNNNNNNNNNNNNNNNNNNNNNNNNNNNNNNNNNNNNNNNNNNNNNNNNNNNNNNNNNNNNNNNNNNNNNNNNNNNNNNNNNNNNNNNNNNNNNNNNNNNNNNNNNNNNNNNNNNNNNNNNNNNNNNNNNNNNNNNNNNNNNNNNNNNNNNNNNNNNNNNNNNNNNNNNNNNNNNNNNNNNNNNNNNNNNNNNNNNNNNNNNNNNNNNNNNNNNNNNNNNNNNNNNNNNNNNNNNNNNNNNNNNNNNNNNNNNNNNNNNNNNNNNNNNNNNNNNNNNNNNNNNNNNNNNNNNNNNNNNNNNNNNNNNNNNNNNNNNNNNNNNNNNNNNNNNNNNNNNNNNNNNNNNNNNNNNNNNNNNNNNNNNNNNNNNNNNNNNNNNNNNNNNNNNNNNNNNNNNNNNNNNNNNNNNNNNNNNNNNNNNNNNNNNNNNNNNNNNNNNNNNNNNNNNNNNNNNNNNNNNNNNNNNNNNNNNNNNNNNNNNNNNNNNNNNNNNNNNNNNNNNNNNNNNNNNNNNNNNNNNNNNNNNNNNNNNNNNNNNNNNNNNNNNNNNNNNNNNNNNNNNNNNNNNNNNNNNNNNNNNNNNNNNNNNNNNNNNNNNNNNNNNNNNNNNNNNNNNNNNNNNNNNNNNNNNNNNNNNNNNNNNNNNNNNNNNNNNNNNNNNNNNNNNNNNNNNNNNNNNNNNNNNNNNNNNNNNNNNNNNNNNNNNNNNNNNNNNNNNNNNNNNNNNNNNNNNNNNNNNNNNNNNNNNNNNNNNNNNNNNNNNNNNNNNNNNNNNNCGAGGAAGACCAAUCGGCUUAAGGUCAGGAACAAAGUCAACACAAAACUCAAUUACCUCCUCAUUUCCAUAGCCCUUGGCGAUGCUUCCUUCUGGCCUAGCACGGUUACGAACAUAUUUCUUUAAUACUCCCAUGAACCUCUCGAAGGGGAACAUAUUGUGUAGAAAUACAGGACCGAGAACGAAAAUCUCUUCGACUAGGUGAACCAGGAGGUGCGUCAUAAUAUUGAAGAAGGAUGGCGGGAACACCAACUCGAAACUGACAAGACAUUGGAUCACAUCGUUCUGUAACCAUGGUAGAACUUCUGGAUUGAUUACCUUCUGAGAGAUUGCAUUGAGGAAUGCACAUAGCUUCACAAUGGCUACUCGAACAUUUUCCGGCAGGAGCCCCCUCAAAGCAAUCGGAAGCAAUUGCGUCAUAAUCACGUGGCAGUCGUGAGACUUCAGGUUUUGGAACUUUUUCUCCGCCAUGUUUAUUAUUCCUUUUAUAUUGGACGAGAAUCCAGACGGGACCUUCAUACUGCUCAGGCAUUCAAAAAAGAUGACCUUCUCUUCUUUGGUCAGAGCGUAGCUGGCACGACCUUGAAACCAUUCCGGAUGCCGGUCAUCAGGGUCUUUCAAACGUUGCUGGUCCUGCCGUGCUUCCUUUGUAUCAUUUGUCUUCCCAUACACGCCCAAGAAGCUUAGGAGGUUCACGCAAAUAUUCUUCGUAACGUGCAUCACGUCGAUUGCAGAGCGGACAUCUAGGACUUUCCAAUAUUCUAGCUCCCAGAAUAUAGAUUUCUUCUUCCACAUGGCUGCGUUCCCGUCUGCUCCCUUCGGAACUGAUUGUCCGCCAGGACCCUUUCCAAAGAUGACUUUCAAAUCCUUGACCAUAUCAAAUACCUCAGCACCAGUGCAUUCCGCAGGCUUCGGCCGGUGAUCUGCCUUGCCGUUGUAAUGCUUGCCUUUCUUUCUUACUGGAUGAAUUUUCGGAAGAAAUCGAUGAUGCCCAAGGUACACGUUCUUCUUACAAUUUGGCAAAUGUACACUUUCAGUCUCAUGUAAGCAGUGCGUGCAUGCAUUGUAUCCCUUAUUUGACAGUCCCGAAAGGUUACUAAGAGCAGGCCAAUCGUUGAUGGUUACGAAAAGCAACGCUCGUAGGUCAAAUUCCUCUUGUUUGUGCUCAUCCCACACACGGACACCACCCCACAGCUGUAAAAGUUCAUCAACUAAUGGCCUUAGGUACACAUCGAUGUCGUUGCCGGGUUGCUUCGGACCUUGGAUGAGCACUGGCAUCAUAAUGAACUUCCGCUUCAUGCACAACCAAGAAGGAAGGUUGUAGAUGCAUAGAGUCACGGGCCAGGUGCUAUGGCUGGAGCUCUGCUCGCCAAAAGGAUUCAUGCCAUCCGUACUUAGAGCAAAUCUUAUGUUCCUUGCGUCAGCUGCAAAAUCUUUGAACCAUCUGUCGAUCUUUCUCCAUUGCGUUCCAUCUGCGGUGUGUCUCAACUCCCCGUCCGACUUACGGUCCUCUUUGUGCCAUCGCAACAACUUGGCAUGCUCUUUGUUCCUGAACAGACGUUUCAACCGUGGUAUUAUAGGAGCAUACCACAUCACCUUGGCGGGAACCCUCUUCCUGGGUUUCUGGCCCUCAACAUCGUCACCAGGGUCAUCGCCUCUGAUCUUAUAACGCAAUGCAGUGCAUAUCGGGCAUUCAUUCAAAUUCUCGUAUUCACCGCGGUAGAGGAUGCAGUCGUUGAUGCAUGCAUGUAUCUUCAGAACCUCUAAACCUAGAGGGCAGACAACCUUCUUUGCUUCGUACGUACUGGCGGGCAACUCGUUAUCCUUUGGAAACAUACUCUUCAACAUUUUCAGCAAGUUUUCAAAUGCCGAGUCAGCUACACCUGCCUCUGCCUUCCAUUUCAGCAAAUCCAGUGUGCAGCCCAGCUUUUUCAGACCAUCAUCGCAUCCGGGGUACAGCGCCUUUCUGUGAUCCUCUAACAUGCGAUCCAAAUUCUCCCUCUCCUUUUCAGUUUCGCAGCGUCUCCGUGCAUCAGCAAUGGUCCGACCAAGAUCAUCAACGGGAUCAUCACGUGCCUCUUCUUCACCUUCCCCUUCACCUUCAGCAUCCUCCAUGAAAGUAUCACCGAGAUGAGCAAGAUAGCUUUCAUCGAUGAAAUCAUCCCCUUCUUCAUCUUCUUCCAUUAUAACCCCUCUUUCUCCAUGCUUGGUCCAACAAUUAUAGCUUGGCAUGAAACCGUGCCGAAGCAGAUGCAUGUGAACAUCUCUUGAGGAAGAGUAACCCUUCUGAUUCUUACAGAUAACACAUGGACAGAUAACAAAAAACCCCUGCUUGUUCGCAUUAGCCACUACGAGGAAAUCUUUCAAACCCGUAGUGAACUCGCCGGAGAGUCGGUUACCGUACAUCCAUUGCCGAUUCAUCUGCAUUAUUAUAAUAUAAAAUAUAUAAUUAACCAUCAUGCAUUUGUUAAACUAACUAGCUACAAACAAUAUAAAUUAAACAAUGAACUGCACACAUGCAUAUUUUAUCAAUGACACAUCAAAGGUUCAUCAAGUUGCUAACCGCGAUCGAGGAGUGUGGCUCCAACACUUCAUGUCAUGUUUGUUUCAUGCUCUUGGGGCAUUUCAUCAAACACCUUAUGUGCAUAAGAGGAACCAAAAGCAAACCUACACCCACUUGUGAAGAGAAUGGCUCCAAAUGGCUAAGUGUUGGCUGCUGGAUGGGUAUAUAUAGGGGAGGGGCUUUAGUUGCGGUUGGCUUGGCAAACCGUGACUAAAGGUGCCCGAAGGCCUUUAGUCGCGGUUGUCCUGGCCAACCGCGACUAAAGACCCUCACGUGCGCCAGCUGGCCACCGAGCGCCCUGAGCCCAGGCCUUUGGUCGCGGUUCACCUCCAGAACCGCGACUAAAGGUCCCAUUAGUCGCGGUUCCUACAGCUUCGCGACUUAUGGGGCUGGACGGAAGCUUGUUUUUCCACCAGUGUACUAGGUAAGGUGUCGUUCCAGUCAAAUUGAUGAAUUCAUCUUUUGUUACCUUUGUUAUAGGAAUAUAGGCUGCAUUUAUUAGUCAUAUCGAGCUCUCAAGGAGUCAAGAUCUUGUUAACUUACUAAUAAUUUCUAUAUACCUGCAGCGUUAUGGCCUAUGGUGCAGGGCAAAGACAACAAGGACGACAUGCGGCGGCGACGUGGCCAUGGUGAAGCUACUUCGUCCGGCUACCCCAUGGUUGGCGUGUCUGCCGUCCUCUCAAUCUAUCACACGUACGUCCGGUGCAUGCAUGGUGUCGGGCCGAAGAGCACACAAAUCUACAUCCAGGCCCUGGGCACUAGCAACCGCUGAUGCACUUAGCCACUUACCAAUGUAUUCCUAUUGUACGUAUAUAAUAAAGUGGUUAGUACGUCGACGUAGAAAUAGUUAGUAGCUUGCUUUGCACUCACACAAUCGAGUCAUGAUUGUUACUGAUGAUCAAAAUUUUAUGUAUUUUUUAUGCCGGAUGGGUUUACUACUUCUUCUUCGGUUGUAUAUAAAGCUUCCAAAAAAUUAGUAUAUAAUCCUCCAGAAUAAAUCAGUAUAUAGUCCUCCAAAAAAAUGAGUAUAUACACUUUGUAACGCAGCAUAUACCCCAUAAAAAAUGUAGUAUAACGCUGCAGAAAUAAGACAUACUCCUUUUCUAGUUGCAUAUACCCAAUCACAAAACUACACUGAAAUAAUUAGUAGUACAUACUCCUUUUCUAUUUUGGAAAGGAACGUCCAUUUCCCUCUUCAACAAGUGCUUUAUUUUUCUAGGGGUAGCCUUGUGUUUUUACUGCCAUGCGACGACAUUACAAAAUGUAUUACACCCAUUAUUCAUCUAAUUUUUUAUAUACCCUUUUAUGCAUACUUUGAAUUUAUCACUCAUUUGGGCGACCAGCCCGCUCUCUCAUUGCAGCGACUCGACUCUCACAUAAAGCCAGUAUAUACUCACGUAAAAAAAAGCAGUAUAGACUCCCUUACUGAAAAAGAACUAUAUACUCCCCUACCAAAAAAAGUAGUAUAUGCUCCAUUACCAAAAAGGCAGUAUAUACUCAUAUACAAAAGGUGGUAUAUACUGUCUUCCCAAAGUAGUAUAUAUCUUUUUCCUUGCGUUAGAGAAGUAGUAUAACCAGAACAGAUAGUUCAUACUUGUGUGCUGAAAAAAGUAGUAUAUAAAUAUAUAUGUAAGAGUGAGUAUGGUAGAUAUGUAUCGGUCCUUACAAAAAAAAUCAACCACUGUUAUUGUUUAUUUGCACCGAACUAACCUUAUCUGUAUGCUAGGAUCCUUGAAUCUCUCAAUCUGUUGAUGCACAUGCAUGCGUCGGCCGGUGGAGCAAUUAGCAACUAGAUCUAAUAACUGCCAACCUGUUCAGUCCAUGGGAGUACAUACUCCUGGGAGUAUAAAAGAGGAGUCUAUAUAUAUAUAUAUAUAUAUAUAUAUAUACGGUGGCGCUAUUGUGUGCGUGAGCGCAGAUUUACUUAUCGUGCGCGCCGGUCAUUGCGUGCGCCACUCGUAUUCCUAAUGAUGGUAAAAUUCCUGGCAGAAAUAGUAAUAUAAUUUAAUUGGUUACUGCCUGCCACCACCACGGUAGCGAUUUAAUUGGUUAGGUCUACUAGUAAAAAUGCAUAGCAGAAAAAGUAAAAGAGCUAAAAGUAUUACUGUUGGAUGCAUCGGUCCCCGCUUCGACUGCCUACUAGUAAAACACCUCAUAAAAGUAGUAAUAGGAUUACCCUACACGCAUCAGCCCCUUGCCAUACUUGUGAACAGGUAAACUUCAUGUGAAGAAUAGUACUGGAUGGUAACUGUGUUACCAUAGAACGGACACUUGCUAUUAGCUAGCUACAUGGUAAUUUUAUUACCGCUAACUUUCAUCGGUUUAAUACCUAAUCAUGUUACCACUUAUUUUCUUAGUAGUAUUGGAUGGUAACUAUGUUACCACAUGACGAAAAAAUUGCUAUUAGCUAAUAGCUACACGGUAAUUGCAUUACCACUCAUGUGUAGAAGCAUGAUACACGGUCUUUUUUCCAAUUACGUUUGGUCGAAGACGCAAGGGUUUGCUAAUCGCUAAAGUGGGGUCGAAGCAGUAAUAAGUUUCCAACCGUUACCAUGUUUCUUAAGGUAUGUUACGUAUGGGCGCAAGACAUGUUCUUUAAUAGGAGCGGGACAACGGUUGCUUAGACGGAGAAUGGCGCGCAGUCUGGCCGGAGCGUAGAAUUAGACUUCUGCGCUCAGGCUUAGUUUAGCACGUCUAUAUAUAUAUAUAUAUAUAUAUAUAUAUAUAUACAUACAUGUUAGUGGCCUCGACGCUGCUUCUCUAGGGUUUGGGGUCGCCUCGACACAACGCUUCAAGGGUUUGGGGUGGCCUCGACGACAACGUUUUUUUAACUUGAUAAAUUUGGGUGGCCUCGAGAGAGUUAAUUUGUCGGGUAGGGGCGCGGCGGGAGGGGGUAGGAGACCAACAUCGUUUUCUCUCUAGGGUUUGGGUGUCCUCGAGAGUUAUCGGGGAGGGGGUAUCGGUACCACCCCCUAGCUCGUGUUGAAGUUUCUUCUUUCUCCUCUAUUCCUUUCUUUCUUCUUCUCCUCUUCUUUUUCUUCUUCUCCCUCGAGAAAGGAAAAUANNNNNNNNNNNNNNNNNNNNNNNNNNNNNNNNNNNNNNNNNNNNNNNNNNNNNNNNNNNNNNNNNNNNNNNNNNNNNNNNNNNNNNNNNNNNNNNNNNNNNNNNNNNNNNNNNNNNNNNNNNNNNNNNNNNNNNNNNNNNNNNNNNNNNNNNNNNNNNNNNNNNNNNNNNNNNNNNNNNNNNNNNNNNNNNNNNNNNNNNNNNNNNNNNNNNNNNNNNNNNNNNNNNNNNNNNNNNNNNNNNNNNNNNNNNNNNNNNNNNNNNNNNNNNNNNNNNNNNNNNNNNNNNNNNNNNNNNNNNNNNNNNNNNNNNNNNNNNNNNNNNNNNNNNNNNNNNNNNNNNNNNNNNNNNNNNNNNNNNNNNNNNNNNNNNNNNNNNNNNNNNNNNNNNNNNNNNNNNNNNNNNNNNNNNNNNNNNNNNNNNNNNNNNNNNNNNNNNNNNNNNNNNNNNNNNNNNNNNNNNNNNNNNNNNNNNNNNNNNNNNNNNNNNNNNNNNNNNNNNNNNNNNNNNNNNNNNNNNNNNNNNNNNNNNNNNNNNNNNNNNNNNNNNNNNNNNNNNNNNNNNNNNNNNNNNNNNNNNNNNNNNNNNNNNNNNNNNNNNNNNNNNNNNNNNNNNNNNNNNNNNNNNNNNNNNNNNNNNNNNNNNNNNNNNNNNNNNNNNNNNNNNNNNNNNNNNNNNNNNNNNNNNNNNNNNNNNNNNNNNNNNNNNNNNNNNNNNNNNNNNNNNNNNNNNNNNNNNNNNNNNNNNNNNNNNNNNNNNNNNNNNNNNNNNNNNNNNNNNNNNNNNNNNNNNNNNNNNNNNNNNNNNNNNNNNNNNNNNNNNNNNNNNNNNNNNNNNNNNNNNNNNNNNNNNNNNNNNNNNNNNNNNNNNNNNNNNNNNNNNNNNNNNNNNNNNNNNNNNNNNNNNNNNNNNNNNNNNNNNNNNNNNNNNNNNNNNNNNNNNNNNNNNNNNNNNNNNNNNNNNNNNNNNNNNNNNNNNNNNNNNNNNNNNNNNNNNNNNNNNNNNNNNNNNNNNNNNNNNNNNNNNNNNNNNNNNNNNNNNNNNNNNNNNNNNNNNNNNNNNNNNNNNNNNNNNNNUGAAAACACUUUUUUUUGUUUUCUUUCUUGCUUUAUUUAUUUUAUUUUGUUUCUACUUGCAAUAAAAUACUUAUUGUUGUUUUUUUGUUUUGUUUUCUGCAUUAUUUAUUUUCUUUUGUUUUUUGCUUUAUUUUUUAAUUCUUUUUGCUUUUAGUUUUAGGAAAAUUAUAAACUUUCUAUUAGUGCCAUUACUUUUCAAAUUUGAAAACACUUUUUUGUUUUUUAGUUUUCUUUCUUGCUUUAUUUAUUUUAUUUUGUUUCUACUUACAACAAAAUACUUAUUGUUGCUAUUUUUAAUUAUUACGAAGGCCAAACCAUAAGACAUUAAAGCAUUUCAAAUGAACUCUGAAAAAGUUGAAAGUUGGCAUGGUAUCAUAAAUUGACCCACACAUAGCAUGUGCAUGUACAAAACGGACAAUGUUAUCAUACUCGUCAGUUACAAAGUUGGCAUGGUAUCAUCAUAAUAGUUGCGGGAGAAAGUCUUCACUUUUUCUUCGCUUGUGUCAUUUGCUUAUUGCGCCGUAACCAUGGAUAAUCUUCAUCGUUUAUCAGGAUGCUGGGGUCAGCCUUGACUUUAAAGGGAGGAAUUUCAUGAAACUUUUCAUAAUCUUCAGACAUGUCUGUCUUGUCCUCCUCUCCCACGAUGUCCCUUUUUCCUGAAAGAACUAUGUGGCGCUUUGGCUCAUCGUAUGAUGUAUUCGCUUCCUUAUCUUUUCUCUUUCUUGGUCUGGUAGACAUGUCCAUCACAUAGAUAACCUGUGCCACAUCAUUGGCUAGGACGAACGGUUCGUCAGUGUACCCAAGAUUUUUCGGAUCCACUGUUGUCGUUCCGUACUGUGGGUCUACAUGUACCCCGCCUCCUGACAGAUUGACCCAUUUGCACUUAAACAAAGGGACCUUAAAAUCAUGUCCUUAGUCAAGUUCCCAUAUGUCCACUAUGUAACCAUAAUAUGUGUCCUUUCCCCUCUCGGUUGUUGCAUCAAAGCGGACACCGCUGUUUUGGUUGGUGCUCUUUUGAUCUUGGUUAAUCGUGUAAAAUGUCUUCCCAUUUAUCUCAUAUCCUUUCCAAAUCGUAACAGUCGAAGAUGGUCCCCUGGAUAACAAGUACAUCUCAUCACAAACAGCGUUGUCACCUCUGAUACGUGCUUCCAACCAACUGCUGAAAGUCCUGAUGUGUUCACAUGUAAUUCAGUCGUCGCACUGCUCCGGGUGUUUGGAGCGCAGACUGUUCUUGUGUUCAUCCACAUACGGGGUCACCAAGGUAGAGUUCUGUAGAACUGUGUAGUGUGCUUGAGACCAAGAAUAUCUGUCCCUGCAUAUUAUUGAGUCCCUUCCAAGCAUGCCUUUUCCAGUCAGUCUCCCCUCAUACCGCGAUUUAGGGAGACCUAUCUUCUUAUGGCCAGGAAUGAAGUCAACACAAAACCCGAUGACAUCCUCUGUUUGAUGGCCCAUGGAGAUGCUUCCUUCUGGCCUAGCGCGAUGAGGGACAUAUUUCUUUAGGACUCCCAUGAACCUCUCAAAGGGGUACAUAUUGUGUAGAAAUACGGGGCCCAAAAUGACAAUCUCGUCAACUAGAUGAACUAGGACGUGCGUCAUGAUAUUGAAGAAGGAUGGUGGGAACACCAGCUCGAAACUGACAAGACAUUGCACCACAUCACUCCUUAGCCUUGGUAUGAUUUCUGGAUCGAUCACCUUCUGAGAGAUUGCAUUGAGGAAUGCACAUAGCUUCACAAUGGCUAAUCGGACGUUUUCCGGUAGAAGCCCCCUCAAUGCAACCGGAAGCAGUUGUGUCAUAAUCACGUGGCAGUCAUGAGACUUUAGGUUCUGAAACUUUUUCUUUGCCAUAUUUAUUAUUCCUUUUAUAUUCGACGAGAAGCCAGUCGGGACCUUCAUACUAAGCAGGCAUUCAAAGAAGAUUUCCUUCUCUUCUUUGGUAAGAGCAUAGCUGGCAGGACCUUCAUACUGCUUUGGAGGCAUGCCGUCUUUUUCGUGCAAAUGUUGCAGGUCCUCCCGUGCCUCAGCUGUAUCUUUUGUCUUCCCAUACACGCCCAAGAAGCCUAGCAGGUUCACGCAAAGGUUCUUCGUCACGUGCAUCACGUCGAUCGAAGAGCGGACCUCUAGGUCUUUCUAGUAGGGUAGGUCCCAAAAUAUAGAUUUCUUCUUCCACAUGGGUGCGUGUCCCCCAACGUCACUCGGAACAGCUAGUCUGCCGGGACCCUUUCCAAAGAUUACGUGUAAAUCAUUGACCAUAGCAAGUACGUGACCACCGGUACGCAUGGCGGGCUUCUUCCGGUGAUCUGCCUCGCCUUUGAAAUGCUUGCCUUUCUUUCGACAUUGAUGGUUGGUCGGAAGAAAUCGACGAUGGCCCAGGUACACAUUCUUCCUACAGCUUGCCAGGUAUAUACUAACGGUGUCAAGUAAACAGUGCGUGCAUGCGUGGUAUCCCUUGUUUGUCUGUCCUAAAAGGUUACUGAGAGCAGGCCAAUCGUUGAUGGUCACGAACAGCAACGCCUUUAGGUUAAAUUUCUCCUGUUUGUGCUCAUCCCACGUACGUACACCGUUUCCAUUCCACAGCUGUAAAAGUUCUUCAACUAAUGGCCUUAGGUACACAUCAAUGUCAUUGCCGGGUUGCUUAGGGCCUUGGAUGAGAACUGGCAUCAUAAUGAACUUCCGCUUCAUGCACAUCCAAGGAGGAAGGUUAUACAUACAUAGAGUCACGGGCCAGGUGCUGUGAUUGCUGCUCUGCUCCCCGAAAGGAUUAAUGCCAUCCGCACUUAAAGCAAACCAUACGUUCCUUGGCUCACUUGCAAACUCAUCCCAGUACUUUCUCUCAUUUUUCUCCAUUGCGACCCGUCAGCGGGUGCUCUCAACUUCCCGUCUUUCUUACGGUCCUCACUAUGCCAUCGCAUCAACUUGGCAUGCUCUCCGUUUCUGAACAGACGUUUCAACCGUGGUAUUAUAGGAGCAUACCACAUCACCACUACUAGGGAAAAGCCUAUACAUAGAAUCUUACCAGCAGCGCUCUUCAAAAUACAACGCUACUGCUACUUAGCAGCAGCGCGUGUCUGCCAAACACGCUGCUGACUUGGAAGUAGCAGUAGCGGGUGCAUCGCAUACAGCGCUACUGCUAUAGUUGCCAUGACCUUGCCCCCCCCCCCCCNNNNNNNNNNNNNNNNNNNNNNNNNNNNNNNNNNNNNNNNNNNNNNNNNNNNNNNNNNNNNNNNNNNNNNNNNNNNNNNNNNNNNNNNNNNNNNNNNNNNNNNNNNNNNNNNNNNNNNNNNNNNNNNNNNNNNNNNNNNNNNNNNNNNNNNNNNNNNNNNNNNNNNNNNNNNNNNNNNNNNNNNNNNNNNNNNNNNNNNNNNNNNNNNNNNNNNNNNNNNNNNNNNNNNNNNNNNNGCAAACGCGCUACAACUAUCCCUACCUUAUCCCCAUGCGCACGACCGGCCCUCUCACUCACACUCUCACUCUCGCCCACGUCAACCGUCGUCGUCCGUCGCCGCCGCCGCCGCCUUCGUCCGUCCGCCGCCGAGGUACUCCCCUCCUUCCGUCCCUCCUCCAUCCUCCUUGCACAUCCUCCCUCCGCCUGUGGCCGCCCCUCCUUCCUCCGCCGCUGCCCUCCUCCCUCCGCCUGCGGCCGCCCCUCCUCCCUCCUCCGACGGCAGCCCUCCUCCCACCGCCCUCGACCUCGCUGCCCCUAGCUACCUCUCCGUCGCCCCCCACCCCUGCCACUAGUUAGUACUAGAUUUAGUAGUAGUAGAUGUUAAUUUAGGGUUAGCUAGUACUAGAUGUUGCUUAGUUAGUACUAGAUUUUUAGUAGUAGUAGUGGUAGUUGAACUACUUUAGUUGUAGUUGAACUAGUUUAGUAAGUAAAUUAAUAAACGAGUUGAACUAGUUGAAUUAAUAGAACUAAUCUAUUUUUAGUAAGAUAAUUAAUAUAACUAGUUGAACUACUUUAUUUUUAGAAAGAACUAAUUUUUUUCUAUUUAUAUUAAGUUUAUAUUUAGUAAGAACUAGUUGAAUUAAUAAAACUAGUUGAACAUGUCAUGUUUGUUGUUAGUGAUAACUUAUAUGGUUUCAGGUGACCUCCGUCGUCCCCGUCACCGACCCCCUCCGACAUCCCCGUCGUCGUCCCAGUCACCGACCCCCUCCGACAUCGAGGUGAGACCAGCCAAAUAUCCUUGUAUAUCUUGUGUUGUUGCUCAAAUUGGAUAUGUGGUUGCCCAAGUGGCCGUUCAUGUAGUUUACAUCUCCGAGUGGCCUAUGUUUUGCCGGAGUGUUGAUUAAUUUCCGUUCCGACAAAUUUCAGGCGCUCGAUAUGUCCUUUUUUAGCAAAGGUCAUGCCGGAUUUUGUCGUGAAUUCUGGUAUGACUUGUGCUAGAAUAUGUACAAGUUUAAUCUUUGAAUUAUGAUUGUAGGAAAUGUCGUACUCGGACGACGAAGGUCUCCCGGGGGAGUGUAGCUGGUGCCACGACGAUCGAGGUAUGUGCGAUAGGUUCGUUCGGCUGGACGAAGAUCGGCGCUUCAACAUUAAGCUCGAGGAGACCUUCGAUUGUGAAAUGGUACGCAACAACGACAAGUGUUUUUUCUCCAUUAAGCAUGACUUCAACUAUUUCAACGUCUAAUUUUCAUAUUUUACAAUUCGACUAGCUUAUCCCAUGCCAUGCAAGACGCUAUGUCUUGGAGAGGAUGGGUUUUGAAGACCAUGAAAAUUUCAAAACAAAGAAAAUACACCUAAGGACCCAUCAUGAUAUGGAUUUUGAAGUAAACCUGUGCAAUGCUCAGAGCGCAACCCAUUUUGGUUGCCAAAAUUGGGAAGCACUUUGCAAAAUGUAUGGUUUUUAUGAGGGUAUGAUUGUCACCAUGGAUCUUGGUGAUCCUGACAGUGAGGAAGACAAUAUGGACAUUUGGGUCCUUGUUGAUACGCUUCCGAUUGUACCGCUAUGUGACUUUCUCAAACAUAGUUAUUAACUAAUUUAUAUUGUUUAUUUCAAAAUAGUUGAUAGCUUAUUUCCAUUGACAGCUUAUUUUGAUUCUUCAAAGACUGUGCGGAAGAUGGUAGAUAAAACCCACUACACCGAAGGCACCCAAUUAACGUAUAAGGAGAAAAAUCAUCUGAUCGCAUUUUGUACUCUUCUUGAGAAUUACAAUGACUAUAAUCGAACUCCUCCAGAUUAUGGUGAAUAUGUGCCACUAGUGCAUGUGUUGAACAACGAUAACUUAUCUGGAGAUACCCUGGUAAGAUUUUUUACUAUUACGACAUCCGUGUAUUUUUUGCAUACUUCUAAAACUAGUACAUCAUUGCUAACUACGAAGUUAUUAUUAUGUUUUUCAACAGAAACUCCCGAUGGAUUGUGUGCCUCAUCUGAUGUCUCUGCAUGGUCGCCUCUCAGUUCUGAACAUACUGCCAGGUAAAUCUACAGAGCUCACCUAUGCAUAUCAGAUUUCUAAAACCCGUGAACACAUGAUCAUCAGAGAAUGGAAGAAAUGUAUGGACAUUCGCAAGGAGGUUCUUGGAAGUAACAUUCAGCGAAACGUAAGAAUGGGAGACAGGCUAAUCUCCAUUCUCCAUAAUGGAGAGUCAGGGGCUAUCUUGUUUUUUGUUAUUUUACCUUAGAAAAUGUAGUAGGUCUUAAUCGAAUGUAAUAGGUCCUAUGAGGUACAAUAUGUUUAUUAUGUGGUAAUGUGUUAGAGUUGAUAAUGAUGAUCUUGAGGAGGUGUUAUGUGAUGUCAAUGAUGAAAACGAUGAUAUUGAGGAGGUGUUAUAUGACAAUGAUGUAUUAUGAUGCUAAGUUGUUAAUGAUAUGAUGAUGAUGAUGAUAUUAUUAUAUCAUUGGGUGAAAGAACCGUGGAUUAGUUUCAAGUGGAUGGACAUCCACUUGAAACUAGUCCACGGUUCUUUCACCCCAUGAUGUAAUAACUCAUUAUGAUGUAAAAACAAUCUCUAAAUUCCUGUUGUAUGAAAACUUGUGUAAGGGUGUAUGAAUACAACAUGAAAAAGAAAAGAAAUAAAAUACUAAAUAAUAGUAGUAGCGCGGGUAAGGAGAAGCGCUACUACUAAUUACCAGUAGCGAUGUUCUAAAGAACCGCUGCUACUAAGUCAAUUUAGCAGUAGCGCGUGUCAAGACGCGCUAUUGCUAAGCAUUAGCUGUAGCGCCUUAUCAGUAGCGCUCCUGCCCGCGCUACUGAUAGGCCCAAAACCCGCGCUGCUGCUAGGCUUUUCCCUAGUAGUGCACCUUCGCAGGAACCCUCUUCCUGGGGGGCUCGCCGUCAACAUCACCAGGGUCAUCUCGUCUGAUCUUAUACCAUAAUGCACCGCAUACCAGGCAUGCGUUCAGAUCCUUAUAUGCACCGCGGUAGAGGAUGCAGUCAUUAGGGCAUGCAGGUAUCUUCUGCACCUCCAAUCCUAGAGGGCAUACGACCUUCUUUGCUGCGUAUGUACUGUCGGGCAAUUCGUUAUCCUUUGGAAGCUUCUUCUUCAAUAUUUUCAGUAGCUUCUCAAAUCCUUUGUCAGGCACAGCAUUCUCUUAAAGGAAAUAUGCCCUAGAGGCAAUAAUAAAGUUAUUAUUUAUUUCCUCAUAUCAUGAUAAAUGUUUAUUAUUCAUGCUAGAAUUGUAUUAACCGGAAACAUGAUACAUGUGUGAAUACAUAGACAAAACUAUAGUCACUAGUAUGCCUCUACUUGACUAGCUCAUUAAUCAAAGAUGGUUAUGUUUCCUGACCAUAGACAUGUGUUGUCAUUUGAUUAGUGGGAUCACAUCAUUAAGAGAAUGAUGUGAUUGACAUGACCCAUUCUGUUAGCCCAGCACUUGAUCGUUUAGUAUACUGCUAUUGCUUUCUUCAUGACUUAUACAAAGUUCCUGCAACUAUGAGAUUGUGCAACUCCCGUUUACCGGAAGAACACUUUGUGUGCUACCAAACAUCACAACGUAACUGGGUGAUUAUAAAGGUGCUCUACAGGUGUUUCCGAAGGUACAUGUUGGGUUGGCAUAAUUCGAGAUUAGGAUUUGUCACUCCGAUUGUCGGAGAGGUAUCUCUGGGCCCUCUCGGAAAUACUCAUCACAUAAGCCUUGCAAGCAUGUAACUAAUGAGUUAGUUAUGAGAUGACGUAUUACGAAACGAGUAAAGAGACUUGCCGGUAACGAGAUUGAACUAGGUAUUGGAUACCGACGAUCAAAUCUCGGGCAAGUAACAUACCGAUGACAAAGGGAACAAAGUAUGUUGUUAUGCGGUUUGACCGAUAAAGAUCUUCGUAGAAUAUGUAGGAACCAAUAUGGGCAUCCAGGUCCCGCUAUUGGUUAUUGACCGAGAAUGGUUUUAGGUCAUGACUACAUAGUUCUCAAACCCGUAGGGUCCGCACGCUUAACUUUUUGAUGAUAGUUUUAUUAUGAGUUUAUAAGUUUUGAUGUACCAAAGUUUGUUCGGAGUUCCGGAUGUGAUCACGGAUAUGAUGAGGAGUCUCGGAAUGCUUGAGCCAUAAAGAUUGAUAUAUUGGACGACUAUAUUCGGACACCGGAAAGGUUCCGGGAGUUUUCGGAGAAAACCGGAGUGCCCGGGGGGUUACCGAAACCCCCCGGGAGAGUUAAUGGGCCACAUGGGCCUAGGUGGGAAGAGAAAGGGGCGGCCAGGGUGAGCCGCGCGCCCCCUCUCCCUCUAGUCCGAAUUGGACUAGGAGGGGGGGCGGCGCCCCCUUUCCUUCCCCCCCUCUCUUCCUUCCUUCCCCCUCCUAGUAGGAGUAGGAAAGGAGGAAUCCUACUCCUACUAGGAGGAGGAUUCCUCCUCCCUUGCGCGCCCCAAGGGGCCGGCCGGCCUCCCCCUCCCUCCUUUAUAUACGGGGGCAGGGGGCACCCCAUAGACACACAAGUUGAUCUACGGAUCGUUCCUUAGCCGUGUGCGGUGCCCCCUUCCACCAUAUUCCACCUCGGUCAUAUCGUCGCGAAGCUUAGGCGAAGUCCUGCGCCGGUAGAACAUCAAGAUCGUCACCACGCCGUCGUGCUGACGGAACUCUCCCUCGACACUCGGCUGGAUCGGAGUUCGAGGGACGUCAUCGAGCUGAAUGUGUGCUGAACUCGGAGGCUCCGUACGUUCGGUUCUUGGAUCGGUCGGAUCGUGAAGACGUAUGACUACAUCAACCGCGUUGUCAUAACGCUUCCGCUUACGGUCUACGAGGGUACAUGGACAUACACUCUCCCCUCUCGUUGCUAUGUCAUCACCAUGAUCUUGCGUGUGCGUAGGAAAAUUUUGAAAUUACUACGUUCCCCGACAGUGGUAUCAGAGCCUAGGUUUUAUGCGUUGAUGUUAUAUGCACGAGUAGAACACAAGUGAGUUGUGGACGAUAUAAGUCAUACUGCCUACCAGUGUGUCAUACUUUGGUUCAGCGGUAUUGUGAGAUGAAGCGGCCCGGACCGACAUUACGGGUACGCUUACGCGAGACUAGUUUCACCGUUAUGAGCACUCGUGCUUAAAGGUGGCUGGCGGGUGUCUGUCUCUCUCACUUUAGUUGAACCGAGUGUGGCUACGCCCGGCCCUUGUGAAGGUUAAAACGGAGUCUAUUUGACAAACUAUCGUUGUGGUUUUGAUGCGUAGGUAAGAACGGUUCUUGCUAAGCCCGUAGCAUCCACGUAAAAUUUGCAACAACAAAGUAGAGGACGUCUAACUUGUUUUUGCAGGGCAUGUUGUGAUAUGAUAUGGUCAAGACGUGAUGCUAUAUUUUAUUGUAUGAGAUGAUCAUGUUUUGUAACCGAAGUUAUCGGCAACUGGCUGGAGCCAUAUGGUUGUCGCUUUAUUGUAUGAAAUGCAAACGCCCUGUAAUUGCUUUACUUUAUCUCUAAGCGGUAGCGAUAGUCGUAGAAGCAAUAGAUGGCGUAAACGACAACGAUGCUACGAUGGAGAUCAAGGUGUCGCGCCGGUGACGAUGGUGAUCAUGACGGUGCUUCGAAGAUGGAGAUCACAAGCACAAGAUGAUGAUGGCCAUAUCAUAUCACUUAUAUUGAUUGCAUGUGAUGUUUAUCCUUUAUGCAUCUUAUCUUGCUUUGAUUGACGGUAGCAUUUUAAGAUGAUCUCUCACUAAAAUUAUCAAGUAGUGUUCUCCCUGAGUAUGCACCGUUGCCAAAGUUCAUCGUGCCGAGACACCACGUGAUGAUCGGGUGUGAUAAGCUCUACGUCCAUCUACAACGGGUGCAAGCCAGUUUUGCACACGCAGAAUACUCAGGUUAAACUUGACGAGCCUAGCAUAUGCAGAUAUGGCCUCGGAACACAGAGACCGAAAGGUCGAGCGUGAAUCAUAUAGUAGAUAUGAUCAACAUAAUGAUGUUCACCAUUGAAAACUACUCCAUCUCACGUGAUGAUCGGUUAUGGUUUAGUUGAUUUGGAUCACGUGAUCACUUAGAUGACUAGAGAGAUGUCUGUCUAUGUGGGAGUUCUUAAGUAAUAUGAUUAAUUGAACUUAAAUUUAUCAUGAACUUAGUACCUGAUAGUAUCUUGCUUGUCUAUGUUUGUUUGUAGAUAGAUGGCUCGUGCUGUUGUUCCGUUGAAUUUUAAUGCGUUCCUUGAGAAAGCAAAGUUGAAAGAUGAUGGUAGCAAUUACACGGACUGGGUCCGUAACCUGAGGAUUAUCCUCAUUGUUGCACAGAAGAGUUACGUCCUGGAAGCACCGCUGGGUGCCAGGCCUGCUGCUGAUGCAACUGACGACGUUAAGAACGUCUGGCAGAGCAAAGCUGAUGACUACUCUAUAGUUCAGUGUGCCAUGCUUUACGGCUUAGAACCGGGUCUUCAACGACGUUUUGAACGUCAUGGAGCAUAUGAGAUGUUCCAGGAGUUGAAGUUAAUAUUUCAAGCAAAUGCCCGGAUUGAGAGAUAUGAAGUCUCCAAUAAGUUCUAUAGCUGCAAGAUGGAGGAGAAUAGUUCUGUCAGUGAACAUAUACUCAGAAUGUCUGGGUAUAACAAUCACUUGAUUCAACUGGGAGUUAAUCUUCCUGAUGAUAGUGUCAUUGACAGAAUUCUUCAAUCACUGCCACCAAGCUACAAGAGCUUUGUGAUGAACUAUAAUAUGCAAGGGAUGAACAAGACUAUUCCCGAGCUCUUCGCGAUGCUGAAAGCCGCAGAGGUAGAAAUCAAGAAGGAGCAUCAAGUGUUGAUGGUCAACAAGACCACUAGUUUCAAGAAGAAGGGCAAAGGAAAGAAGAAGGGGAACUUCAAAAAGAACGGCAAGCAAGUUGCUGCUCAAGAGAAGAAACCCAAGUCUGGACCUAAGCCUGAAACUGAGUGCUUCUACUGCAAGCAGACUGGUCACUGGAAGCGGAACUGCCCCAAGUAUUUGGCGGAUAAGAAGGAUGGCAAAGUAAACAAAGGUAUAUGUGAUAUACAUGUUAUUGAUGUGUACCUAACUAGAGCUCGUAGUAGCACCUGGGUAUUUGAUACUGGUUCUGUUGCUAAUAUUUGCAACUCGAAACAGGGACUACGGAAUAAGCGAGCACUGGCCAAGGACGAGGUGACGAUGCGCGUGGAAAACGGUUCCAAAGUCGAUGUGAUCGCGGUCGGCACGCUACCUCUACAUCUACCAUCGGGAUUAGUUUUAGACCUAAAUAAUUGUUAUUUGGUGCCAGCGUUGAGCAUGAACAUUAUAUCUGGAUCUUGUUUGAUGCAAGACGGUUAUUCAUUUAAAUCAGAGAAUAAUGGUUGUUCUAUUUAUAUGAGUAAUAUCUUUUAUGGUCAUGCACCCUUGAAGAGUGGUCUAUUUUUAUUGAAUCUCGAUAGUAGUGAUACACAUAUUCAUAUUGUAGAAGCCAAAAGAUGCAGAGUUGAUAAUGAUAGUGCAACUUAUUUGUGGCACUGCCGUUUGGGUCAUAUCGGUGUACAACGCAUGAAGAAACUCCAUACUGAUGGACUUCUGGAAUCACUUGAUUAUGAAUCACUUGGUACUUGCGAACCGUGCCUUAUGGGCAAGAUGACUAAAACACCGUUCUCCGGAACUAUGGAGAGAGCAACAGAUUUGUUGGAAAUCAUACAUACAGAUGUAUGUGGUCCGAUGAAUGUUGAGGCUCGUGGCGGAUAUCAUUAUUUUCUCACCUUCACUGAUGAUUUAAGCAGAUAUGGGUAUAUCUACUUAAUGAAGUACAAGUCUGAAACAUUUGAAAAGUUCAAAGAAUUUCAGAGUGAAGUAGAAAAUCAUCGUAACAAGAAAAUAAAGUUUCUACGAUCUGACCGUGGAGGAGAAUAUUUGAGUUACGAGUUUGGUUUACAUUUGAAACAAUGCGGAAUAGUUUCGCAACUCACGCCACCUGGAACACCACAACGAAAUGGUGUGUCCAAACGUCGUACUCGUACUUUACUUGAUAUGGUGCGAUCUAUGAUGUCUCUUACCGAUUUACCGCUAUCGUUUUGGGGUUAUGCUUUAGAGACGGCCGCAUUCACGUUAAAUAGGGCACCAUCAAAAUCCGUUGAGAUGACGCCUUAUGAACUGUGGUUUGGCAAGAAACCAAAGUUGUCGUUUCUUAAAGUUUGGGGCUGCGGUACUUAUGUGAAGAAACUUCAACCAGAUAAGCUCGAACCCAAAUCGGAGAAAUGUGUCUUCGUAGGAUACCCAAAGGAGACUAUUGGGUACACCUUCUAUCACAGAUCUGAAGGCAAGAUUUUCGUUGCUAAAUUCGGAUCCUUUCUAGAGAAGGAAUUUCUCUCGAAAGAAGUGAGUGGGAGGAAAGUAGAACUUGAUGAGAUAACUGUAUCUACUCCCUUAUUGGAAGGUAGUUCAUCACGAGAACUGGUUCCCAUGACAACUACACCAAUUAUUGAGGAAGCUAAUAAUAUUGAUCAUGAAACUUCAGAUCAAGUUUCUGCUGAACCUCGUAGGUCUACCAGAGUAAGAUCCGCACCAGAGUGGUACGGUAAUCCUAUUCUGGAAGUCAUGUUACUUGACCAUGAUGAACCUACGAACUAUGAGGAACCGAUGAUGAGCCCAGAUUCCGCAAAAUGGCUAGAGGCCAUGAAAUCUGAGAUGGGAUCCAUGGAUGAAAACAAAGUAUGGACUUUGGUUGACUUGCCCGAUGAUCGGCAAGCCAUUGAGAAUAAAUGGAUCUUUAAGAAGAAGACUGACGCUGAUGGUAAUGUUACUGUCUAUAAAGCUCGACUUGUUGCGAAAGGUUUUCGACAAGUUCAAGGGGUUGACUAUGAUGAGACUUUCUCACCCGUAGCGAUGCUUAAGUCUGUCCGAAUCAUGUUGGCUAUUGCUGCAUUUCAUGAUUAUGAAAUUUGGCAAAUGGAUGUCAAAACUGCAUUCUUGAAUGGAUUUCUAGAAGAAGAGUUGUAUAUGAUGCAGCCGGAAGGUUUUGUUGAUCCAAAAGGUGCUGACAAAGUGUGUAAGCUCCAAUGUUCCAUUUAUGGACUGGUGCAAGCAUCUCGGAGUUGGAAUAAACGUUUUGACAGUGUGAUCAAGGCAUAUGGUUUUAUACAGACUUUUGGAGAAGCCUGUAUUUACAAGAAAGUGAGUGGGAGCUCUGUAGCAUUUCUAGUUUUAUAUGUUGAUGACAUAUUAUUAAUUGGAAAUGAUAUAGAAUUUCUGGAGAGCAUAAAGGGAUACUUGAAUAAAAGUUUUUCAAUGAAAGACCUCGGUGAAGCUGCUUACAUAUUGGGCAUCAAGAUCUAUAGAGAUAGAUCAAGACGCUUAAUAGGACUUUCACAAAGCACAUACCUUGACAAAAUUUUGAAAAAGUUCAAAAUGGAUCAGGCAAAGAAAGGAUUCUUGCCUGUGCUACAAGGUGUGAAGUUGAGUCAAACUCAAUGCCCGACCACAUCAGAAGAUAGAGAGAAAAUGAAAAAUGUUCCCUAUGCUUCAGCCAUAGGCUCUAUCAUGUAUGCAAUGCUGUGUACCAGACUUGACGUAUGCUUAGCAAUAAGCUUGGCAGGAAGGUACCAAAGUAAUCCAGGAGUGGAUCACUGGACAGCGGUCAAGAACAUCCUUAAAUACCUGAAAAGGACUAAGGAUAUAUUUCUCGUAUAUGUAGGUGACAAAGAGCUCGUCGUAAAUGGUUACGUCGAUGCAAGCUUUGACACUGAUCCAGACGAUUCUAAAUCGCAAACCGGAUACGUGUUUAUAUUAAACGGUGGAGCUGUAAGUUGGUGCAGUUCUAAACAAAGCGUCGUGGCGGGAUCUACAUGUGAAGCGGAGUACAUAGCUGCUUCUGAAGCAGCAAAUGAAGGAGUCUGGAUGAAGGAGUUCAUUUCCGAUCUAGGUGUCAUACCUAGUGCAUCGGGACCAAUGAAGAUCUUCUGUGACAAUACAGGUGCAAUUGCUUUGGCAAAGGAAUCCAGAUUUCACAAGAGGACCAAGCACAUCACGAGACGCUUAAAUUCCAUUCGGGACCAAGUCCAAGUGGGAGACAUACAGAUUUGCAAGAUACAUACGGAUCUGAAUAUUGCAGACCCGUUGACUAAGCAUCUCUCACGAGCAAAACAUGAUCAGCACCAAGACUCCAUGGGUGUUAGAAUCAUUAUUGUGUAAUCUAGAUUAUUGACUCUAGUGCAAGUGGGAGACUAAAGGAAAUAUGCCCUAGAGGCAAUAAUAAAGUUAUUAUUUAUUUCCUCAUAUCAUGAUAAAUGUUUAUUAUUCAUGCUAGAAUUGUAUUAACCGGAAACAUGAUACAUGUGUGAAUACAUAGACAAAACUAUAGUCACUAGUAUGCCUCUACUUGACUAGCUCAUUAAUCAAAGAUGGUUAUGUUUCCUGACCAUAGACAUGUGUUGUCAUUUGAUUAGUGGGAUCACAUCAUUAAGAGAAUGAUGUGAUUGACAUGACCCAUUCUGUUAGCCUAGCACUUGAUCGUUUAGUAUACUGCUAUUGCUUUCUUCAUGACUUAUACAAAGUUCCUGCAACUAUGAGAUUGUGCAACUCCCGUUUACCAAAAGAACACUUUGUGUGCUACCAAACGUCACAACGUAACUGGGUGAUUAUAAAGGUUCUCUACAGGUGUUUCCGAAGGUACAUGUUGGGUUGGCAUAAUUCGAGAUUAGGAUUUGUCACUCCGAUUGUCGGAGAGGUAUCUUUGGGCCCUCUCGGUAAUACUCAUCACAUAAGCCUUGCAAGCAUGUAACUAAUGAGUUAGUUAUGAGAUGACGUAUUACGGAACGAGUAAAGAGACUUGCCGGUAACGAGAUUGAACUAGGUAUUGGAUACCAACGAUCAAAUCUCGGGCAAGUAACAUACCGAUGACAAAGGGAACAAAGUAUGUUGUUAUGCGGUUUGACCGAUAAAGAUCUUCAUAGAAUAUGUAGGAACCAAUAUGGGCAUCCAGGUCCCGCUAUUGGUUAUUGACCGAGAAUGGUUUUAGGUCAUGACUACAUAGUUCUCGAACCCGUAGGGUCCGCACGCUUAACGUUUCGAUGAUAGUUUUAUUAUGAGUUUAUAAGUUUUGAUGUACCGAAGUUUGUUCGGAGUCCCAGAUGUGAUCACAGACAUGACGAGGAGUCUUGGAAUGGUCGAGACAUAAAGAUUGAUAUAUUGGACGACUAUAUUCGGACACCGGAAAGGUUCCGGGAGUUUUCGGAGAAAACCGGAGUGCCGGGGGGGUUACCGGAACCCCCCGGGAGAGUUAAUGGGCCACAUGGGCCUAGGUGGGAAGAGAGAGGUGCGGCCAGGGUGGGCCGCGCGCCCCCUCUCCCUCUAGUUCGAAUUGGACUAGGAGGGGGGGCGGCGCCCCCCUUUCCUUCCCCCCCUCUCUUCCUUCCUUCCCCCUCCUAGUAGGAGUAGGAAAGGAGGAAUCCUACUCCUACUAGGAGGAGGAUUCCUCCUCCCUUGGAGCGCCCCAAGGGGCUGGCCGGCCUCCCCCUCCCUCCUUUAUAUACGAGGGCAGGGGGCACCCCAUAGACACACAAGUUGAACUACGGAUCGUUCCUUAGCCGUGUGCGGUGCCCCCUUCCACCAUAUUCCACCUCGGUCAUAUUGUCGCGAAGCUUAGGCGAAGCCCUGCGCCGGUAGAACAUCAAGAUCGUCACCACGCCGUCGUGCUGACGGAACUCUCCCUCGACACUCGGCUGGAUCGGAGUUCGAGGGACGUCAUCGAGCUGAACAUCUGCUGAACUCGGAGGCUCCGUACGUUAGGUGCUUGGAUCGGUCGGAUCGUGAAGACGUACGACUACAUCAACCGCGUUGUCAUAACGCUUCCGCUUACGGUCUACGAGGGUACGUGGACAUACACUCUCCCCUCUCGUUGCUAUUUCAUCACCAUGAUCUUGCUUGUGCGUAGGAAAAUUUUGAAAUUACUACGUUCCCCAACAUCUCUGCCUUCCACUGCAGCAAUUCCAGUACGGUACCGAGCUUUGUGUUGCCAUCUUCGCAAUUGGGGUACAACCCUUUUUUUUGGUCCUCUAGCAUGCGAUCGAACUUCAGCUUCUCCUUUUGACUUUUGCAUUGCGUCCUUGCAUCGACAAUGACCCGGCGGAGAUCAUCAUCAUCGGGCACAUCGUCUGGUUCCUCUUGAUCUUCAGCAGCUUCGCCUGUUGCAGCAUCAUCGUGCACAUCGUCUGGUUCCUCUUGAUCUUCAGGAGCAUCACCGUAUUCAGGGGCACAUAGUUGUCAUCGUACUCUUCUUCACCGUCUUCCAUCAUAACCCCUAUUUCUCCGUGCCUCAUCCAAACAUUAUAGUGUGGCAUGAAACCCUUGUAAAGCAGGUGGGUGUGGAGGAUUUUCCGGUCAGAGUAAGACUUCGUAUUCCCACAUAUAGGACAUGGACAACACAUAAAACCAUUCUGCUUGUUUGCCUCAGCCACUUCGAGAAAAUCAUGCACGCGCUUAAUGUACUCGGAGGUGUGUCUUGAACCGUACAUCCAUUGCCGGUUCAUCUGCGUGCAUUAUAUAAUGAAGUGACCAAAUUAAUAGAAGUUCAUCAUCACAUUAAAACCAAAGUACAUACAUAGUUCUCAUCUAACAACAUAAAGCUCUGCAGAGCAUCUAAAUUAAUUAAACCAUACACUGAAACUAUGUAAAACAUUUCAAUGCGAAAACAAAUGCAACCAUAAUCGCAACCAAUGUAACAACUGAUCCAACGGCAUAAUGAUACCAAGCCUCAGUAUGAAUGGCAUAUUUUCUAAUCUUUCUAAUCUUCAAGCGCAUUGCAUCCAUCUUGAUCUUGUGAUCAUCGACGACAUCCCCAACAUGCAACUCCAAUAUCAUCUUCUCCUCCUCAAUUUUUCUAAUUUUUUCCUUCAAGAAAUUGUUUUCUUCUUCAACUGAAUUUAACCUCUCGACAAUAGGGUCGGUUGGAAUUUCCGGUUCAACAACCUCCUAGAUAAAUAAAAUCUAUGUCACGUUGGUCGGCAUAAUUGUCAUAAACAAUAAAUGAACCAAUAGUUAUGAAAAGAUAAUAUAUACCACAUCCGAAUCAUAGACAGGACGAGGGCCGACGGGGGCGGAUACCAAAACCAUCGCACUAUAUAAGAUGCAAUAAUAAAAGUAAGAAAAUAAUACAAGUAUCUAUCUAAACAUACAAGUAAGAAUAUUUUUCCUUUCAGAAAGAAGAUAAGAACAAGAGGCUCACCACGGUGGUGCCGGCGAUGAGAUCGGCGCGGGUGAUCGACGACGAUGAAGACAAGGACGGGGCGUGACGGACCGCUAAACCUAGACAAAUAUUGAGGAAAAUGGAGCUUGGCGGUCGAGCUUGGAGGGGAGAAAGCUUAAGUAGUGUGGCUCGGGCAUUCCAUCGAACACCUCGUGUGCAUAGGAGGUGAGCUAGAGCACCACAAAGCUCUCCCCUCGCCGGCCACGAAAAACAGAGCACUGGGAGUGCUCUGCUCGCGAGCGGGGGGUAUAUAUAGGCACCACCAUUGGUCCCGGUUGGUCGCACGAACCGGGACUAAAGGUUGGCCUUUGGUCCCGGUUCGUGCCACCAACUGGGACCAAUGGUGGUGGGCCAGGAGCGAGGCCCAUUGGUCCCGGUUCGUCCCUCCAACCGGGACCAAAAGGUCCAGACAAACCGGGACCAAUGGCCCACGUGUUGGGUUUCGUAGUAAUUUCAAAAAAUUUCCUACGCACACGCAAGAUCAUGUGAUGCAUAGCAACGAGGGGAGAGUGUUGUCUACGUACCCAACGCAGACCGACUGCGGAAGCGAUGACACGACGUAGAGGAAGUAGUCGUACGUCUUCACGAUCCAACCGAUCAAGCACCGAAACUACGGCACCUCCGAGUUCGAGCACACGUUCAGCUCGAUGACGAUCCCCGGACUCCGAUCCAGCAAAGUGUCGGGGAAGAGUUCCGUCAGCACGACGGCGUGGUGACGAUCUUGAUGAACUACAGCAGCAGGGCUUCGCCUAAACUCCGCUACAGUAUUAUCGAGGUAUAUGGUGGCAGGGGCACCGCACACGGCUAAGGAAUAGAUCACGUGGAUCAACUUGUGUGUAUAGAGGUGCCCCCUGCCUCCGUAUAUAAAGGAGGAGAGGAGGGGAGGCUGGCCGGCCAAGGAGGGGAGGCGCAGGAGAGUCCUACUCCCUCUGGGAGUAGGAUUCCCCCCAAUCCUAGUCCAACUAGGAUUCCUCGGAGGGGAAGGGAGAGAGGGGGGCCGGCCACCUUCUCCUAGUCCUAAUAGGACUAGGGGAGGGGGAAGUGGCGCAGCCACCUUGGGCUGCCCCUUUCUCCUUUCCACUAAGGCCCAUGAAGGCCCAUAUGGCUCCCGGGGGGUUCCGGUAAUCCUCCCGGUACUCCGGUAAAAUCCCGAUUUCACCCGGAACACUUCCGAUGUCCAAACAUAGGCUUCCAAUAUAUCAAUCUUUAUGUCUCGACCGUUUCGAGACUCCUCGUCAUGUCCAUGAUCACAUCCGGGACUCCAAACAACCUUCGGUACAUCAAAAUGCAUAAACUCAUAAUGUAACUGUCAUCGUAACCUUAAGCGUGCGGACCCUACGGGUUCGAGAACAAUGUAGACAUGACCGAGACACGUCUCCGGUCAAUAACCAAUAGCGGGACCUGGAUGCCCAUAUUGGCUCCUACAUAUUCUACGAAGAUCUUUAUCGGUCAGACCGCAUAACAACAUACGUUGUUCCCUUUGUCAUCGGUACGUUACUUGCCCGAGAUUCGAUCGUCGGUAUCCAAUACCUAGUUCAAUCUCGUCACCGGCAAGUCUCUUUACUCGUUCUAUAAUGCAUCAUCCCGUAACCAACUCAUUGGUCACAUUGCUUGCAAGGCUUAUAAUGAUGUGCAUUACCGAGAGGGCCCAGAGAUACCUCUCCGACAAUCGGAGUGACAAAACCUAAUCUCGAAAUACGCCAACUCAACAUGUACCUUCGGAGACACCUGUAGUACUCCUUUAUAAUCACCCAGUUAAGUUGUGACGUUUGGUAGUACCCAAAGUGUUCCUCCGGUAAACGGGAGUUGCAUAAUCUCAUAGUUACAGGAACAUGUAUAAGUCAUGAAGAAAGCAAUAGCAACAUACUAAACGAUCAAGUGCUAAGCUAACGGAAUGGGUGAAGUCAAUCACAUCAUUCUCCUAAUGAUGUGACCCCGUUAAUCAAAUGACAACUCUUUUGUCCAUGGCUAGGAAACAUAACCAUCUUUGAUAAACGAGCUAGUCAAGUAGAGGCAUACUAGUGACACUAUGUUUGUCUAUGUAUUCACACAUGUAUUAUGUUUCUGGUUAAUACAAUUCUAGCAUGAAUAAUAAACAUUUAUCAUGAAAUAAGGAAAUAAAUAAUAACUUUAUUAUUGCCUCUAGGGCAUAUUUCCUUCAGUCUCCCACUUGCACUAGAGUCAAUAAUCUAGUUCACAUCGUCAUGUGAUUUAACAACAAUAUUCAUAUCUGUAUAUGAUUAACACCCAUAGUUCACAUUAUCAUGUGACCAACACCCAAAGGGUUUACUAGAGUAAAUAAUCUAGUUCACAUCUCUAUGUGAUUAACACCCAAAGAGUACUAAGGUGUGAUCAUGUUUUGCUCGUGAAAGAAGCUUAGUCAAUGGGUCUGUCACAUUCAGAGCCGUAUGCAUUUUGCAAAUAUUUUAUGUCUACAAUGCUCUGCACGGUGCUACUCUAGCAAUUGCUCCCACUUUCAAUAUGUAUCCAGAUUGAGACUUAGAGUCAUCUGGAUCGGUGUGAAAACUUGCACCGAGGUAACUUUUACGACGGGCUCUUUUAUCACCUCCAUAAUCGAGAAAUAUUUCCUUAGUCCUCACUAAGGAUAUUCUUGACCAAUGUCGAGUGAUCUACUCCUAGAUCACUAUUGUACUCCCUUGUCAAAUACUGAGCAAGGUAUACAAUAGUUCUGGUACAUAGCAUAGCAUACUUUAUAGAACCUAUGACUGAGGCAUAGGGAAUGACUUUUCAUUUUUUCUAUUUUCUGUUGUGGUCGGGAUUUGAGUCUUACUCAAUUUCAUACCUUUGCAACACAGGCAAGAACUCUUUCUUUGACUGUUCCAUUUUGAACUAUUUCAAAAUCUUGCCAAGGUAUGUACUCAUUGAAAAUCUUAUCAAGCGUCUUGAUCUAUCUCAAUAUAUCUUGAUGCUCAAUAUGUAAGUAGCUUUUACUGAGGUCUUUUCCUUUUAAAGAACUCCUUUAAAACACUCCUUUAUGCUUUGCAGAAAAAUUCUACAUCAUUUCUGAUCAACAAUAUGUCACUCGUAUAUACUAAUCAGAAAGGCUAUAGUGCUCCCACUCACUUUAUUGUAAAUACAGGCUUCUCAAAAAGUCUGUAUAAAACCAUAUGCUUUGAUCAACUCAUCAAAGCGUAUAUUCCAACUCCGAGAGGCUUGCACCAGUCCAUAGAUGGAUCGCUGGAGCUUGCACAUUUUUUUAGCACCUUUAGGAUUGACAAAACCUUCUGGUUGCAUCAUAUACAACUCUUCUUUAAUAAAUCCAUUAAGGAAUGCAGUUUUGAUAUCCAUUUGCCAGAUUUCAUAAAAUGUGGCAAUUGCUAACAUGAUUCAGACAGACUUAAGAAUCGAUACGAGUGAGAAAAUCUCAUCGUAUUCAACACCUUGAACUUGUUGAAAACCUUUCGCAACAAGUCGAGCUUGGUAGAUAGUAACACUACUAUCAGUGUCCGUCUUCCUCUUGAAGAUCCAUUCAUUUAACAUGGCUUGCUGAUCAUCGAGCAAGUCAAUCAAAGUCCAUACUUUGUUCUCAUACAUGGAUCAUAUCUCAGAUUUUAUGGCCUCGAGCCAUUUCGCGGAAUCUGGGCUCAUCAUCGCUUCUUCAUAGUUCGUAGGUUCAUCAUGAUCUAGUAUCAUGACUUCCAGAAUAGGAUUACCGUACCAUUCUGGUGCGGAUCUUACUCUGGUUGAUCUACGAGGUUCAUCAGUAUCUUGAUCUGAAGUUUCAUGAUCAUUAUCAUUGGCUUCCUCACUAACUGGUGUAGGUGUCACUGAAACAGUUUUCUGUGAUGAACUACUUUCCAGUAAGGGAGCAGGUACAGUUACCUCGUCAAGUUCUACUUUCCUCCCACUCACUUCUUUCGAGAGAAACUCCUUCUCUAGAAAGGAUCCAUUCUUAGCAACGAAUGUCUUGCCUUCGGAUCUGUGAUAGAAGGUGUACCCAAUAGUCUCCUUUGGGUAUCCUAUGAAGACACAUUUCUCCGAUUUGGGUUCGAGCUUAUCAGGUUGAAGCUUUUUCACAUAAGCAUCGCAGCCCCAAACUUUAAGAAACGACAACUUUGGUUUCUUGCCAAACCACAGUUCAUAAGGCGUCGUCUCAACGGAUUUUGAUGGUGCCCUAUUUAACGUGAAUGCGGCCGUCUCUAAAGCAUAUCCCCAAAAUGAUAGCGGUAAAUCAGUAAGAGACAUCAUAGAUCGCACCAUAUCUAGUAAAGUACGAUUACGAUGUUCGGACACACCAUUACGCUGUGGUGUUCCGGGUGGCGUGAGUUGCGAAACUAUUCCACAGUUUUUCAAAUGUACACCAAACUCGUAACUCAAAUAUUCUCCUCCACGAUCAGAUCGUAGAAACUUUAUUUUCUUGUUACGAUGAUUUUCAACUUCACUCUGAAAUUCUUUGAAAUUUUCAAAUGUUUCAGACUUAUGUUUCAUUAAGUAGAUAUACCCAUAUCUGCUUAAAUCAUCUGUGAAGGUGAGAAAAUAACGAUAUCCGCCACGAGCCUCAGUAUUCAUCGGGCCACAUACAUCGGUAUGUAUGAUUUCCAACAAAUCUGUUGCUCUCUCCAUAGUACCGGAGAACGGUGUUUUAGUCAUCUUGCCCAUGAGGCACGGUUCGCAAGUACCAAGUGAUUCAUAAUCAAGUGGUUCCAAAAGUCCAUCAGUAUGGAGUUUCUUCAUGCGCUUUAUACCGAUAUGACCUAAACGACAGUGCCACAAAUAAGUUGCACUUUCAUUAUCAACUCUGCAUCUUUUGGCUUCAACAUUAUGAAUAUGUGUAUUACUACUAUCGAGAUCCAACAAACCAUUUUCAUUGGGUGUAUGACCAUAGAAGGUUUUAUUCAUGUAAACAGAACAACAAUUAUUCUCUAACUUACAUGAAUAACCGUAUUGCAAUAAACAUGAUCAAAUCAUAUUCAUGCUCAACGCAAACACCAAAUAACACUUAUUUAGGUUUAACACUAAUCCCAAAAGUAUAGGGAGUGUGCGAUGAUGAUCAUAUCAAUCUUGGAACUAUUUCCAACACACAUCGUCACUUCACCCUUUAACUAGUCUCUGUUUAUUCUGCAACUCCCGUUUCGAGUUACUAAUCUUAGCAACUGAACUAAUAUCAAAUACUGAGGGGUUGCUAUAAACACUAGUAACGUACACAUCAAUAACAUGUAUAUCAAAUAUACUUAUGUUCACUUUGCCAUCCUUCUUAUCCGCCAAUCACUUGGGGUAGUACCUCUUCCAGUGACCAGUCUCUUUGAAGUAGAAGCACUUAGUCUCAGGCUUAGGACCAGACUUGGGUUUCUUCACUUGAGCAGCAACUUGCUUGCCGUUCUUCUUGAAGUUCCCUUUCUUUCCCUUUGCCCUUUUCUUGAAACUAGUGAUCUUGUUAACCAUCAACACUUGAUGCUCUUUCUUGAUUUCUACCUUCGUUGAUUUCAGCAUCAUGAAGAGCUUGGGAAUCGUUUUCGUCAUCCCUUGCAUACUAUAGUUCAUCACGAAGUUCUAGUAACUUAGUGAUGGUGACUAGAGAAUUCUGUCAAUCACUAUCUUACCUGGAAGAUUAACUCCCACUUGAUUCAAGCGAUUGAAAUACCCAGACAAUCUGAGCACAUGCUCACUAGUUGAGCGAUUCUCCUCCAUCUUUUAGCUAUAGAACUUGUUGGAGACUUCAUAUCUCUCAACUCGGGUAUUUGCUUGAAAUAUUAACUUCAAUUCCUGGAACAUCUCAUAUGGUCCAUGACGUUCAAAACGUCUUUGAAGUCCCGAUUCUAAGCCGUUAAGCAUGGUGCACUAAACUAUCAAGUAGUCAUCAUCUUGAGCUAGCCAGACGUUCAUAACUUCUGCAUCUGCUCCUGCAAUAGGUCUGUCACCUAGCGGUGCAUUAAGGACAUAAUUCUUCUGUGCAGCACUGAGGAUAAACCUCAGAUCACGGAUCGAAUCCGCAUCAUUGCUACUAACAUUUUUCAACACAAUAUUCUCUAGGAACAUAUCAAAAUAAACAUAUGAAAGCAACAACGCGAGCUAUUGAUCUACAACAUAAUUUGCAAAAUACUACUAGGACUAAGUUCAUGAUAAAUUAAAGUUCAAUUAAUCAUAUUACUUAAGAACUCCCACUUAGAUAGACAUCCCUCUAAUCCUCUAAGUGAUCACGUGAUCCAAAUCAACUAAACCAUGUCCGAUCAUCACGUGAGAUGGAGUAGUUUCAAUGGUGAACAUCACUAUGUUGAUCAUAUCUACUAUAUGAUUCACGCUCGACCUUUCGGUCUCUGUGUUCCGAGGCCAUAUCUGUAUAUGCUAGGCUCGUCAAGUAUAACCUGAGUAUUCCGCGCGUGCAACUGUUUUGCACCCGUUGUAUUUGAACGUAGAGCCUAUCACACCCGAUCAUCACGUGGUGUCUCAGCACGACGAACUUUGGCAACGGUGCAUACUCAGGGAGAACACUUCUUGAUAAUUUAGUGAGAGAUCAUCUUAUAAUGCUACCAUCAAUAAAAGCAAGAUAAGAUGCAUAAAAAGAUAAACAUCACAUGCAAUCAAUAUAAGUGAUAUGAUAUGGCCAUCAUCAUCGUGUGCUUGUGAUCUCCAUCUCCGAAGCACCGUCAUGAUCACCAUCGUCACCGGCGCGACACCUUGAUCUCCAUCGUAGCAUCGUUGUCGUCUCGCCAAUCUUAUGCUUCCACGACUAUCACUACUGUUUAGUAAUAAAGUAAAGCAUUACAUCGCGAUUGCAUUGCAUACAAUAAAGCGACAACCAUAUGGCUCCUGCCAGUUGCCGAUAACUCGGUUACAAAACAUGAUCAUCUCAUACAAUAAAAUUCAGCAUCAUGCCUUGACCAUAUCACAUCACAACAUGCCCUGCAAAAACAAGUUAGACGUCCUCUACUUUGUUGUUGCAUGUUUUACGUGGCUGCUACGGGCUUAAGUAAGAACCAAUCUCACCUACGCAUCAAAACCACAACGAUAGUUUGUCAAAUAGACUCCGUUUUAACCUUCUCAAGGACCGGGCGUAGCCAUACUCGGUUCAACUAAAGUUGGAGAGACAGUCGCCCGCAAGCCAUCCAUGUGCAAAGCACGUCGAGGGAACCGGUCUCGCGUAAGCGUACGCGUAAGGUUGGUCCAGGUCGUCUCGUCCAACAAUACCGCCGAACCAAAGUAUGACAUGCUGGUAGGCAGUAUGACUUGUAUCGUCCACAACUCACUUGUGUUCUACUCGUGCAUAUAACAUCAACAUAAAUAACCUAGGCUCGGAUGCCACUGUUGGGUUUCGUAGUAAUUUCAAAAAAUUUCCUACGCACACGCAAGAUCAUGUGAAGCAUAGCAACGAGGGGAGAGUGUUGUCUACGUACCCAACGCAGACCAACUGCGGAAGCGAUGACACGACGUAGAGGAAGUAGUCGUACGUCUUCACGAUCCAACCGAUCAAGCACCGAAACUACGGCACCUCCGAGUUCGAGCACACGUUCAGCUCGAUGACGAUCCCCGGACUCCGAUCCAGCAAAGUGUCGGGGAAGAGUUCCGUCAGCACGACGGCGUGGUGACGAUCUUGAUGAACUACAGCAGCAGGGCUUCGCCUAAACUCCACUACAGUAUUAUCGAGGUAUAUGGUGGCAGGGGGCACCGCACACGACUAAGGAAUAGAUCACGUGGAUCAACUUGUGUGUAUAGAGGUGCCCCCUGCCUCCGUAUAUAAAGGAGGAGAGGAGGGGAGGCUGGCCGGCCAAGGAGGGGAGGCGCAGGAGAGUCCUACUCCCUCUAGGAGUAGGAUUCCCCCCAAUCCUAGUCCAACUAGGAUUCCUCGGAGGGGAAGGGAGAGAGGGGGGCCCGCAGCCACCUUGGGCUGCCCCUUUCUCCUUUCCACUAAGGCCCAUGAAGGCCCAUAUGGCUCCCGGGGGGUUCCGGUAACCCUCCCGGUACUCCGGUAAAAUCCCGAUUUCACCCGGAACACUUCCGAUGUCCAAACAUAGGCUUCCAAUAUAUCAAUCUUUACGUCUUGACCAUUUUGAGACUCCUCGUCAUGUCCGUGAUCACAUCCGGGACUCCGAACAACCUUCGGUACAUCAAAAUGCAUAAACUCAUAAUGUAACUGUCAUCGUAACCUUAAGCGUGCGGACCCUACGGGUUCGAGAACAAUGUAGACAUGACCGAGACACGUCUCCGGUCAAUAACCAAUAGCGGGACCUGGAUGCCCAUAUUGGCUCCUACAUAUUCUACGAAGAUCUUUAUCGGUCAGACCGCAUAACAACAUACGUUGUUCCCUUUGUCAUCGGUAUGUUACUUGCCCGAGAUUCGAUCGUCGGUAUCCAAUACCUAGUUCAAUCUCGUCACCGGCAAGUCUCUUUACUCGUUCUAUAAUGCAUCAUCCCGUAACCAACUCAUUGGUCACAUUGCUUGCAAGGCUUAUAAUGAUGUGCAUUACCGAGAGGGCCCAGAGAUACCUCUCCGACAAUCGGAGUGACAAAACCUAAUCUCGAAAUACGCCAACUCAACAUGUACCUUCGGAGACACCUGUAGUACUCCUUUAUAAUCACCCAGUUACGUUGUGACGUUUGGUAGUACCCAAAGUGUUCCUCCGGUAAACGGGAGUUGCAUAAUCUCAUAGUUACAGAAACAUGUAUAAGUCAUGAAGAAAGCAAUAGCAACAUACUAAACGAUCAAGUGCUAAGCUAACGGAAUGGGUGAAGUCAAUCACAUCAUUCUCCUAAUGAUGCGACCCCGUUAAUCAAAUGACAACUCUUUUGUCCAUGGCUAGGAAACAUAACCAUCUUUGAUAAACGAGCUAGUCAAGUAGAGGCAUACUAGUGACACUAUGUUUGUCUAUGUAUUCACACAUGUAUUAUGUUUCCGGUUAAUACAAUUCUAGCAUGAAUAAUAAACAUUUAUCAUGAAAUAAGGAAAUAAAUAAUAACUUUAUUGUUGCCUCUAGGGCAUAUUUCCUUCACCACGUGGCCCGGCCGGCCCCCGGGGCUCAAGAACCAGGUCCAAUGCCCCCAUUGGUCCCGGUUUUGGAUUGAACCGGGACUAAUGGGCUGGACCGGCCUGGACCAUCGCCCCCUUUUCUACUAGUGUUAGUGCAUGGUGGUUAGUGAAGUUAGUGGAGCAUGGUGUGAGUGCGUGGGUCAUGGUUGAGUGCCAGACUUUGUAUAAAUUGUCAUUUGAGUCAAUGAGAAAAUGUAAGGCCGAGAGGGCCAGUGCAAAGAUGUAGCAUUUGUGGUAGCCAAGGGAGAUUAACUGGGCAAAGCUAUGUGUUCUUCCUUGGUCUAUGCGUGUGUGUGUUCUGUGUGUGUUCUCUCUCUGCGUCCUUGUGUUCAUGGGAGUGUUUUUGAGAGAAGCCAGAAGAGAGAGUUGUGAGAGGCAGCUCGAGGUAGAAGAAGGAGCGGUGCUGCUCCGAGAGGAGGCGGCGCCAACAAUUAUUGACGAAAGGGAUAUUAUAUUGCGCAAGGUAUAAUCAGACGCGUCGGGGAUGGAGCGACUACACACAUAUGGGAUCACAACUGGAUUAUGAGGGAAAGCUAUAAGAGGCCAAUAAAUAAGUUAGUGCAGAUCCCCCCUCAGAAACAUUUUAUGUAUACACGUUAACAUUUCCCAGAUAUAUGAUUAAUAUUUUUAGAAAACUUCUAUUUUUUAUGUGUACUUUUUAUACAUUUUGUAAUAUCAGAAAUAGUUUUUAUAGAAGGUUUAACAUUUUUCAAAUACAUGAUUACCUUUUUGUAAACUUAUAUUGUUUGACGUUUACUUUUUUCCAUAGACAUAGUGAGGGGUUAUAUCUAAGGAAUAGGCCCAAGUACAUGUAGGCACAACCAAAGGCCCAUGUUAAUCAAGGAUGUUCCACAAGACAAAUGGGAAAACACACCGGGGCUAAUGGAGCUACAAGGCCAAGGCAUCGGAUACAAGGGGAGAGUCAACUGUGUACAGUCAGAUUACACAACCCUUAACAGACAAGACUCAUCAGUUGGUCCACUAUAGGAAUCAGGUCAUUUGCCGUCAGCCGAGAACAGAUGCGAAGGCUUUGCCGUGAGCAAGUUGACGACAAACACAAUCAGCAAAGACUAUAUCAGCAAAGAGCUAAUUUGACGUCAACUUUUCAUCGCGCUGAUGACAAAGACUUUGCCGUCAAUUAAACUAUGUGUUUGUCGUCUGUAGAAAAAACACAAAUGGCAAAGAAAUUAAACAAAUGGUCAUUUUAUAAUAAUUUUUCGAAAUGUAUAUAGUGUAUUUUAAAAUGUUAAAUAUGUAUCAAGAAUUAUUUCAUAAAUAUACAGAAGAUGUACAACGUGUAUGAAAAUUAUGUAGACAUCAGAACAUAUUAUAGAAAUGUUAAUCUUGUAUUUAAAAAUGUUAAAUACACAUAAAUAAAAAUGUUUUUGAUGUACAUAAAAAAAUUGUACAUCGUGUGUGAACAAAGUAUGCAUUGAAAAAAAAAUCUUGUUGGAAAGAAAAUCUCGUGCUAUAUACGAAAAUGUAAAAGGUGUAUGAAAAUAAUUAGAUAUAUGCUUAACGAAAAAAAGGAAAGAAGGCGCAAAAAAAUCCGAUCAACACCAAGAUAGGAACAAGAAAACCUGAAGAAGACCAUUGAAAAAAAAGAAAAGAAUACAAGAAAGAGGAAAAAAAACAAAAAAAUGAAGAAGCUGAUGCAGAACAGGGAACUUGGUGAAAACGAAUAAAAAUUGAUGAAAACCGAGAAGAAAAACAAGAAAACUGAAGCAAAAAAAUAAUAAAAAUAUGUAAAAAAAUGAUGAAACAUUGCAAAACACUGAAAUACUAUGAAAACCAAAGGAAGAAAAGACUCAAAAAGAAGAACAUACAGCGAGCGAAUGAACAACAACUGAGUGAACGAGCGACCAUGCGAGAACACGUUAAUUGUCCGGCCCAUACUUGUGGACUCCAGAGGCGAGCCAGAAUAGGCGAGAUAUAGCUAUGACGAUUUGAUACCCUUCACAGCUUCACGAAUGCUAUAUCUCGCUCACAGCGAAAGUAUAUUUUGUCUGGCCUGAAGGUGCAAGAAUAGCAUCAGGUCGCUGUAAGGUUUGUGAUCCUACAAUGAGAGCUCCGAUAAGAUUAAAGUUCAUUUUUCUGACAACCUUUGGUCGUUCGUUCGCGCUCAGGUCGUCCGCUCACUCGAUUCCACGUACUAGUUUGGUUAUGUUGUUUUUUUCAUUUUGUUCUUUUUUUGUUUCUUCACUGGCUUUCUUUGGUUUUUAUAUCGGUUUUCUUUGUUUCCUUCACGUUUUAUUCCUGUUUUCCUUUUUACUGGUUUAUUUAUUCCUUUUUUUCUUUGUUUCUUUCUUGGUUUUCUUUGUUUUUCUUUCUUUUGAUGUCAAUCUUUUUACAUACGCAUUCAACAAUUUCCGUAUACAUCAGAAACAUUUUAUGUAUACACAUUAACAUUUCCCAGAUAUAUGAUUAAUAUUUUUGGAAAACCUCUAUUUUUUAUGUGUACUUUUUGAUACAUUUUGUAUAUAUCAGAAAUAUUUUUUUAGAAGGUUUAACAUUUUUUUAAAUACAUGAUUACCUUUUUGUAAACUUAUAUUGUUUGACGUUUAUUUUUUUCCAUAGACAUAGUGAGGGGUUAUAUCUAAGGAAUAGGCCCAAGUACAUAUAUGGCACAACCAAAGACCCAUGUUAAUCAAGGAUGUGGUCCACAAAACAAAUGGGGAAACACACGGGGGCCAAUGGAGCUACAAGGCCAAAGCAUCGGAUAUAAGGGGAGAAUAAGUGUGUACAGUCGGAUUACACAACACUUGACAGACAAGACUCAUUAGUUGGUCCACUAUAGGAAUCGAGUAAUUUGCCGUCAGCCGAGAACAGACUCGAAGUCUUUGCCGUCAGCAAGUUGAUGACAAACACAGUGAGCAAAGACUAUAUCGGCAAAGAGCUAAUUUGACGUUAACUUUUCAUCCGCUGAUGACAAAGACUUUGCCGUCAAUUAAACUAUGUGUUUGUCGUCUGUAGAAAAAACACAAAUGGCAAAGAAAAGCAUCUUUGCCAUCAGCAACUGAUUCACAUGUGUCGUCAGCCAGACUCGUCUUGUCACUAGCCUCAAACAUCACAGAUGGCAAAGAUUUUUUUUUAUUUUUAAAAUUCCGCGUCGACCACCCUAUCGCUCGUGCAGCCACCGCCUGGCCGCGCUCGCCUCCCUGCUCACAUGCCCUGCCAGCUUGCGCCGUUGCCAUCCGGCAGCGCUCGCCCGACCCUGCUCAUCGCCCGGCCGAGCUCGCCCGCCCUGCUCGGUCGCGUCGUCGGCAGCUGCCCUGCUUGCACACGUACCUGCCCAGCCUUGCUCAUACCGCCGGCCACCCUGCUCGCUAGAGAAAGGAAGGCGAGAGAGGAGGCUCGGGGGAGAAAGAAAAAACAAAGGAGAGAGAGAGGAUGCUACCACUGCCACAUCACCAAUACGCAUGAUCGAUCUGCAAGAUGUGCUCUCUCUUUUGCCGCCUCUGAUGGCAAAGUAUGUCUUUAUCGUCUAUAAUAAGAUUACAAACAGCAAAGUGAGCUCUUUGCCGUCUGUAAAAAAACGGACGACAAACAAACUUUGUUGUCAGCUGCCGACGGCAAAAAGUGCUCUUUACCGCAGCCUCGAUGAGAAGCUGAAGGCAAAGUGCCCCACAGACGGCAAAUUAGUUGAUUCCUGGGUGGUUAUGAGCAAGACAGGAGCAAUAACCCUAUCUACACUCGGUCAUCUGGAAGACAGGAGUAGUCGAACCAUCUAUAGUCGGCUACAUCUGAGGUUACCGUGACCCUUACGAUGCAUUCAUUAUCGCCGUUACUCAAUGGAGUAGUUAAAUACGUCAGUUAGCAAUAAUAAUAGCCACGAACAGUCAAUCAUGCAUGUGACCAUCAAUAGCAUUUAUACCAACCCAUUACGGCACUUCCUCCUAGCACACUCUAUAUAAGCCAGGAGUAGGACAUGAGAGUGAGGGAUGAACUCUCUCACAGUAUAACCUACGCCAAGAGCAGGAACACCACAUGAAUAGAGAUUACCUCCACCAACGUACUCCCAUCCGUUUUAUGUACCGAUCAAUGUAUAUAAUGGCUUCUACAUUCACAUCCCGUAGUAUUGUCAGGAUUAUAUCCACGACAGAAACUAUAUUUUGUUAUACAUCAAGAACAUUUUAUAUAUAAAUAUUUACAAUUUUUUAAAUACAUGAUUAAUAUUUUUUCAAACAUAUAUUUUGUAUGUCUCCUUUUCAUAAUCUUUGAUCCCUGGAAGUUUCAGAUUUUUUCCGAUUUGUUCUCAUUUUUUUAUGAAUUUACUGUUCAUGAGGGUGUAGGGGCACCCAGGAGCUGUUAGGCAUAAUAUUUCUGCUGUUGUUGUCAUCAUCAAGGGGAAUGAGAAGGGUUGAAGUUUUCGUUUUCUUUGAGGGGGAAAUCAGAGUUGGGGGCUGGAAGUGAGUGAUUAGGCCCAACAUAAGCGCUGUGUGUGUGUGUCUCGUCACGGGCACCAAAUUCGAACUGGGCUAUUGUUUUCUGAGAACCCAACGUCACAAGCCCAACCAACAGUCUGCCGAUCUGCAUCUUCCUCUCCUUGUCCAUCCUCCUCGUUGGCCGGACCGCCUCGAGCCACGGCCGCUCCCUGGCGCAGCGUCCUCCCCUUCCUCUCCACCCCCAAAUUCUCUUGUAUCCUCUUCUGAUCUCCUUCCUUACUUCCUCUCGCUGAUGGUCUCCACAAGAAGGUCUCCGAGCUCCUCGGAGGGUUCCGGCUGUACGUCGACGCAGCCUCUCCGACCUCCCCAUGAACAUGAGCUAUCGACCCUGAAAGCCUGUCUCUUCCAUGAUUCGAUUCACAUGAAUUCACGAGCCGCAUGAAUCAUGAAGGUCAUGGAGCAGAAUUCAGUCGUGUAGCCUGACAGUGAUGUACAUUUGUGGCUUUUCUGGCUAAAUAGCUCUGUACCCUAUGUGGAUGCCACUUCAAAUAAUCGUCAAAAUAAUUCUCCUGCACGCGUUAUACAAAUGGCGAAGAAGAAGUUCGCGUGGAACAUUUCGUUUCUUAUUGAUGUCCGAGAGAAAAGCUCCUAGGAAGUUCAUCCGCUCGGUGGAUUAUAAGUUUAAGUUUGUUACAACAUCCAAUCAUCCAUAUAAUCUCUGUGUUUCUUCUGUUUUCUACCAGUCAUAUAUCAUAUGUGCAUCAGAGGAAAAAUGCUUUCAGCAGUCAUGUUGGAGCGCGCAUACCAAGUUCCCACAUUGCAAAUAUGAUCCUAGCCAUUAAUAUGUUUCAUUCCACAUUUUCUUGAUCUAAUUUCUAAAUGAUUGGACAACCUGUUAUAGUCUUAUAGAAUUAUGAGCCGCCAAAUCCACAUUUCUCUUGGUCUAAUUUCUAAAUGAUAAUGUGCAGCAUCUAUCUCCUGGUGAACCUUUUUUUCUUGCGACUGUAUCUCCUGAUGAACCUAGUUUUCUCUAGGUAGCACAAUAAUUGUACUGGUUUGAUGUAAAGGACAUAAAUACAAGGGAAUAAAUUGGAAGCUUAUUUCAAAUUAACUAGCUAGUGGUGUUUGUGAAGUUCAAGAAAAAGCUGGUCUUUUUCUCGACAAAUAAUUUAACAUGCAAAGAAUCAAUAAAUGUAUUUGCAAGAAAGCAAACAUAAUUAACGAUAAAACUGGUUUAUUGUCACUGUAGACAACGGUAGUAGUUGGAACUAGAUACAAACCAAUAAAAAACAAGAUCUCAAAUCUCCAACCAAUAAAGAGUUCAACCCAAAUUUUACAGUAACACCAUUAUAUUCAAAUAGUGAUUAUUCCAACACAUGGAUAAUUAAUUAAGGCACCAGGUUGCCCUUGUGACUAGGAAAGACAAACUUAUGAACUUGCAAGCAUGGCAAUCAGAUCGACAUCCACACAAUGCCAAUAUGAACAUUGUCUUGAUACAACUUUAUUUUUAUUUUAUUUCAGAAUUUAAACAACUAGUAUGGGCGGGUCACACACGACAUUGUGUGACACUUUAUUUGUCACCGCUGCAUCGACAUAUCCAUCGACUAAACAACGGUGAUCCAACUAUAUAUUACUAGAGACCUUUCCUUAUUAGUAGGAACCAACUCCGGUGCCAACACCGAAUGGCACACUAGUGGUGGUUCUAUACAACGGCACAUUGACACGGCACAUCGUUGGCAGGGUACGGAGCGCAAUGGAAGUCAUCACCUCAAGCUGAGCUAUCUGGUGUGGCUGCAAAAAGGUACCUUGUGCCAAUUGUUGUUGUUGAGGUUGUUGCCCGAGUUGUUGUUGUGACUGCUGUUGGGGUUGGGAAACACAUUGGCCCAACUGUUGGGGUUGCUGCUGAGGAGUUUGGAUGGAACCCUGAACCUGUUGUUGUUCUUGCAGGAUGAUGGAGUAGAUGAUAGCACGGAUUGCCUCAUAGCGGGAUUGCUGGGGGAUUUGCGGCAACUGCUGGCAACAUUGUUGUUGCAUCACAUGGCAACUGCUCUGCUGCAACAUUUGCGACCUAGCAAGACUUUGUGGCAUUGCCACAGGGCUGCAUUGCUGCUGGAGGAAUACCUUGCAUGGGUUUAGCUGCUGCAAGAUAGAUGGAUGAACAAAUGGUAUUUGUUGUUGCGGUAGAACUAGUUGUUGUUGUUGCUGCGAAAAUGGUGGUUGUUGCGGUAGACUUGGUUGUUGUUGUUGCAAAAAUGGUGGUUGUUGCUGUAGUACUAUUUGUUGUUGUUGCGAAAACGGUGAUUGUUGCUGUGAAAAUGGUGGUAGUUGUUGCUGUGAAAAUGAUGGUUGUUGCGGUAGAACUGGUUGUUGUUGCUGCGAAAAUGGUGGUUGUUGUUGUGAAAAUGGUGGUUGUUGUUGCUGCGAAAAUGGUGGUUGUUGUUGUGAAAANNNNNNNNNNNNNNNNNNNNNNNNNNNNNNNNNNNNNNNNNNNNNNNNNNNNNNNNNNNNNNNNNNNNNNNNNNNNNNNNNNNNNNNNNNNNNNNNNNNNNNNNNNNNNNNNNNNNNNNNNNNNNNNNNNNNNNNNNNNNNNNNNNNNNNNNNNNNNNNNNNNNNNNNNNNNNNNNNNNNNNNNNNNNNNNNNNNNNNNNNNNNUGGUUGUUGUUGCUGCGAUAAUGGUUGUUGUUGUUGCUGCGAAAAUGGUGGUUGUUGUUGUGAAAAUGGUGGUUGUUGUUGCUGCGAUAAUGGUUGUUGUUGUUGUUGCUGUGAACAUGGUUGCUGUUGUGAAAAUGGUUGUGGUUGUUGUUGGAUGGGUUGUUGUUGUUGGUGGUGCGAUAAUGUUUGUUGUGGUGGUAAUGGUUGUUGCUGCGAUGGUCUCUCCAAACCAGGGAUGUGGCUAUUCUCCAUUUGUGCAAUGGCACUUGUCGCCACAAUGGCGAGGAGAGCAAAGAUGAGGAAGGUCUUCAUGGUGGAUUGGUGUUAACCAGUGUUGCUUGGUUUUGAUGCUUGUGCUUGUGAUGAUCUUUAUACUUCAUGCCUAUUUAUAGUAGCCCGGGCACCACCUCUUUUCUUCUUUGCAUUAGCUUUAAUAAUUCUGUUUGGAUGCAUCUAAAAUGAUUUUUGGUACAAUGUGUUAGGUUGCACUAGCUACACGCGUACUUUUGGAUUGAUCAUCAAAGUUGCUUUUUAGUUGUGCAUAUGAUCACACACAAAGUACAGAAACCUUGAUGUUUGGUACAUAUGACUCACCUUAUUCACUUUACAUGUCACACACUUAUCUGGAUAGUAUCACUUUUGCAACCGAGUUUGGAACCUUGUAUAGGCUGUCAUCCAUAAACAAGAAAGGCAAAACUUGUGUAGGACUAAGUUUGCAAUCGGAGGGUUCUUCUAGACUCGAUUUCUUUUCGUAAAACUAACUUUGUAUUUUUCCUCUAAGAUGAUAAGAUGAACCGACGCCUAUAGAGCAUGACAUGACUCAUCGAAUUCCCUUUACAUGUAAAGGAUGGUAAUUGCUUACAAGCUACUCCUACUAGCAUAUAUCCGGUUCCAAGCCUAGACACGUCAUCAUCAGUUUCGUCUAUUUUUUUAGAUAAAUCAUCAGUUCUAUCUAUUUGUGAAGGGUUUUUUUGGGGGGAAAUGAUAGUUUUUUUAUGCUAGGGGGGUUUUUUNNNNNNNNNNNNNNNNNNNNNNNNNNNNNNNNNNNNNNNNNNNNNNNNNNNNNNNNNNNNNNNNNNNNNNNNNNNNNNNNNNNNNNNNNNNNNNNNNNNNNNNNNNNNNNNNNNNNNNNNNNNNNNNNNNNNNNNNNNNNNNNNNNNNNNNNNNNNNNNNNNNNNNNNNNNNNNNNNNNNNNNNNNNNNNNNNNNNNNNNNNNNNNNNNNNNNNNNNNNNNNNNNNNNNNNNNNNNNNNNNNNNNNNNNNNNNNNNNNNNNNNNNNNNNNNNNNNNNNNNNNNNNNNNNNNNNNNNNNNNNNNNNNNNNNNNNNNNNNNNNNNNNNNNNNNNNNNNNNNNNNNNNNNNNNNNNNNNNNNNNNNNNNNNNNNNNNNNNNNNNNNNNNNNNNNNNNNNNNNNNNNNNNNNNNNNNNNNNNNNNNNNNNNNNNNNNNNNNNNNNNNNNNNNNNNNNNNNNNNNNNNNNNNNNNNNNNNNNNNNNNNNNNNNNNNNNNNNNNNNNNNNNNNNNNNNNNNNNNNNNNNNNNNNNNNNNNNNNNNNNNNNNNNNNNNNNNNNNNNNNNNNNNNNNNNNNNNNNNNNNNNNNNNNNNNNNNNNNNNNNNNNNNNNNNNNNNNGCCGCCACCGCUCGACAAAAAAGGUCACUUUUGUAGCUCCCCCGUCGAUUGCGGGCCGUACGUCGACGGCAGCCACUCCGACCUCCCCGUCAACACAAGGUAUCGAUCUGUUUCGUCUGUCUCUUCCAGCGAUUCAAUGCACAUAAAUCCGAGAGGCAGACCCAUCUCCAUGCUAGCUGCACGGAUCAGGAGGGUCAGGCAUCAGAAUUCAGCUGGGAAGCCUGACACUAAUGUACAUUUGUGGCUUUAGUAGCUGAAUAUAACUAUGUGUUUUCUGAGAAUUUCACUUCAAAAGUUCCAAUAAUCAUCAAAUUUCCGCCUAUGCGCGCUAAGCAGGUGGACCAUAUAUUUCUCAUGUCGACGAACGAAAAAACAAAACUCCACAACUAGAAGUCUAUGAUAUUGACACGGAACCGUGCUGUAGGGUCGCAAGUAAAAAUAUGAAAAGCAUGCCUAACACUACUAGGAAAAGGGCUAUAGAUGGAAUUGACACUAAUGACGCACCAGACAUGUGGUGCGCCAUUAGUAUAUACUAAUGGCGCACCAUCUUCUGAUGCGCCAUUAGUGUUGAAAUUACUAAUGGCGCACCCUGCCCACGGUGCGCCAUUAGUACCAAUUUUUUUUUGAACUAGUGCGCCUGUCCAAACAUACUAAUGGCGCAUCCGCUGGUGGUGCGCCAUUACUAGUUGUAACUAGUAAUGGUGCACCAGCCAGAGGGUGCGCCACUAAAGUUAUUUUUUUUAUUAUUGUUUUUAUUCCUUUUUUUGCAAAAGUACUAAUGGCGCACUCACACGCGGUGCGCCAUUACUAGUUCAAACUAGUAAUGGCGCACCGUGGCAGAGUGCGCCAUUAGUAUGUUUUUUUUUCAAAACUACUAAUGGCGCACCACCUGGUGGUGCGCCAUUAGUAACCUGGAUUACUAAUGGCGCAUUUGUUGCUGGUGCGCCAUUAGUAAGUGGGCAGCAACAAGAUAUUUUGGACAGCCUCUCCUCCCACACUCACUUUCUCCCCAUUUCAUUCUCUCCACCGCCUCCUCAUGUCUCGGGUGCCUCCUCUUUUUCACCUCAUUUCCACCAUAGAUUCAUUCAAAUUAAGUGGUUAAGUUACCUUGUUUUGCUAGGUAAGUAAGGGGGGAAGCUAUAUUUAUGUUGUUCUCCCUACAACAGUGUGCACAUGCACUUUUUAUGGCCUAGCUAGAUCUAUGUAUGUUCGUGGUGUUGCAUAUGUUUGUGGUGUUGCAUAUGUGUUUGUGUUUGAAGGUGUACCGGUAUUUGAAAUGCGAUAGUUGCCAAUAUUUUGCCGGAAUGUUGAUUCAUUUCCGUUUCGGCGAGAAUUUUGGCAUUAAGCAUUCUUUUUGGUCCUAUUUUUAGGGAAAGUCAUGCCAAAUUUUUUCUUGGUUCUAAAAUAUCGUUUUGCUCUACCCCGCAGGCGACCAUGGUCCGCACGAUGACCGAAGGCAUCGUGAAUAGGUUUUUGAGGUCCACGAAGGCCGAGAUGCUUCAAAAGAACGAGACGGAGAUAAGAUGUCCGUGUCGAAGAUGCAAGCUGAAUAGCCUUAUUGCGGACCCGGAUUCCGGGCAGGUGCGGGACCACCUGCUCUUGCGUGGUUUCAUGGAUGGCUGUCGGUGGCAAGGUGAUGAAGAUGACUACGAAGUCGUCCAUGGGGGCCGGGCAAGAAAUGAGGAAGGGCAGCAAGACAACCACCGCGGCUCGGGGGGGCGAGAAGAAGAAGAAUCCCCAGGAGAUGAUCACGACGGUGAUGUUGUACACAGUCAUCAUGUAGAAGAUGCAGGACAUGAUGAUGAUGCCGGCGGAGCAGACGACGCUGGACCAUCGAUGGGCUGGGUGCAGGACCCUCAUAUUCAAGAGCUGCUUCUCAAGCAGACGGAUAACGCAAGAGCUGCCGCCCGAGAGAAAGCCAAGAUGGAUCAACUUGAGUUAGACGCGGUUACUCCAUUGUAUGAAGGAUGCAGGCCCGAGGAUACCCGCCUGAAAGUAACACUCAUGGCUCUGGAGAUGAAGGUAAAACACAAAAUGACCGACGCAUGCUUCGACGAGAACAUGUCAUUCUGGCACGAACGUCUUCCCAAAGGGAACAAGUGCCCGACCAGUUUGGAGGAGGCGAAGAAAAUCGUGUGUCCUCUGGAUUUACCGCACGUGAAAUACCAUGUGUGCAUGAACAAUUGCAUCAUUUAUCGGGACGAGCACGCGGAGUCUACCAUAUGUCCGGUGUGCGGUGUCACUCGAUACAAGAAGGGGAAGAAAGCUCCUCGAAAAGUGGUGUGGUACUUUCCGAUCACUCCUCGUCUGCAGCGGUAUUUCGCGGACCCUAAGGUAGCAAAGCUCCUGCGUUGGCACGCGGAUAGGGAGGAGAAGAAGCGAGAAGAUGACGCAAAUGAUACGGAGAUAGAUAAAAAAGACAAGAUGCUGAGUCACCCUAAGGAUGCGAGCCAGUGGCAAGCGUUGAACUUCGAAUAACCAGAAUUUGGGAACGAUCCAAGGAACAUCGUGCUGGGCGCGAGCACCGGUGGAGUCAAUCCGUUUGGCAGCCAGAGAAGCACACAUAGCACCUGGCCUGUGUUUGUGUGGAUGUACAACCUUCCCCCCUGGUUGUGCAUGAAGAGGAAGUACAUUCACAUGAGUAUGCUAAUUGAAGGGCCGAAACAACCAGGGAACGACAUCAAUCUGUAUCUGGGGCUGCUGAAAGAGGAGCUUGACACGCUGUGGAAAACGCCCACCAAUACGUGGGACGCCGCAGAGAAAGAAUAUUUCCCUAUGAGAGCCGCACUGCUCACGACGGUGCACGACUAUCUCGGUUACGGAUAUCUUGCGGGGCAGGUAGUCCACGGAUUUUCUGGAUGCGUAAGGUGCAUGGAUGACACAACGUAUCGCCAGCUAGAUAGAGACGAUGACCCGUGGAGGAAACGCAAGGAUCUGUUCGAUGGUGAAACCAAACCCCGAAAACGCCCGUGUACGAGGAGCGGCGAGGAAAUAGACAAGCUGUUGAAAAAUCGGAAAGACUGCCCACUGCCGGGAAAGAAGCAAAAGGUGCCAGAGCCGGGAAAGAAGCGAAAGGCGCCAGAGCCGCUGCUGAAGCUAUGGAAAACGAGGUCUGUUUUCUGGGACUUGCCGUACUGGAAGAUCCACCGUGUGCCUCACAGCCUUGAUGUCAUGCAUAUCACGAAGAACGUGUGCGAGAGUCUGCUUGGUACCCUGCUCAACAUGCCAGAGAGGACCAAAGAUGGGCCGAAAGCGAGGGCAGACUUGAAAUCAAUGGGCAUCAGGCAGGAGCUUCACGCUAUAUAUGAUGAUGAUGAUGAUGAUGAUGAUGAUGAUGAGGCGAAGCAGGACACAGAAAGUCGUCGCAAAGGCAAAAAGGCCAAGAAGACCGGAAAUGACUACCCUCCCGCGUGCUUCACUCUAAGUCAGGAGGAGAUCGAGCAGUUUUUCACCUGCCUCCUAGGAGUAAAACUUCCUUACGGUUACGCGGGGAAGAUAAGCAGAUACCUAGACCCAGCGAAGCAGAAGUUCAGCGGGAUGAAGUCUCACGAUUGUCACAUGCUGAUGACGCAGAUACUUCCAGUUGCAAUCCGUGGGAUCAUGGACGCGCACGUCCGUGAAACGCUAUUUGGCCUAUGCAACUUCUUCGACGUCAUCUCUCAGAAGUCGAUUGGCAUGAGGCAACUCAGAAGGCUACAGGAAGAGAUCGUGGUGAUACUAUGCGAGCUUGAGAUGUACUUCCCGCCCGCAUUCUUCGAUGUUAUGGUGCAUCUGCUGGUCCAUAUAGUGGGGGAUAUCAUCCAACUCGGGCCGAUGUUCCUGCACAGCAUGAUGCCGUUCGAAAGGAUGAAUGGUGUCAUCAAAGGAUACGUUCGCAACAUGUCACGUCCAGAAGGAAGCAUAGCCAGGGGCUUUCUGACCGAAGAGUGCAUCUACUAGUGCGCGAAUUAUCUAGGCAUCGAGAACCCCGUUGGUCUGCCCGUCAACAGGCACCUCGGCAGGCUCGCUGGAUGGGGUCACCGUGAGGGUCGCCGCGAAAUGCAUGUCGACUUCGAGGGUCGACUCGCCGACUUUGAAAGAGCAAACCUAGUCGCGCUACAACACAUAGACGUGGUCGAUGCUUGGGUGGUAGAGCACAAAACCUUUAUUAAGAAGACGUACAAUGACCGAGGCCAACAGAGGACGGACGGAGAUAUACUCAAAGAGCACAACUCAUGUUUCACGCGUUGGUUCAAGCAGAAGCUUCUGUCGUACCCUUUACAUGAGGAUUCUUCCGCGGAAGAACAACUCAUAUUCGCCUUGUCACAGGGCGCCGAGCACAACCUGAUGACCUAUGAGGCGUACGAUAUCAACGGCUACACAUUCUACACCGAGGCCAAGGACAUGAAGAGCGAUGGUUAUCAGAACUCCGGGGUAACGAUGGAAUCCUACACCGGUAACGACAAGGACAGAUACUACGGAAGGAUCGAGGAGAUCUGGGAGCUGAGCUAUGCUGGAGAGAAGGUCCCGAUGUUCCGUGUCAGAUGGGCCAAGAACGUCAUAAAAGAAGACCGGUAUUUCACCACCAUGGUUAUACCCGGAGCCAAAUCCAAGACCGCGAGCGCAAACGUCACCGCGAAAAAUGAGCCAUGGGUACUGGCUUCCCAAGUGGACCAAUGCUUCUUCAUUACCGACCCGCCAAAGCCCAGUCGUGUUGUCGUGAGGAGAGGCAAAAGGAAGAUCAUCGGAAUGGAUGGAGUAGCCAAUGAGCAAGACUUCGACAAGUACGGCGACCCGAGGAUCGAACAUGACGACGAUGAUGAAGUAGCAGCAUACACCACAAGAAGAAGCAGGACCACCCUACCUAAAGGACGUCCGUUCCACAGAAGAACUCCAUUUGCGAAAAAGAAGGGCAAGAAGAUUGUGAACAGAUAGCUAGCUAAGAUCGAUUGUAUUUAAAUCGUAGCCUUCAUUUCUCGAUUGUAUUUCAUGGGUACUUUUUGAACUAUCAUGAAUAUUUUUAAAUUUAAUGGACACUCGAUCUCGAUCCCCCUCCAUCUCGAUCGCUAUCCCACCUCGCCAGAUCCGGUCCCCCUCGCCGCCAAGCACCCCCCCAGCCCACCGGCCGCCGCCGCCGACCCCCCGCACCCUCGAUUCCCCUACCCAACCGCCGCCGCCGACCCACCGCACCCCGCGCACCCUCCCCUGCUCCACCAGCAUUACUGUUUGAUGAUAUUUUUAAAAAAAUUAUUAUUGUCUUAUAAAAAAAUAUUACUGUUAUGAUUUAAACAAGUUUGAACAUAUUUAAACACAAAUAAGUAUCAAACAGGUUUUUAAAUGCUAAAAAAAAUUUGUGGAGCCUGGGAGUCGAACCCAGGACCUCCUGGUGUGAGAACUGGCUGCUGACCAGUCGAGCUAGUAGAGGGGACUUGAUGUGGAUCAAUUCUGGUGGUACAUAACCUGUUGGCUCGAGUUGAAAUAAAAAAAAUACUAAUGGCGCACCACGGUGAGGUGCGCCAUUAGUAUGGAUGUACUUAUGGCGCACCGAGGGGUGGUGCGCCAUUAGUAUUGUGCCCGAUCCCUUCCCUCUCCCCCUUCGCCCGAUCCCCCCUUCCCUCUCCCCCUUGCCAGUUCCCUCUCCCUCGAUCCACCGCCGCCGCCGCCGCUGCCCUGACCCACUGCGCCGCAGCCGCCCACGCGCCCCCGCCGCCUCCCUCUCCCCUUCCUCCCCCUCGAGCCCGCGCCGUCCGCCCAAACCUAACCCGACGCCGUCCGCCGCGCCCGCUCCACCGCCGCCGCCCUGCCUCUCCGCCCUCUCCCUCCCUCNNNNNNNNNNNNNNNNNNNNNNNNNNNNNNNNNNNNNNNNNNNNNNNNNNNNNNNNNNNNNNNNNNNNNNNNNNNNNNNNNNNNNNNNNNNNNNNNNNNNNNNNNNNNNNNNNNNNNNNNNNNNNNNNNNNNNNNNNNNNNNNNNNNNNNCGUCGCCCCGCCGCCCCGACACCACCGUCCGUCGCCCCGCCGCCCCGCCGCCCCUCUCGCAGCAAGGUAUGCGGCUGGUUCGUCCCCUGUCAUGGUUCUCUCUUCGUUUAUUUUCCUGAAAUCUCUGCUGUUCAUUGGCCGAUGAUGUCUUACAAGUAAAAUAUCUGGCAAACUUGUGCUGUAAACUGUACAUUGCUGAGGCUGUGGGCAACCUGUUCUUCUCUUUGCCAUACUAGUGCUUUUGUUCAUUGGCCGAUGAUGUCUCUGUUGGUUUACGUCCCCGGCAAAUUAGGUACCCGUGAACCAUUUAUAGGCCCAACUUUCUUACUCUCAAUGACCACAAUGUGCUUAUUUUGUUAGGAUUGUGCAUUUGCGCGAUUUGUGCAGUGCUUAUUUGUUGGCACCUCACCAGCUUUCAAAUUCAGCAUUUGUAACACAGUUCAAUUUGAUCUAAGGGCCUAUCUUGUCUCAUUUCCAACAUGUAAUAAACUUCCCCCGAGGCCAUAGAUGAGAAUACUUCUUUCAGUACAUUUUGCUGAUUUCUCACUGUUGAAUACUUCAUUUCUGUUUGCCUUUGGCCAAAGAUGCAUUCAGUUCUUUCUGCCCUUAGCGGUUUGAUUCAAGUUUGUCAGGUUCUGUUAACUAAAAAGGUUCAGAUUCAGAAACAUUGUUGGACUACUAGGAAGUUGGACUACUAGGAACAUGUUUAGAUUCAGGUUCUGUUAACUAAAAAAGUUCAGGUUCUGUUAACUAAAAAAGUUCAGAUUCAGAAACCUGUAAUUUCUACUUUUAUGCCUCUGUUACUCCAGUCAAAAUUUUAUGUUUGAUGCCCAUGGUAGUUGAGCUCUCACCUCACCUCACGCAACAUGCAUGAUGCCACAAUGUCUAGUAUGUACUGCCAAGCAACUGGCAAAUAAUUAUAACUUAGAAUAAAUAAAUCUGAUGUAAGAUAAGCAUGGCAUGAGCUUUAAUUAAAUAGCAUAAUACACGUUGGUAGUCCAUCUCUCUCAAAAAAAAUACAUGUUGGUAGCAGAAAAAAAUACAUGUUGGUAGCAGAAAUUUUUUUGAGCCCUUAUUAGCUACUCACACUAUUUGCCCCGCAGUUUCUCUGUCAUGGCUACCAAGUGAUUGACGGUGGGCUAGAAAAAUAAAACCACCAAACUAUCAGUAAAAGAUGUGAACCAACAUCUUUCAUUGUUAUGCAUAUCAAACACCAAGGGUUAUUUUCACUUAAAGUUUUAGAAUGGGUGCAUUACAAUUCAGUCUGAUAUCUAAUAAGACACUCUGGGCUGAUAUAAUUAUGGAACAGAACCAACCAUGAUAAAUAAAAGGUGAUGUUGUCUAUGCAUUACCAAAAAUGUAUCUUUGUGAACAAAUAAAUUGGUACCAACAGCAAUGCCAUCUUACUGUAGAAUUAGAAUACAUGGACAUGAUCAGCUCAGCUCCCAAACUGCCAUUCAUCACAUCAAUUUCCCCUUAUGUAACUCCAGUCAAAAUUUUAUGUUGGUCUACCUAGUAGAUGCCCAUGGUUUGAUUUUAUGUUUGUUCCUAUCAAUACAAAUGCUGAGCUAUGUUCCAUUUUUACUGUUCUUUGUGAUAGUUUUUGCAACUUUACUUCCCAUCUUAAGGCAAGCCCCAUUUUUACUGUUCUUUGUUAGCAGAGCUGCUUGUUUCUAAGAACUUUGAUACUAUUUGGAUCAAAGUUAAAUGAGCACAUAGAUGACAAAAAAAAGUUCAGAUUGUAAAAUGUUCAUUUUGCUGCUAGUGCCCAUUUUGAGUAAUUGCUUAGAGGGAUGAUCCUGUGUGAGCUGGUGGAGUGAUUUGUUUUCUACAUAAAGCUCUUUAGUCAGGCUGGUUUUCGUGAAAUACACAUGAAGCUUCACCAGCUCCUGUGGGUGUGGGAUCCAUGUGACAUGUGACAUUGCAUCCAUGUCCACCUGGGAUAAUGAUUUUGCAUGUACCCCGAGAGGCCCUUAAGUUUGCCGGAAUGUCGAUUAACUUCCGUUCCGGCAAAUUCGGGUACUCCAUAUGUCCUAUUUUCAGCAAAGGUCAUGCUGAAAUUUUCCGUGAAUUUUAGCAUGACUUUGCAAAAAAUAGGACAUAUGGGGUACUUGUGACUAAUGCAUGGGCCGGGGUAUCAUAGUAGUUAAUUAAGUAGGAUCAAGUGCCCCGGCGUACUUGUGACUGAUGCAUGGCUUUUAGGGUGCCUCGGUGUUGAUAAAAACCGAAAUGAUGAAAGCUUAGGCUUUUAGGGUGCCUCGGCGUCGAAAAACCCUCAAUGAUAAAAGCUUAGGUCUUAGGAUGCCUCGGUGUCGACAAACCCUAAAUGAUGAGACCAUGUCUUGUUCCUUGACAAUAACCAACUUUUUGACCAAACUUUGUUUCUAUUUAGAGAGAAACAUGGCCCACAACGAUGAGGCCGGGGGUUCGGGCGGCAAGGCAUUCUGGGAGCUGUCCCAGGAGAUGGAGGAACAACCUCACUUGUAUGAGGCCGCCGCCUUCCCCACCGAUCCUGAGACCACUGAUGGUGCCGCCGAGGAUGACCACACUGAUGCCACCACUGAUGGUGCCGCCGAGGAUGCCACCACUGAUGAUGGCAGCGCCCGCACAGAUGGCAGCCAACCGAAGAGGCAACGGAAGGACCGACGCCCGAUCGUGCUCCUCACCCUCAAGGAGGAAGUUACUGAAGUGGACUCCAACGGGUAUCCAACGGCGCCCGAACGAAUAGUCAAGGGGUACUCGCUUCAGCUCGGGUGCAUUGUCCGGAGCACCGUCUCGAUCAACACCGAGAACCUGAGGCAUCCUGACCGAGGGAAUUUGUGCCACCUCCUCUUCACGAAGCUGCACGAAUGAUACAAGUUCCCCGCUGAAUUUGCAAACAGAAGCCUCAAAGGGAAUAAAGUGAACAAUGCUGCCCUCACGAAGAUGAGCAAGGCCCUGUCUACUUGGAAAAGCAAUGUGAAGAAAAUGAUCGAUAAAGGUGAGAGUUAUCAGAAGAUCAAGGAGAAAAAUCCUUCGAUCACCAAAGAUGACUACAAUGACUUCAAGAUCAAUUGCUCGAGCACCGCAAGCUCCCAAUCAAGUGAGUGGGGGAAACAAAUGCGGGAGCUGAACAUAGGGGAACACACACUCGGUCCCGACGGUUACAGAGUGGCGGAGCCUAUAUGGGACAAGGAGGAGGCGGACCGUGCCGAGCAAGGCCUACCGCCCCUCUUCGAGAAAUACAGCGGUAACAAGCAGACCAGGAACUUUGUCAGGGCCCGGUACAAGAAGGACCCGAAAACAAAGGAGCUUACCACGGAUCCGAAGACCAGGCAGCUUGAGCUUGUUCUGGUAAGGAAUACACCCCCGCGUAAUUAGCUCCAUAUGGUUGCAUUCUAAUUAAUGAAGCCAAAUUUCUAAAUGGUUCACAUUCCUUCCGCAGGCGACUGAAAGCAGUAGCGCGGGGUCGACUAAGAGCAACCCUUGGGACACCACUCUAAAUAGGGCGAUGAAUGUAAUGAAGAAGAAGGAUAAGCUCAGUAAGCCGACGUCAGCUGGUCGUGUGGCCGGCAAAGGCUUGUCGACAAAAUGGGGGUCAUACUAUACCGCUGGUGUGCGGAAGGAGAAAAAGACCAGCUCGGAAAGCCAGGCGCGAGAGGAUCAAGAACUCAAGGAACAGGUGACGCGGAUUCCGGAGAUUGUCCAAGAGCAAGUGGAACAAUGACUCGGAGCGACGAUCACCGCCAUUGUGCCUACCUUGAUCUCGGGGUUGAGUGCGUGGAUUGCGGGCGGCCAACAGGGGCCGCCCCCGAUUCCUAGCUUCACGGCCAGCAACUCGCAUAAUGCGAUGGCGGGGCCAUUGGUGCCUCCGGCGGAGGCGGCAUUGGUGUCUCCGACGCCGGCACGGGAGCUUAAUGCACCCGGGUGUACGCCGGCCGGCACCUCUGCAGCAAGCGGCCCCUCCGUCAACUGCACGCCCGCCGUUGGCGGUGCGUCGACAUUAGCCGAGCUCGACGCCAUCAACACGGUAACUAAUUAAGCCUCUCUCGGCCGAGGACUUCAUCUCCUUGCCUUUGACUAGGCAUCCCUGACGCCCUACAUGUUUUCGCAGGGCGCCGCCGACGUUCCGUGCACUCUCCUCCACUUCGUGAACAACGAGUUGGUCGAUGUCGCCAAGGGCAAAAUCGUUCAACCGGCAACCCCUUGUUCCACGGUACCCAGAUGCCACCCAACUUGUUUAGGGUUCAACUGGUUCGGGUGUUGCCAGGCUGCGACGACUUGUUACCUCUGAUUCGACCCGUUGGGGCCGACGAUGAAGACGUGAUGACCCUCAGCGCCUGCCUGAGCUGGCCCCUAGUUUGGCCGAAGAGCCAGAUUCGUUUGGGGGCGGGGGACACCACCCCAAAGACAACACCGCCAGUCGUGCUGGUGCCAAGUCGGCCCCAUGGCAAGACCGCCGUAACGGUGCCGGACAUCCCUAUGCCACUGGAUCCAAACAUGCAUAUGGCACAGGAUCAGAAUGACGACGACAACGACGAUGAUACAUUUGGCAACGUCGAUCAGUACUUUGCCGAUCAUGGGUACGAUGGCGACUUCAUGGGGCCUCCUUCUCAAGAACCAAACCCAACAAAAGACGUGUGCGAUCUAGCUGGUACCGCAGAGAAGCCAAGUUGCAACAGGCGCCGUCUGGCGUUCAGCUCUCAGGAGACGCCUCCAGCUGCCGACUUCACCGAUCCUCAGAUAGGCGAGGUGCGAAAUAUUAUCAGCCCCAACACACUCAAGAAGGCGGUCUGUGAGCAGAACUCGGUCCCAUUACAGGAGAAGAAGAAGGCACGCAAAAGAAAGACUAAGAAGGGUGCGAGCCAGCCGGCACCGAGUACGAUCCGUGCUCAGGACGGGCCACCUUCACCGCAGGAUAUCUCGAGGAGGGUGCAUGUGGCGGGUAGGGCGAUGCUACCGACAAAUAUGCUCAAUGCUGCAACCGGUGCUAUGCGGAGUCUGCAUGACAGUGUUCUUGCUUUGGAGAAGCGGCGUCUCAGAGAGAAGGAUGUGGCAUACCCGGUUUUCGCGGCCAAGGUGCCAAAGGGCAAGGGCUUUGUGGAUAACUCCAUCGGGCGUACGAUCGUCCUGCGUUUUGAUGACAUCCACGCUAUGUUGAACCUUCAUCCGCUGCACUACACCUUCGUUCGGCUAUUUUCGCUGAGUAUGGAGAUGCGGAUCAUUCGCGACAAGACCCCGGACAUCGUGAUAGUCGACCCCUUCUACAUGCGUGCCAAGAUCUUGGGCAGCGCUGGGGACCGGCAAGUCGCGAGUUCUUACCUCGAAGGCAUCAUUCUGGCAAACCAAGAUAAGGAUAACUUCCUCGUGCCUUACUUUCCCGAGUAAGUCCUCCCCUCAACCGGCCCGUAACAUAUGAAUUCUUACAUUUCGAUCGUUUUUCUUUUAACAUUCCGUGUUUUUUGCAGUGACACACGUUGCACGCUCAUCCUCCUAAGCCCCAAAUAUUCCAUGGCCACAUAUUUCGACCCGGACUGUUAGUCGAACGUAGACUACACAAAUGUCAAGAAGGUUCUUGAUGAUGUUCUCCCCGGCUAUGCCAAAUCUGGAGGCACCUUCACCAGGCCUAAUCGUAAGUACGGCAAGCAUGUUUUCUCCCACAAUACGAUGUUCUACUGCGUCAAGCAGCCGCCUGGUGGUCAGAAGGGUGCCUACUACGCCAUCCAUCACAUGCGGGCGAUCGUACGGGACCAUCAUCAACUUCUGCUACCGAGUAAACUCAAAGAUUGGGCAAAGAGCGUGUCGGCAAUCGAGGACGCGGACCUCCGACAAGAAUUCUUUCGCAUCCAGUCGGAGUUUGCGGAAAUCAUCCAUCAAGAUGUCCUUCGUACCUCGGGGCAGUUCUACCUCAACAAUCAACCGUCCAAUAGUGACAUCGACAUAAUGCUACAAAUGCAGGCUGACAACGACCGUUAUUUCAUGACUCCCACGAUAGACGGCGGCUUCAUCCACGCUCCGGUCCCUUGAGUCGAGUCGAAAGCAGUGAUGCUGUGUCUAGUUCUGAAACAUCGAUUGGCUCAUGUUGUAAUUAAACUUUAAUGAACUUGUAGUAUGUCUCUUUGGUUUCGAGAGUCGUUCAACUUAGAUGUAAUCGAUGCUAUUAAUGUCUUGCUUUUCUCUUCCGAUUGUUCUGUUGCAUACUUAUAUAUUGCUUAUGUAUUGUCUGUGAAUUGGUACUAACGUUUCGUUUGGCUAGUGCAUAGCGAUGCCGACGUAUGUCGUGUACAAGGGUAAGGUUCCCGUAGUCUACGAUGACUGGGAGGAGUGUCGGAGACAGGUUCACCGAUUCAGCGGUAACAGUUACAAAGGGUACACCACUAGGGCCGAGGCCGAAUCUAGAUACGCCCGCUAUCUAGCGGGAGAGGGGAGGGAGCGUUGGAGGAACCGGAUGAAGACGAGUUUCAUCGUGAUGAUGCUCAUCGUGAUGACCGCAGCUCUCUUCUAUGUGAUGGUAGUUUAGAUGAUCGAUAUCGACUUGUAAUGUGAAGACAAACUCGCUACUCGCGGUCUCGAGACUUGUAAUAUAAUGUUCUAUCUUUGUUCGGUCUUUUUAAUUCGGAGACUAAUAUGAUGAAUUGUAUUCGGAGACUAAUAUGAUGAAUUGUAUUCAAAGACUAAUCUUCUAUUGUAUUCGAUGAAUCUGUUGUUGAUGUGUGCUGUCUAUAUUUUGUCAAAUUAUACAUUUUGUAACCUGUGCAAAAAACAGAAAAUAAAAAAUAAAAAAAACCUAAUAUUCAUACUAAUGACGCAUCACAUGAUAGUGCGCCAUUAGUAUGACAGUGCAUACUAAUGGCGCAUCACUGGGCAGUGCGCCAUUAGUAUGCCGCGGUUACUAAUGGCGCAUCCAGCGGUGGUGCGCCAUUAGUAUGCCAAAGCACCUGGGUAUACAUGGCCCCUGGGAGGCAUACUAAUGGCGCACCCUUGCCUAUACUAAUGGCGCACGCGCGGUGCGCCAUUAGUAUACCAGAUACUAAUGGCGCACCAGGUGGUGCGCCAUUAGUAAAAAUUACUAAUGGCGUGCUAUUAAUGGCGCACCACAGAUGCGCCAUUAAUGGCCAUUUUAGGUGCGCCAUUAGUAGGGGUUUUUCUAGUAGUGUAAUAAGCGAGAUGACGCAGUUCCUGACCGCCCCGCUACCACUACUGGUUCCAGCGUGGCGUUUGAAUUAUGCCGCGCUAGAUGCCUUUUGUCCAGCGAGGAACAAGUGGGGUCAAGCGUGCUUUGGCAAUUCCCGCCGUCAGAAGACUUCCUUGUAGUCCGGUGUAGAGGUGAGGUUGUAGGGAGAUGCAUCGACUAGGAAGGAGUGGCCACAUGAACGAGCAUAUGUAUGAUGUGAUUAAGUCUCUCGAUCGGGUAUCUGGUGCCUUACGUACGGUGUCUUAUUUUUGUCAAGCUAUGACAUCUUUCAGUUUGAGUGUCUGAUAUUAGGGUUGCAUACGUUUUGUUAUUCAGUUGCCUGUUGUCAACUCUAUGGUUAUAUCACCUCGAUGUGUGAGUCAAUGUGUUUGAACCAAUGUAGAGUUUCAUGUGAAUGUUACAAGUGUGAUUGAUAUCUUCAUGUUAUAACCGCAGUUGCCUUGGUAAGAAAUUGAAAGAGCAAACCGUUAUCGUGUUAGGAAAAAAGUCAUCGCUCAAUAUAAGUUGCUUCUCUAGAACAACCACACCUUUCCCUCAAAAAAAAGAACAACCACACCUUGUGAAAGAAGAUGGCAAACACCCAAUUAUGUCUGGUUAGAUAUGGGCAUGGCUAUGGGUAGCUUAUAGCGACACGGAAGCUAGCAUCGCCUGAAGAAACACCCGGAUGGGCCGGCCUAGAGACAAAUUUCUUCAUUUCUACCCUUAGUUUUGUUUUUCUGCCCUUUUUUCUUUAUAUUUUAUAUUUUUCCCGACAUGUUCACUACUUGAUGCUCAACUGGGAUCUCAUCUGAUGCGGAGCAUCCUAUGGACAUCACCAUGUCAAGAGUCCGUUCGGCAAGUGACACGUGUGACAUCUACUUCUCAUACAUAAAGGUGAAUCUUCUCCUUUACACGUGUUUACUUGACCCCUUCGAGGAUGGUAUACUACUUGACACUUCUCCCGUGUGCAUGCAUAGGUAUUGUCGGAGCUUCAUGGAUGUCGAGGAGGAGUGCAAGCGCCAAGGAAUGACUACACCGUCCGCGAGGGAAGCAUGGAAGAGAAGGAGGAAGAGAACCUGGCUACUCCAGAACGAGCGGUACUACUGCCCACUCCAAGCGGUACUACCGCCGAGGCCACCCAAGCGGCACUACCGCCCAGCAUCCGCCCUUCUACUGCUCAACCCGACAAACUCCAGUGAUCGAGCGGUGUAAGUCCGGUACUACUGCCCCUCCAAGCGGUACUACCGCUCAAGCGGUACUACCACCCAUGAGUCCGGUACUACCGCCCUGCCUCUGCCCAGCCGUGGGCCUUUGGCCUUGUAUCCCUCUCCCACUUACCCCUUCGUGGCUUAGACUAUAAAUAGGCCACCUCCACCUCCUUUCUAGGGUUAGCACAGAUUUAGCUCAUUUUGAGAUAGAGCUUUGCUCAUCCAUACGGAUCUACUCCUCGUGAGAGACCGCGACCUCUUCGGAGAAGAUCCAUCUUGGAUUCAAGACCCCCUCGUGGGAAGAUCCGUCUAGGAUACCAACAAGACCUCCUCUUGGAGAUGAACCUUACCUUGUAUCUUUCCCUUUGUUGUUCAUGUACCCUUGUGGAUCUUGUGUGUUUGAUUGUCUAGUGGAUGUGUGAUUGGACUUGUACUUGAGUGUUUCCCCUUGUGAUUUCUCUCCGUUCUUCCACGUGUUCUUCAUAGGGAUCCGCUCCAAACGUGAAAGAUCGGCCUCUAGGGUUCUAGCCUACAUCAUCUUGGAUCAGAGCAAGGUUGAUCACGGAUUUGGAGCCCCUACCCCUCUUUUUCUAGCCUUCUUUUGCUUGCUUUCGUCCUAAAAUCCCCACAAAAAAUAGCCCCAAUUUUUUUGUGAUUUGUUCGUUUGAUGAUUUUUUGUUGAUUUUGAUCCAUGGAUUUGCUUGGUUUUGAGUGGAUCUAGCAUCUCUCCAAGUUUCCCCACCUUCCAUCCACGAAAUCCAUCCAAUUUUGCCCCUGAAAUCAUCCUUUUCCGCCCCAAAUUCGCCCCGAUUUCGAUCUGUGAAUUUUCCCGACACGAGCGGUACUACCGCCCUCGAAGCGGUACUACCGCCCUCGAAGCGGUACUACCGCUGAGCACCACAAGCGGUACUACCACCCUCCCAAGCUAUGACGCCCGGAUAAUUAAGCUACAGUAAUCCCCUUCUAAUGGUGCCAUGUCAUCACAUUACUGUUGCUAAUCCUCGCUUGAUCCAAAUCUUAGUUCAAACUCAAAUUCAAAUUAAAGACCAAAAUUCAAAUUUCUCAAGCAUGCAAAAUAAAAUGUUCAAAGUGUGGCAAAUAAUCGCUGGAUAUUUGUCAUGUUGCAAACAACCUCUUUUGAAUUCUCAAAAUGCCCCUGGGAAUUAAUUUUUGGUCCAGUAGUAAAUUAAAUGGCAUUUGCAAAAUAAAGAAUUGUUUAUUUAACUCCAAUUGCCUCCAAACUUUAUGUGCCACUCCAAAAUAUUUGUGGCUCUGUCUAAGAUCGCCAAGGAAUUAAAAGGGCACUUCCCAUAUUUUCCCUAAGUAAAUAGUGUGCCCAAAAUAUUCUCUUAACCAUCUCUAUUUUUUUAAAUAAAAAAAGGCGAAGAAGAACUCCCCCGGGCCUCGGGCCACUCCCACUUACCAGCCCACCUAAGCCGGCCCACUCCCCCGCUCCCCUAGCCUAUAGGCCACGGCCGACCGAACCCUAACCCCGCAUGAUCCCCCCACUCCCCACUCCUCUCCCCUCUCGAUCCGAUCUGGAUCGGACCGAAACCGGCGCAAUUGGUCGAUCCAUGUAUAAAGUAAAAAUAACUAGGCCCAAUUGGUCGAUCCAUGACAGUUUUCGUGACGGUACUUCCACGUCUGUCAUGAGGGGGCUACCCUACUUGGCCCCAAAUGGAUCUUGCUAAUUGGUGACGGUUUCCGUGAUAGAUUUCUGGAACGUCACCAGAAAUCCGUCAUUGAUUAACAGAUUUCCGCACAAUCCCCCCACUCCCCACUCCUCUUCCCUCCUGAUCCGAUCUGGAUCGGACCGAAAUCGGCGCCGCGACGCCAACCGCCGUCGCUGGAGGCGUCCCCGACUCCACGCCGGGCCGCCCCGUCACUGGACCUCCUCCCCGUCGCCACUCGUCACUCGCUGGACCGCCUCGUCCCCACCAAUGCCGCCCCCACCCCAACGUCCCCGACGCCUUCGCCGUCGGCACCGCCCCAAUGUCGCCGCCACCCGACGCCGGCGCCCUCGACAUCGCCACCCCGAGCCCACUGCCACCCCUACGCUCCGCUAUGAGCCCCUCGCUGAUUCCCCCUCCUUCCCGUCGUCGUAGGUGGCUGCGCGCGUCGUUGGCCAUCGUGGCCGCGCUCCGGCCGUUCCCCAUCCGUGCGCUGGCCUCGCCUUCCUCGGAUUGCAAACAUUGAACUUUUCCCCUCGGGUUCAUCUAUCUGACAGACGUUCGGGACCAGAAAAACUUUCCCGGAUGUUUCCCCCUUCGCCAGUAUCACCUAGCACCGCGUUAGAACACUUCUAGCCCCGCUUAUUGUCUUGUUAUGCAUAUGUUUGCGUGUAUUUACUGUUUCUUCCCCCUCUUCUUCUCCGGUAGACCUCGAGACCGUUGCUGAUGCCCCUGUGGUCGACUACGUCGACGGCGACCCUCCUUGUCUGAGCAACGAGGCAAGCCCCCCCUUUGAUCAUCCCGAUAUCGCCCAUUCCAUUCUCUAAUGCUUGCACUAGAUUUUCUACUGUAUUUGAUUGCUCCUAUUCUGAUGCAUAGCAUGCUUUUCUACCUGCUGUUGUACCUUACCUGCUUAUCCUAAACUGCUUAGUAUAGGUUGGCUAGUGAUCCAUCAGUGACCCCCACCUUGUCUUUGUUGCCCCUGCUUCAUCAUUGACGACUCGAUCAACGUGAUCGACGACCGGAGCCUGACACCUCACAUCACAUCACGCCCCUUUUUGUUGCUCGACUCUGCAGAGUUACCAUCGAGUGCCGAGGGUGGAACCUCAUACAUCACUCCUUAUGAGAUCUCUGUAGUGUAGCUAUUCGGUCGUGGUCAUCGAGGGUGGUUCCUCCUUCACCAUUCCUAAUACGGCUCUGUCGUGCAACACCUCAAGUGUGAACCUCGAGGGUGGUUCCUCUUACGUUCACCUUGAUGAUUACAUCGAGUGGAAUCCACCGGGGGUGAUUCCUCGGAUUUUCCCCUUUAUGUCUGGACACACAGUUACCUUGACUUCACUUGAGACCGUUUUGAAAGCCGGGCAGGCCCGGAGAGCACCCGUGCGGUGUGACGGUGGCGGCUGGCUGUUUAGCGGUAUCACCCGGGAGGGGGUGAUAGCUCCGGACUUGUCCCGACAGCCGUCACUUCUUUUAAUAAUGCACUAACAGGUUUGGGUAUUUUUUCUAAGUUCACUAACCACGACGCUAGAAUAGUUAUGGGUCUCGAUGUUGCAGUAUCAGCCGAAGCUUUCUCAGACGUCCAGUUCAGCAUUGUGGCCGGGCCGAAUCAUGCCAUCCACUUCACGGGUGGUGCUGGUAUCCCCUUGCGCACAACGACCCAGAGUGCAACGGGCGAUGGGCCCAGACCCCGGAGUGCUUAGGAUGUAGACCGGCAGGGACCUCUCUGCUGAGCCUAGGUAGGGCAGCUACGUGUUGAUCUUCCGAGGCCGGGCAUUGACCCCAGAAAGGUGUGUCCUUCCAGAGUGAUCGAGCGUGUUGGGUAACGUGGUGCCCCCCUGCAGGGAAGAUUAUCUAUUAAUAGCCGUGUCCACGGUAACGGACGUUCAAACUUAUAUCUUGAUCUUAUACAACUACAAAUGGAUACUUGAGAUAUGUGGCUCCGGGAUUGCUUUCUCGCAGGGAGUCGAGGAAGGAUCUCUGGGCGUUGUUGUCACAACAUGCUUGUUAAUUAAACUGCUAUUCUUUACUCUUCUACAUGCUGCAAGAUGCUUGGAGCUACUUGAAGAUGCUAGUCUUCAUGAGGCUAGGCCUUCCCCUCUAUUCUGGCAUUCUGCAGUUCAGUCCACAGAUACAACCCUUCCAUUUGAUACCAAUGCAUACUUAGUAUAGAUCUGAUGCUUGCGAGUACUUUGGAUGAGUACUCACGGUUGCUUUGCUACCCCAUUUCCCCCUUCUUUCUUCUUUCCGGUUGACGCAACCAAAUGGUGGAUCCCUGGAGCCAGAUGCCAGCGCUGAUAGAUGCUACUAUGUGAAGAUCGCCGACGACCAGGAGUAGUUAGGAGGUCCCAAGCAGGAGGCCUUGCCUCUUCGAUCAUUGUUGCUUUUGUGCUAGCCUUCUUAAGGCAUCUUUGUUUAACUUAUGUCUGUACUCAGAUAUUGUUGCUUCCGCUGACUCUUGUGUAUCGAGCUAUGUAUUCAAGCCCUCGAGGCCCCUGGCUUGUAAUAUAAAGCUUGUAUUAUUUUGAUUUGUGUCUAUAGUUGUGUUGUGAUAUCUUCCCGUGAGUCCCUGAUCUUGAUCAUACACAUUUGCGUGCAUGAUUAGUGUACGAUUGAAUCGGGGACGUCACAAGUUGGUAUCAGAGCCGACUGUUUGUAGGAUCCCCCUUUCCAACUCCUUGGCUGAAGUUGAGUCUAGUCUUUGAAAAAAAUUGUUUUACUAACAUGGUUGUGUGGCUUACGGGCCCAUGUCGCCAUUGGGUGGUAUUAGGAUCUUUUACUCCUCGACCUUUACUCUGGGACUCUAAUCGCUCUUCUAUUCGGGUUAAAUGGUCUCGCAAACUAUAACUCUAGGUUCUCGUAAAUACUUUCUCCCGGAGAGCCCCUUCAUUCCAGAUGAUGGCCUGCUUCACCAGAUGAUUUCGAAGAUACCCUUCUGUAAUUUCCUGAGACUUUUGUACUCAUUGCUUUUGCAGUUCCCUACCUCUGAUAUAUCCUUACGGAUAACUUCAUACACUUGUCAUUCAUACAAUCAUUCCUAGUUGCUCUUGUUUUUACAAGAUACAUUGAAUUAUUCUCCGACUUUUAAGAAUCCCUUGCUUACUGCCCUGCAGUUCCUUGCCGCAUGAAUACCCCUACGGAUAAUUACUCGCACUUGCCGAGUAUCCGUUCGUCCAUAGUUGUUCAUGUGUUUCACAACAUUCUUUGGAAAGCUAUUUGAUCUUUUCAAAAAUCCUCAGUAGCCUAUUACUCUUGUUCCUCCUUACCUACUUACAGUAUGGUUACUUCCAUUUGUCUAGCAAUAUUCUUUAAAAUCCUUUGCGAUUGACAUCCUUACCCUAUUGUUUCAACAUGUGUGUGAAUGCACGCAAUCAUCAAUUGUUCCCUGGAAUUGUCCUUCUGGCUCAGACGUUACCCCGGACACGAGCUGGUGUUCGACAAAACAAACCUUGAUUGAUUUUGAAUCUAUGUCUAUACAACUUAAUUGUCUUUGAUCAGAGCCUCUGCUUUUGAUCCCCCAUUUUGAAAAUCAUAAUCCCCUUUGCAUUCGAGCAUAGAAUUAGUCAGUUGUUUCUAUAACCUGACCUCCUUGAAUUCUUUCUUCUUCUGGUUGAGUAUCGAUACUCACAUCAGAUCCAUUGUGGACCUCCAGGUCCUUUGUUGGUUUUUAUCCGACAGCAUCCUUCAUAUUCAGUAACCUUGUGAGCCUUUCCUCGAAUACACAAUGCCUUUGGUAAAUUGUAUCCCCCACUCUCGUCAACCAUACUCUGCUUCCGGGCUUGAGUUAUUUACUCGUGAAGUUUGUGGUAUAUGUUCCUAAUAUGUCCCUAUGGGUUGAAUCUAUGUCUUCCCUAAAUCUGUGUGAACCCUACGACUCAUACUCUACUGGUGUUAUGCCAGAUAAAAUCUCAACAGUACGGCUUCGUUGAAAAUGAGAAGUGAAUGAAAGGUUAUGCAUCGAAGAAGUGGGAGUCGACCUUGAGCCUUGUGUUCAUGCCCAUGGACACGAUGUGGAACUUAACAUGGAAGCUUCUUUUUAUAAUAAUAGCCCCCUAGCGAUAAGUACAUCUUGUAUCCAUGUGUGGUCCAUUGCAAUCGUGGUUCCGACCAUAUUGUUCUUGUUUGAUCCAUUUAUCGGACAAGUUAAAGUACUUGUCUUCUUCAAAUUGUUUCACAUGUUCAACCUCUACAUUGAUAUACCUUCGAGCAUUAUCCUCUGGUAUCUCGAGAAUAUCACGGAACUACAUAACUUCUUAUGAGUUCUUGAUCAACUAUUAUUUCUCACUGAUUCAAAUUUUUCACUAGUUGGGAGUUGUUAGACACUCGAGAAUACAGUUAACUGAUUCAAGUCUACGCUUUCCUUUCCAUUGUUCUGUUUAAUCUUUCUGGUAACCUAUCUUAUCUGAGAACUGAUAAUUCCCUGCUUAUGUAAACACCUCGGUGUACAAGCUCUGUCUGUAAGACCUUGUUACUAUUGUUGAGGACAUUCCGAUAGCUACCGAUGGACGAGAACUUUGCCUAUUGGUCCGCCUCAUCUUAACGAGCAGGAAAAUGGUUCUCUUUGUCCCUCUCCCUUGGUACCAACGUUGUUGCCAACAUAACUGACAAGUUGUCCUCUGACCUGCCUUGCUAUCAUGACCAUGCAAAAUGCUAGCGCCCUUCCUGCUUUUAACCCACAAGGUGGGCCUGAGGGAGUCCUGGACUAGGCGGUGUCCGGACAGCCGGACUAUCAUCGUCCGCCGGACUCCAAGACUACGAAGAUACAAGAUUGAAGACUCCGUCCCGUGUCUGGAUGGGACUUUCCUUGGCGUGGAAGGCAAGCUUGGAAAUACGGAUAUGUAGAUCUCCUACCAUUGUAACCGACUCUGUGUAACCCUAGCCUCCUCCGGUGUCUAUAUAAACCGGAGGGCUUUAGUCCGUAGGACACAACAUACAUUACAACAAUCAUACCAUAGGCUAGCUUUAGGGUUUAGCCUCCUUGAUCUCGUGGUAGAUCCACUCUUGUACUACCCAUAUCAUCAAUAUUAAUCAAGCAGGAUGUAGGGUUUUACCUCCAUCGAGAGGGCCCGAACCUGGGUAAAACAUCGUGUCCCUCGUCUCCGGUUACCAUCCGCCUAGACGCACAGUUCGGGACCCCCUACCUGAGAUCCGCCGAUUUUGACACCGACAUUGGUGCUUUUAUUGAGAGUUCCUCUGUGUCGUCACCAAUAGGCUCGAUGGCAUCUUCAACCAACAACGCUGUCCAGGGUGAGACUUUUCUCCCCGGACAGAUCUUUGUAUUCGGCGGCUUCGCACUGCGGGCUAAUUCGUUUGGCCAUCGGAGCAGAUCGAAAGCUACGCCCCUGGCCGUCAGGUCAGAUUCGGAAGUCUCAACUUCACGGCCGACGUCCGCGGAGACUUGAUCUUCGACGGGCUCGAGCCACAGCCAAGCGCGCCGCACUGUUACGAUGGGCAUGAUCUAGCUCUGUCGCCGAACAGUGCCUUGGUGGCCGCCCACGAAUCCGCUUCGGCCUUUAGUCCGGGGCCGAUCGCCCAGACCGAGGAACGGUGGAUGGACACCGCCUCGGGGGCUUCAACUUCCACGGCGAUGGAGCCGAACACUAAUCUUGUCCCUCGCAAAACUCGUGAUUCCGAGGUGCCGGACUCCUUGCCGGACUCCGAAGCUCCCACGCCCCUACCAACCGAAUCGGAUUGGGCGCCGGUUAUGGAAUUCACCGCCGCGGACAUCUUCCAAUACUCGCCUUUUGGCGACAUCCUGAAUUCGCUAAAGCAUCUCUCGUUAUCAGGAGAGCCCUGGCCGGACUAUGGCCAGGAUGGUUGGGAUACGGACGACGAAGAAAUUCAGAGCCCACCCACCACCCACUUUGUAGCCACUGUCGACGAUCUAACCGACAUGCUAGACUACGACUCCGAAGACAUCAACGCUAUGGACGACAAUGCCAGAGACGAACAGGAACCAGCGCCUACAGGGCACUGGAAGACCACCUCGUCAUAUGACAUAUACAUGGUGGAUACCCCAAAAGACGGGGACGGCGAAGAAACAGCGGAGGCAUAUUCUUUAAAGAAACAGCCCAAGCGCCGGCAUCAGCGGCGCUGCUCUAAAUCCCGCCACGGCAAGAAUGGAGAUUCCAGCACAGGAGAUAAUAAUACCCCAGAAAGUGCCGAAGAUAACCCCCUCCAGCAAGACUCAGCGCAGGAGGAUGCAGAAGCAAGCCCUCACGAGAAGGCGGCAGACAAAGAGGUUGAGGAUUACAACUAUAUGCCUCCCUCCGAAGACGAGGCAAGCCUCAACGAUGACGAAUUCGUCGUGCCCGAGGAUCCCGUCGAACAAGAGCGUUUUAAACGCAGGCUUAUGACCACGGCAAAUAGCCUAAAGAAAAAGCAGCAGCAGCUUCAAGCUGAUCAGGACCUGCUGGCCGAUCGAUGGACCGAGGUCCUCGCGGCCGAAGAGUAUAAACUCGAAUGCCCCUCCAAAAGCUAUCCAGGACGCAAGCUGCUCCCCCGAUUAGAGGAGGAAGCAUACAUACCUCCAUCACCAGCGCACGAUACGGCUGACCGACCACCCCGUGGUCGUGACAGAGAGGCAUCCAGGCCCCCAACCAAGACCGUACCCCGGCAUCGCUCGAAAAGUAUGAAGCCAAGAGGGAACGCGCCGGACUUGCGAGAUAUAUUGGAGGACAAAGCAAGGCAAUCCAGAUCCAUCUACGGAUCACGGGGGUGCCCCACGACCCAUGACGAAUACCGUCGCGCCGGAUACAAUAACCCCGGCCGGGCCGAACACAGCAGACAACGCUCUCUCGAGUUGCAUCGUGAUAUUGCUCAAUAUAGAGGCGCCGCACACCCGCUAUGCUUCACAGACGAAGUAAUGGAUCAUCAAAUCCCUGAAGGGUUUAAACCCGUAAACAUCGAAUCCUACGAUGGCACAACAGACCCUGCGGUUUGGAUCGAAGAUUACCUUCUCCACAUCCAUAUGGCCCGCGGCGACGAUCUACAUACCAUCAAGUACCUCCCACUCAAGCUUAAAGGACCAGCUCGGCAUUGGCUCAACAGCUUGCUCGCAGAGUCAAUUGGGUGUUGGGAAGACCUAGAAGCCGCAUUCCUUGAUAACUUCCAGGGCACGUAUGUGCGACCACCAGACGCCGAUGACCUAAGUCACAUCAUUCAGCAGCCAGACGAAUCGGCCAGACAAUUCUGGACACGGUUCUUGACAAAGAAAAAUCAAAUCGUCGACUGUCCGGAUGCAGAGGCCCUUGCAGCCUUCAAACAUAACACCCGCGACGAAUGGCUAGCCCGGCACCUGGGGCGGGAAAAGCCGAAAUCCAUGGCAGCCCUCACAUCAUUAAUGACCCGCUUUUGCGUGGGAGAGGAUAGCUGGCUAGCUCGCAGCAACAAUCUCCGUAAAAAUUCUGGCAGUCCAGACACCAAGAACAAUAAUGGCAGGUCACGUCGAAACAAAAACAAACGCCGCAUCAACGGCAAUGAUAAGGAGGAUACGGCAGUCAACGCCGGAUUCCGAGGCUCUAAACCCGGUCAACGGAAGAAGCCAUUCAAAAGAACCACUCCGGGUCCGUCUAAUUUGGACCGAAUACUCGACCGCUUAUGCCAGAUACAUGGCACCCCUGAAAAGCCAGCUAAUCACACUAAUAGAGACUGCUGGGUGUUCAAGCAGGCAGGUAAGUUAAUUGCCGAAAACAAUGACAAGGGGCUAAACAGCGAGGACGAGGAGGAGACCCGACCGCCGAACAAUAGAGGACAAAAGGGUUUUCCCCCACAAGUGCGGACGGUGAACAUGAUCUACGCGACCCAUAUACCCAAUUGGGAGAGGAAGCGUGCACUAAGGGACGUCUAUGCGAUGGAGCCAGUCGCCCCGAAGUACAAUCCAUGGUCCUCUUGUCCGAUCACUUUCGAUCGAAGAGACCAUCCGACCAGCAUACGCCAUGGCGGAUUCGCCGCAUUGGUUCUAGACACAAUCGUCGAUGGAUUUCACCUCACGAGAGUCCUGAUGGACGGCGGUAGUAGCCUGAACCUGCUUUAUCAGGACACAGUGUGCAAAAUGGGCAUAGACCCCUCAAGGAUUAAACCUACAAAGACAACCUUUAACAGUGUCAUACCAGGUGUGGAAGCCAACUGUACAGGCUCAGUCACACUGGAAGUGGUCUUCGGAUCCCCGGACAAUUUCCGGAGCGAGGAGUUAAUCUUCGACAUAGUCCCGUUUCGCAGCGGCUAUCACGCUCUGCUCGGACGAAUCGCGUUCGCAAAAUUCAACGCGGUGCCGCAUUGUGCAUACCUCAAGCUCAAGAUGCCAGGCCCUCAUGGAGUCAUCACGGUCAAUGGGAAUACGGAACGCUCCCUCCGAACGGAGGAACAUACAGCGGCUCUCACGGCAGAAGUACAGAGCAGCCUUUUAAGGCAAUUCUCGAGUCCGGCCAUUAAACGGCCGGAUACAUCAAAGCGCGCCCGAAGCAAUACCAACCAAGACCACCUGGCGUGAUCAGAGCACGCGUAGCAAUGCGGCCCCAACCCCCGCCCGCGCGUGAUUGCAAGAAUAACCCUCCGCGUACAUCAUUACGCUUUGGAGAUACCAUGGGCGCAGGGGAAGGGGCACGAUCACAACGGACCCAGAGUGCAGUUCGACCGCACCAGGGGCUCGCAAGUGUGCCCCCUUUUUUUUAUUGUUAUUUUCCCUCUUUGUGUACACAGGACUCCGUUAGCCAGAGGCCCUAUCCGGCGGUGAACCUGCCGAACUCAUGAUGCAAUAACCAGGGAAGAAAGAACGCUGCGACGAACACUCAGGUGGUCUCAAUUACAAGCAUUAAAUUCGAUUAUAUACACCAAGUCCGCAGCUUACCCUUGGAGGGGGACAUGUUUAAUUAGUCCAAAUCCCUUGCUUACCACACUAUUUGUAUCAGUCCGCACUCAUAGCAGACUUUCUUUCAUAAAUAAUGCAGCACCUUUUUGACUGCAAUUACAUUACCUUUUAUAUAUAUAUGCUCAUUACAUGACAUCUUGCACCCGUAUAUUUUGGUACGGCCUAAUACACCAGGGGCUUAUGUUCCCCACAUUAUGGUGUGAUAAGUCCGAACACUUUCGUAAGUGCAGCACCCCGAACUUAUAGCACUAUAUGAAUCGGCUCCGAAUCAUGUCUUGGGUCAAUAGUUGGGUUUGCCCGGCUCCCACGUUUUGGUGCCUUACGUUCCGUUCUGUCGGCUAAGGUGGCACUGGGAGAACCACUGCGAUUGCGCCCCGGUUGAGCCGGGCGAGCACCUCAGUGGAGAAAGCUAAAACUGACCGGCAUGAUAAGGCGAGAGACUGGUCGCUGUUCGAGAGGUUUUUUCGGGUCCUUAAAGACUCACGCCACUUCGAGCGAAGUUCCGGACCAUGUCUGACGAAGGCGUGGAUAGCGCCCCGGAUUCGGCCUUUCGGAUACCAGGGGCUUCGCCGAAAUUUAAAAUUAUAGAAUUCUAUGGCUAAGUGAGAGUGUUCAAGCAUUAUAAGUCCGGUCGCCUUGUUCGUUGUGUUGAGCACCUCCCUAGAUGGACCCAAAAAUGGGAAUAAGAGUGCUCAAGUUUAUCCCGAACACCCCAGCACUCGUGGCUCGGGGGCUGAAGCCAAUGACUUUCCAUCUCUCAGAUUUUAUAAACGGCCGCACAGAAGGUAAUAUUUUAAAUUAAAACAAGCGUUGCUCAUGGCGCAUCUGAACGAAGUUUUCAGCGCACAGGAUAAUACAUAGCGAGUUCACUCAAAGAUUACAUUUCUAGGGCACUCAUCCGCAAUAUCGCGGGCUCCCUUCAGGACAGUUUUAUAAUACAUUUCAGGCGUGCGAUACUCCUUGCCCGGCGGCGGUGGGUCUGUGAGAAGCUUCUCCGCAUCCAACCUGCCCCAAUGCACCUUUGUGCGGGCAAGGGCCCGACGAGCACCUUCAAUACAGGCGGAGCGCUUGAUGACCUCCACCCAGGGGCAUGCAUCCACCAGCCGCCGCACGAGGCCGAAGUAGCUACCAAGCAUGACCUGUUCAGGCCACAGCCGGACUAUAAGGCCCUUCAUGGCCUCUUCAGCUACCUUGUGGAGUUCGACCAGCUGCUUCAGCUGGUCGCUUGGGGGCACCGGAUGGCCUGCCUCAGCGUACUAAGACCAGAAGACCUUCUCCGUUGAGCUCCCCUCCUCGCCACGAUAGAAUGCGGCGGCAUCGGAGGCACUACACGGCAGAUCUGCAAACACCCCUGGAGAGCUCCGAAUGCGGGUAAUUGUCAGGUAGUUUACAUUAACAUGCUUGCUUUGCAUGAAAAAUGCCUUACCCGCCGCUAUCUUCUUUACAUCUUCAACCUCCUGAAGGGCCUUACGGGCCUCGGCCUUGGCGGACUUGGCACUUUCGAGAGCCGAGGCAAGCUCGGACUCUCGAGUCUUGGAGCCUCCUGCUUUUCUCGCUCCGCCCGUUCCGCGACCGCACUGCGUUCAGCCGCGGACACAGCCUCCUUCAGGGCUGCCACCUCGUUCGUGGCCCCUGCAAUACCCAUAUUAUCCUUGUUAAUUUUAUUGCAACCAAAAUCCUUUUCCGUAAGGUGACUAUUCAAAGCGGUGUUACUCACCUUCUUUGUCCUCGAGCUGCUUCUUGGCAGUGCCGAGCUCUUGCUCGGACCGCUCGAGAUCCUGCUUCAACACAUCGACCUCCGCCGUCAGUGCGGCAGAGGUCAGUAGCGCAGCCUGCAAACCCAUAUUGACAUAUUUUAAGCAACCCUGCGUAUAUCUUGUUAGAUCCUCAGUCCGGCUUUUCUUUCCGAACACCGAACUGAGCAUCAAGGGCUACUGUCUAUGCGGUAUUACAUUACAUAAUUUUAACUUCUUACCUCAAAGCCUGUUAGAAGGCUGCUGCAGGCUUCGGUCAGCCCGCUCUUGGCGAGCUAAACCUUUUGAAUCACCGCACUCAUGUUAGUGCGAUGUUUUUCCUCGAUGGAAGCGCCUUCAAGCGCCUCCAACAAGUUAUCCGGCGCCUCCGGUUGGACGGAGGUCGCCGGUGUCAAGGUCUUGCCCUUCUUUCGAAGGGGCCGCCCGCCGGACUCUAGAACCACUGCGGGUUCCGAUGUAGAGUCCGGCACAAAGUCUGGGAGGCAGCCUGACGACGCCUCCGGAGCCUCCUCCUGAUGGGUCCCUCUCUGGGAUCCCACCUCGGCGUCCCCGUCGGCGCGGGGGGUAGAGGCGGUCGGAAGUGAAUCCACAUCUAACGGGGCCAACGACCCGCUCGAUGAAGCGGGGAGAUCAUCAUCGGCCGGACUACGGACAGAACGCGGCAUUAGAAGGACACUACGCGACACGAAAGAAAUUGCAUAUCAUGGAUCCGGAUACUUACGAUCUUGUCGGACGCCUGGCCCUUGGAGGCCACUCAUCCUCGCCAACGGUGGUGUUGGCGAAACUGUCCGGGGGGAUAGUCCUCCCCCUCUUGGACCCUUCGGCCUCCCCUAUUGGGAAAGCCUUCCACUUCUUCUCUCCCUCCUCCGAGAGAGAGUCCUCUUCCUCCUCCUCGUCUUUGGGGGAGGAGUCCGCCUCGUCGUCGGACGCCUAAUUGCGGGAACUCUUUCGAGUCCCCGCGGCCACCUUCUUGGCCUUCUUCUCCGGCACCACGUGCGGUGCCGGAACCAGCAGCCCUGCUAAACGGGCGUUCUCUGGGUCUUCAGGCAUGGGAGCCGGGCUGAUGAGCUGCUUGGCCUUCUCCAUCCAUUCCUAUCAAAGGAAAAGAGAGAUUGAAACCCUCUUAGAAUCAGUUUAAUUACCACAAGUGUCCCGUAACGUGGUUGAAUCACUUACCUCGUCAGCCGGAUGCUGCGAGCGAAAUCCGUGAUCUUCCGUCGCGGAUGCGGGGGCUUCGGCGCCCUUAAACAGCACCCUCCAGGCGCCUUCGUAUGUCGUAUCGAAGAGCCCGCUCAGCGCCUGGUGCUGUUCCGGAUUGAACUCCCACAGAUUGAAUACCCGUUCUUGGCAUGGGAGAAUCCGGCGGAUGAGCAUGACUUGGACCACGUCGACGAGCCUGAGCUUAUUGCUCACCAGCUUCUGGAUGCAGGCUCGGAGUCCCGUCACCUCCUUCGGAUUUCCCCACAGCAAGCCCUUCUCUUUCCAGGAGGUGAACUGCGUGGGGACGCCAGAUCUAAACUCGGGGGCCGCCGCCCAUGUGGGCUUGCGCAGCUCGGUGAUGUAGAACCAACCCGAUUGCCACCCCUUGACGGAGUCCACGAAGGCCCCUUCGAGCCAAAGGACGUUGGGCAACUUACCCAACAUGGCGCCUCCGCAUUCCGCUUGCGUGCCCUUCACAACCUUCGGCCUCCCCUAUUGGGGAAGCCUUCCUCUUCUUCUCUCCCUCCUCCGGGAGAGAGUCCUCUUCCUCCUCCUCGUCUUCGGGGGAGGAGUCCGCCUCGUCGUCAGACGCCUGAUUGCGGGAACUCUUUCGAGUCCCCGCGGCCACCUUCUUGGACUUCUUCUCCGGCACCACGUGCGGUGCCGGAACCAGCAGCCCUGCUAAACGGGCGUUCUCUGGGUCUUCAGGCAUGGGAGCCGGGCUGAUGAGCUGCUUGGCCUUCUCCAUCCAUUCCUGUCAAAGGAAAAGAGAGAUUGAAACCCUCUUAGAAUCAGUUUAAUUACCACAAGUGUCCCAUAACGGGGUUGAAUCACUUACCUCGUCAACCGGAUGCUGCGAGCGAAAUCCGUGAUCUUCCGUCGCGGAUGCGGGUGCUUCGGCGCCCUUAAACAGCACCCUCCAGGCGCCUUCGUAUGUCGUAUCGAAGAGCCCGCUCAGCGCCUGGUGCUGUUCCGGAUUGAACUCCCACAGAUUGAAUGCCCGUUCUUGGCAUGGGAGAAUCCGGCGGAUGAGCAUGACUUGGACCACGUCGACGAGCCUGAGCUUAUUGCUCACCAGCUUCUGGAUGCAGGCUCGGAGUCCCGUCACCUCCUUCGGAUUGCCCCACAGCAAGCCCUUCUCUUUCCAGGAGGUGAACUGCGUGGGGACGCCAGAUCUAAACUCGGGGGCCGCCGCCCAUGUGGGCUUGCGCAGCUCGGUGAUGUAGAACCAACCCGAUUGCCACCCCUUGACGGAGUCCACGAAGGCCCCUUCGAGCCAAAGGACGUUGGGCAACUUACCCAACAUGGCGCCUCCGCAUUCCGCUUGCGUGCCCUUCACAACCUUCGGCUUGACGUUGAAGGUCUUGAGCCACAGGCCGAAGUGGGGCCGGAUGCAGAGGAAGGCCUUGCACACGACGAUAAACGCCGAGAUGUUGAGGAUGAAGUUCGGCGCCAGAUCGUGGAAAUCCAGGCCGUAGUAAAACAUGAUCCCCCGGACGAAUGGGUGGAGUGGAAAGCCCAGUCCGCGGAGGAAGUGGGGAAGGAAGACGACCCUCUCAUGGGGCCCAGGGGUAGGGAUGAGCUGCCCCUCGUCGGGCAGCCGAUGCGCGAUAUCGCCGGAAAGGUAUCCGGCGCUGCGAAGCUUGGUGAUAUGCUCCUCCUUAACGGUGGAGUCCAACCAUUUGCCUCCCGCUCCGGACAUAUUCGGAGAAGGUCGGGGCGAGAUGCGCGAGCUUGGGCGUUGGAGCUUGAGUGCACGGAGAUGGAUAAGCAAAGGAGGAAGAAGGCGUAGGUGAGAAGGUAAAUCCUUAUCCCUUAUAUAUAGGCGGACGAAAACUAUGCGUCCCCACCGGCCUGAUAAAACUCGCUUAUCUCCCAAGCGCCACCAUCAAUGGCGCGGUUGGGUUACCCACGUCCGUAUUGAUGGGAAUCCCGGAAUAAGGGGAACACAAUCUCUGCUUCGACAAGACGUGCCAAGGAAACCGCUUCGCUAAACGUGCUGAGGUGGUAUAGUAAAAAACGAUUCAAACAAAGGCUUGGUAGCGGUGUGAUGUCACGCCGCAUAAUACGUCAGCAGAUUGGACUGGUGUACAUUUUAUUCUCUCUACGGUGGAAUGUGGAAUUUAUUUUGCAGAGCCGGACACUAUCCUGGUGUUCAUGAUCUUCUCUGGAUUAUUCAAGGGAGGAACCCGCCUUGCAAUGCCGAACAUUAUGCGCGCCGGACUUAUCGUCAUUGAAGCCUGGUUCAGGGGCUACUGAGGGAGUCCUGGACUAGGGGGUGUCCGGACAGCCGGACUAUCAUCGUCCGCCGGACUCCAAGACUACGAAGAUACAAGAUUGAAGACUCCGUCCCGUGUCCAGAUGAGAUUUUCCUUGGCGUGGAAGGCAAGCUUGGCAAUACGGAUAUGUAGAUCUCCUACCAUUGUAACCGACUCUGUGUAACCCUAGCCUCCUCCGGUGUCUAUAUAAACCGGAGGGCUUUAGUCCGUAGGACACAACAUACAUUACAACAAUCAUACCAUAGGCUAGCUUUAGGGUUUAGCCUCCUUGAUCUCGUGGUAGAUCCACUCUUGUACUACCCAUAUCAUCAAUAUUAAUCAAGCAGGACGUAGGGUUUUACCUCCAUCGAGAGGGCCCGAACCUAGGUAAAACAUCGUGUCCCUCGUCUCCUGUUACCAUCCGCCUAGAUGCACAGUUCGGGACCCCCUACCCGAGAUCCGCCGGUUUUGACACCGACAGGGCCCAUAACCCACAGUUCCACAGGAUCGAAACCUGACUCAUGUACAUCCCUGUUUUUCAAAGUUGUUCCUCGCGCUUGGAUUCGUAUGUAAUUCACGAGCCACCUUCCUUGUGAUCUGUUCUGGUAUCAGAUGCAAUACUUAUUCCCAUUGCUCUAAACCCCUUUCACCUUCUUACCUUGCUCUCGAUGACUAUCCUGAAUUCCAACUCAAGAGAUGCCUCUAUGCCAUGUUGAGGUACCUAUCUUGUGUUGAGCUCCAUCCCUCCCGAGUCUUUCCCCCUUACUCACCCCUUAAAUCUCGAGACGAUAUUUCUUGUAGUGGAGGAGAAUUGUGACGCCCAAAUAAUUAAGCUACAGUAAUCCCCUUUUAAUGGUUCCAUGUCAUCACAUUACUAUUGCUAAUCCUCGCUUGAUCCAAAUCUUAGUUCAAACUAAUAUUCAAAUUAAAGACCAAAAUUCAAAUUUCUCAAGCAUGCAUAAUAAAAUGUUCAAAGUGUGGCAAAUAAUCCCUGGAUAUUUGUCAUGUUGGAAACAACCUCCUUAGAAUUUUCAAAAUGCCCCUGGGAGUUAAUUUUUGGUCAAGUAGUAAAUUAAAUGGCAUUUGCAAAACAAAUAAUUAUUUAUUUAACUCCAAUUGCCUCCUGUCGUGGGAAACGAACACCUAUGGGGCAGGGCCCCUUUUCGGUCUGGCAAGGGAGCGGAGGGCACACGAAGAGCAGAUCGAGGCGAAGCACGCGGGGGAAUUUUACCCAGCUUCGGAGCUCUCCGGAGAGAUAAAACUCCUACUGCUGCUUUGUGUUUCUAUUCUGUUCUUGCUCAAGAGUGUGGGUGUGUUGUAGUUUCGAAUGAGUCGAACCCCUUCUACGUGCGCAUGGGCCUCCUUUUUAUAGUCUAAAGGGGUCACCGACAGGUGGCAGCAUAGAGAGAGGGGUAAAAAAGUAAAAACGCGGGUUGGUACAACCGCUAUCAACAGUGCCCCCUACCUAACUCUGACAGCAGGGGACAAGGGCAUUUAAUGCCCAUCCGGUCGCCCAAACAGUGCAGGAAGUGACCGUUAGGGGCGCCACCAAUCGCCACGAUGGCCUCCUAGUCAUCUUCACUUGCCACCUCGCACCGCUUGGCUGCACAGCUACCCGCCACGUGCACCGGGAGCGAUCCUGCGGCGACACGUCAUCGGAUGCGCUGGAGCAUGGGCGCAGAGUUGUGGCUUUGCCGCGGCAAGCGCCUUGCCGCGGUCACUAUCUUGUUGCACCCGCAAGCUUGCCGCUCGCCGGGUCUUGGUUGGCCUUCCCGGCAAGAUCCUCCUGCCGGGGUCUUGUCCUUCCCGGCAAGCUUCUCUUGCCGGGGCUUCGUCUUCACAGUUAACACUUUGUUCUUGAAUGGCAGUAAAUAGGAAUGACGAAGGAUCUUGGCGGACGCCCGGCAAGCCUUGCCGCAGGACGCUGCGCCUGCCCGUGCACAAGUUCGGGGUACUAAGGUACCCCUACUUUAGUACACCGACUGGAGCCCCCGGGCCUGGGCCAUACACGGUGCUGAGCGCUGUUGGGCCAGGCCCAAAACAGGACACGGGCACGCGCGGCCUGGGUCCUAACUAAAUCCACUCCGUAUCCACCGCGUCCUCCCGUAACGGCACGCGUCAAUCGCGGCGUCGUGGGAGAGAUCGUGGGUGGAAGACGUUCGCGCGUAUCCACAGCCUGAUGGAGGGGUUUACCCUCCAUUUUAAGUUAAUGGAGGGCGAUCUCCUCUCCGUCAAGGUCUUCGGGUGCUUCGACACUCGGGCGAAGUGCUGCGUGGACAGCUCCUCCGAUAGCAAAGGCUCCCCCUCGAGCGAGAGCGACAAGGAGGAGAGCAACAGCGAUGAUGAGGGUAGCGGGCGGCGGGAUGGCGGGCCCGACUAGGUGUCGGGCGCCGCUUCGUGCGUCACCGGUGACCCCAUCAUCCGUGUCGCCGGCUCCUUGAACUCCCCGGGGUCGUCUCCUUGGGCGGCUGGCGUAGGGAGGCUGCGGAAGGGGAAGAGGGCUGGCGACAAGGCCGUCAAAUCGGAGUACGAGGGCGUAGUGCCCUCGACAGCGUGCUGACGUCCUGCCGCCCCAUCUUCGAGCCCCGCUUCCAGCGCCGCCAUCACCGUCCGGCCUUCGGACGGCCCCCGGGAUGUUCUCUUGGUGUCUUCGCCUAGGCGCCUCUUUUGCCCUUUUCGCCUCCUUGACCUACAUCCUGAAGAGAGGGACAGGAAAGGGAUUACGGGCAUCUUAUCUUUUUAAUUUGUAAGCCUUCGGGCCCUAGUCGCAUCUAAAACUUGUAACCCUCUCUUUCAUGUUUUUCAUCCUCUAUGGACUGUACCUGAGUGUGAUGUUUUUUUAAUGAAAAAGGGAUGCUUGCCGGGUUAUUUGUCUCAUGGGUUGAACCCACGCCAAGGAGCAAAUCCUUGGUAUCCCUCGGACAGGCAUUUCAUCUCCCGCCAACAGGCCCUGCCGCCUUCCCACGUCGCUCGACCUUUCUCACGCCUUUGACGGAGGCGGGAACGAGGUGGGUGCGGCCUCCUCAUUUCAUCCCUUUGCUGCUGUGACUACGACCAAACUUGGCCCCGGGAACGAGCCCCAGGGCCUAGAGUUGAGGGAGCACGGCAGUUUUCGGGAAGAAACGCGGUUUCGCAUUCCCCAGUCCAUAAGAGGAUGCAUGAUGAGGGACGAAAGACUUAUCUGAUAUCGCAGCCCCCGGCAACUCUGGCUUGCCGUGGAUGAAUCUUGGUACUCGCAGCCCCCAGCAACACUGGCUUGCCGGGGCCCAGGUGCCGGCGCGCCCUUCUUCUCCUUUCCUUGUCGCUGUUAUUUCAGUUAUGAGAACAAUUUAGUCAGUGCCGCAAUAAGUUACUCUUGUAAUAUAACUUUAUUCUGGGCAAUGCUUGUUAUGUUACAUCCUUUAUUUGAUUCCAUUCCUUGUAUGUUUGUACCCUUACGCUUUUACGGAACUUGCCGGUGCAAACACGCUUGCCACGAGCGCUGAGUGCAAAACAUCAGCAGCCUUCUAGCGGUGUUGCCUCCGGCAAGAAACCUUGUCGGGGCUAGUCGCAGCACACUUUCAUUGUUGAGCGGACUCAAAACAAAGUAAGGGUGCAACUUAACCACGAGCCGGUUCCUCUGCGCACAGGUUUUCCAUACAAGGCAUGGUCGUUCAAGGAAUAUAACUUAAAAAUUUAAAACUGACUGUGCUUAAACUUCGGCAACUUAGCUUUUUUGUUGUUUGUGUCCNNNNNNNNNNNNNNNNNNNNNNNNNNNNNNNNNNNNNNNNNNNNNNNNNNNNNNNNNNNNNNNNNNNNNNNNNNNNNNNNNNNNNNNNNNNNNNNNNNNNNNNNNNNNNNNNNNNNNNNNNNNNNNNNNNNNNNNNNNNNNNNNNNNNNNNNNNNNNNNNNNNNNNNNNNNNNNNNNNNNNNNNNNNNNNNNNNNNNNNNNNNNNNNNNNNNNNNNNNNNNNNNNNNNNNNNNNNNNNNNNNNNNNNNNNNNNNNNNNNNNNNNNNNNNNNNNNNNNNNNNNNNNNNNNNNNNNNNNNNUGUGGGCGCAGGAAUCUUCUCUUUGAGAAAAAGGAAGAAGAGAAAAUAAAGUUAUGGAGCCUUAAGGCUUGUUAUUGCUUACCGGGGGCAAGUUCUGCACAAAGUGUCAGUGUAUACAUGCUAAAAAGAAAAAGGCAUGAAUUUUGACAAUAUGUACUAAACAUAUGAUCUUUAUUUAUGCACGGGAUCUGCGCCCGGCUUUGUACAAAGGGUUACAUGCAACAACGGCAAGGCUUGUACAAAAGGUGGUUGCCAGGACAGCAGGUUCCGGCAACCGCGCCUUAUGGGUAAAACUUACGAAGAUGAUCUAUGUUCUAGGAGUUGCUCACCGGAAUGCCAUCUUCGGUCUCAAGGCGGACAGCGCCAGGCCUAGUGACUCGCUUUACCCGAUAAGGGCCUUCCCACUUCGGCGUCAACUUGUUGGAAUUCUUGGCAGAUUGAACGCGCCGAAGAACAAGGUCACCUUCCUCGAAGCUUCUGGCAUUAACUUCGCGGCUAUGGUAGCGGCGCAAAGCUUGCUGGUAGCGAGCAGCUCGUACAGCAGCCUGAAGACGAUCCUCCUCGAGGAGCAGCGCGUCAUCUUGCCGCAGCUGCUCUUGCUCAAGCUCAUCAUAAGCGAGCACUCGAGGCGAUCCGUAUACGAGUUCUGUGGGGAGAACUGCCUCUGCUCCAUAGACAAGAGCAAAAGGUGUCUGGCCAGUGGCUCGAUUUGGCGUCGUCCUGAUCGACCAAAGAACCACCUGUAGCUCCUCGAUCCAAUUUCUUCCGCACUUGUGCAGCCUGUCGAAAGUUCUGGUCUUGAGCCCACGCAGCACUUCAGCGUUUGCCCUCUCCGCUUGACCGUUGCUUCUCGGGUGAGCAACAGAAGCGAAGCAGAUCUUGGCGCCAAGAUCUUGGACGUACUGCAUGAAGGUGCAGCUCGUGAAUUGUGUGUUGUUGUCGGUGAUGAUCCUAUUAGGGACUCCGGAACGGCAAACAAUUGACCUGAAGAACUUGACUGUUGACUGUGCUGUCACCUUCCUCACUGGCUCCACCUCCGGCCACUUCGUGAACUUGUCGAUGGCCACGUACAAGUACUCGAAGCCCCCGACAGCUCGGGGAAAAGGGCCAAGGAUAUCAAGCCCCCAGACUGAAAAUGGCCAGGAUAAAGGGAUUGUUUGGAGAGCUUGAGCUGGUUGAUGAAUCUGUUUGGAGUGGAACUGGCACGCUUCACACUUGGUUACUUGUGCAGUCGCAUCCUGGAGGGCUGUUGGCCAAAAGCAACCUUGCCGGAAGGCUUUACUGGCAAGUGCUCUUGCGCCAAUGUGGUGGCCACAUAUGCCUCCAUGUAUCUCCGCCAACAGCUCUUGUCCUUCUUCCCGGGAAAUGCACUUCAAUUUCACUCCGUUGAAUCUUCUUCUGUACAGUAUGUCAUCGACAAACUGAUACAUACUUGAUUGUCGGGCUACUUUCUCUGCUUCUUCUUGCUCUUCGGGAAGUUCUCCUGUUUGAAGGAAAUGGACGAUCUGCUGUGCCCAUGCCGGAGCUUGUGGCUCGACGACAAGGACUAAAGGCGCAAAUGCUGCUGCGGGAACAUCCGCUUCUACGGCAAGAAUAUGAGAUCCUGCCGGAGCGUGAUGCUCCCCGGCAAGCGUGCCGGGGCACAGCUUGUCGGGAGCGUCUGCUUCAACGAAACAAACCCUAGGGCUUGUCGGAGCAGACUGCUCCUCAGCACUUUCUAUGUUGAUCCUGGGGACCUUCUUGGCGGCGGCUUCGGGGAGCUCUGCCGGAAAGUAGUCGCCAGUAACCAACUUUCUCUUCUUGCUCUGUCCAGUUGAUGGUGUUACAGAUGGCUGAGUCAGCUUGAGCACAAAAAUACCUGGUUCCACAGGUAACUUGAGUGCGGUGCACUUUGACAGGCCGUCUGCAAUGUCAUUCUGAGCUCUUGGAACAUGUUCCAUCUGCAGGCCGUCAAAAUGCUCUUCCAGCUUCCUCACUUCAUCAAUGUAGGCCUCCAUCAGCGGACUCUGAUAAUCUGUGUUAACUUGGCGGACGACAAGCUGUGAGUCACCCCUGACAAUAAGCUUCUUGAUCCCAAGUUCUGUCGUGAUCCUGAGUCCGGCAAGCAGGCCCUCAUAUUCUGCAGUAUUGUUUGUUGCUUGCUCCUUGGGAAAGUGCAUUUGGAUCAUGUACUUGAGGUGCUCUCCGGUGGGUGCGACAAGUAACACACCCGCACCGGCGCCUUGCAGCGAGAAAGCACCAUCAAAGUACAUGAUCCAUUCCCUGUUUGCUUCCUUGACGGGGAUCCUCGUCUCCGGAGUUUCUUCAUCUGGUGUUGGCGUCCACUCCACUAUGAAUUCUGCCAAUGCUCGGCUCUGGAUAGUUGAAGUACUUUCAAACUUGAGGCCAAAGCUUGACAGUUCCAGUGCCCACUCGACAAUCCUGCCUGUUGCUUCUGGAUUUUGCAAUAUCCUCUUCAACGGAAAGCGAGUGACAACUGUGAUCUGAUGUGCUUGAAAAUAAUGGCGCAGCUUCCUCGAGGCCAUGAGAAGGCCGAAAAGCAACUUUUGCACUCCAGAGUAUCUUGAUCUAGCCACCUGCAGAAGGGAGCUGACAAAAUAAACUGGGUGCUGCACCAUCUUCUUUUGUUUCUCUGCCUGCGGCUGCACAGACUCAUCCUUGUCGGGACCAGAGCUUGACGGAGAAGCCCCCUGCUUGUCGCUGGACUCGCUUGCCGCGGCCGCUGGCUCAUCAUCUGCCUCCCUCUCUGCUACUAACGCAGCACUAACCACUUGAUUGGUUGCUGCUAGAUACAGCAGCAACUUCUCUUGCGGCUUAGGUGCGACAAGUACUGGAGUGGAGGAUAGGUAUCUCUUCAAGUCCUGUAGCGCAGCCUCCGCUUCUGGAGUCCAUUUCAUUGGACCUGCCUUUUUCAAAAUUUUGAAAAACGGCAGGGCGCGCUCAGCAGACUUAGAGAUGAACCUACUGAGAGCAGCAACGCAGCCGGCAAGCCUUCGCACAUCCUUGAGGCGCUUCGGGGCUUCAAUCUGCUCGAUGGCCUUGAUCUUGUCGGGGUUGGCUUCGAUCCCCCUCUGGGACACGAAGAACCCGAGAAGCUUGCCGGAAGGAACUCCAAACACGCACUUCUCAGGGUUCAACUUGAGAUUGAUCUUGCGCAGAUUUGCAAAAGUCUCAUCCAAAUCUUGGAUCAAAGUUUCUCUAUCUUUGCUCUUGACCACUAUAUCAUCCAUGUAUGCUUCUACAUUCCUGUGCAGCUGUGGCUCAAAAGCAUGACUGACUAGUCUUGCAAACGUUGAACCAGCAUUCUUUAGUCUGAAAGGCAUUCAUACAAAGCAGUACGUGCCACAUGGAGUAAUGAAUGCGGUGUUCUCUUCAUCCUCUUUUGCCAUGAAAAUCUGAUGGUAUCCUGAGUAUGCAUCAAGAAAUGAAAGCAGAUCACAUCCUGCCGUGGAGUCGACAAUCCGGUCAAUGCGCGGCAAGGGAAAUGGAUCUUUGGGACAAGCUUUAUUAACAUCCGUGAAGUCAAUACAAAGCCUCCACUUCCCAUUCACCUUGCGCACAAUUACUGGAUUGGCUAACCACGUUGGAUGGAGUACUCCUCGGACGAGGCCUGUUGCUUCCAACUUCUUGAUCUCUUCUGCUAUGAACUCUUGGCGUUCCGCCGCUUGCUUCUUGACUCUCUACUUGACGGGCCGCGCGUGAGGACAGACGGCAAGGUGGUGCUCAAUUACUUUCCUGGGAACACCGGGGAUGUCAGAUGGUUGCCAUGCAAACACAUUGACAUUCGCCCGCAGGAAAGCAACGAGCGCGCUUUCCUAUUUAGGGUCAAGCGUGGCACUGAUGGUGAAGGUACCACUAGUGCCGUCCUCCUUGGCGGCCACUUUCUUGGUAUCAGGUGUCGCUAUCUUUGCCCUCUUGCACUUGCCGGUGGAGCUCGAUGGUGCGUCCUCGACGGUAGCACAGCACUCCGAAGAGGUGCGCUUGCCGGAGUGGGCAUCAGAGCUACUCUUGCCGGACUUGGUCUUCUUCUUCUUCCCCCCGGGAGCUUCAGCGGCAAGUGGUUUGUGCUCUGCUGCGGCUGCUGCUUCCUGGUAGAUCUUGUCGGUGCAGAUAAGCGCAUCCUUCUUGUCGCCUUGGACAGAAAUGACGCUUAUCGGACCGGGCAUCUUGACCACGUUGUAAGCAUAAUGAGAGGCUGCCAUGAACUUGGAAAGCGCUGGACGGCCGAGUAUCCCAUUGUAGGGCAACGGGAAAUCAGCAACAUCAAAUGUGACUCUCUCUGUCCUGAAGUUCAGUUUGCUGCCAAAUGUCACUGGUAGUGUAAUCUUCCCCUUGGGCUUGCUCCUUCCCGGGUUGAUUCCUUGAAAGGUACCAGUUUCUUCGAGCUCGCUGUCGGGGAUCUGGAGCUUGUUGAGCACCGCGGAAGAGAUCAGAUUUAGGCCGGCCCCACCGUCAACCAACAUCUUCGUGACCUUGAGGUUGCGGAUGGUUGGCGAAACCAACAUCGGCAAGCACCCGACCGCAGUGAUGCGAUCAGGGUGAUCCUCAACAUCAAAGACGAUGGGCGUACUGGACCACUUCAGGGGCUUGCGCGAUUCGACUGAUGGUUCAGCUGCAUUUACCUCCCGCACCCACUGCUUGAGUUGGCGGUGCGAGGUGUGCAGAGAAGCACCGCCGUCAACGCACAAAACCUCUGUUGCCUUCUGAAACUCUUGCUCGUCGGUCUCAUCCUCGUCCAUCUCAUCAUCCUCAUCUUCAUCUUCGUCCUUGUCACGGCCACGGGGAGGUCUGUCUCCUUGCCGCUGCUUGGCCUUGCCGCGGCGCCCUCCCCGGGCGGGACGCUUCUUGCCGGAUCCUCCGCCACCUUCCUGGGCCUUCUCCUUGUCGCGACGCUCGUAUUCAGCUUUCUGUAGUUCUGCCAUUUGCUCAACCUUCUUGCAUGCUUGGAGGUCAUGGCCCUUGGUGCGAUGGAUCUUGCAGUACUGCUUGCCGGAACAAUCCUGCUUGUCGGCGGCCACCACAGCCUCGCCGGAGUCACCAGCUUUGGCCUUGUCGGCGCCGCCUCCGUUGCCGGACUGCUCAACAACUAGCACAUCCUUAGCCUUUCUCUUUCUAUUAUUCCGCCUCCGGUUCUUCUUUGCCGGAGGGACGUCCUCAUUGUCCGAUCCUUCUGCUCCUGCAUUCUCUCCGGGAAGUUUCCUCCCCUCUUCAGCUCGUGCACACUUGUCAGCCAGAGCAUAUAGCUCGCUGACAUCUCUAAUCUUGCACAUCGCCAUCUCCUCCCUCAUCCUGCGGUUACGCACGUUCUGAUGGAAUGCGCUGAUAACCGCGGCAGGGUGGACGUCUGGGAUGUUGCGCUGCACCUGGCUGAAUCUCUGUAUGUACUUGCGCAGGGGUUCUCCUUCUUUCUGGGCGAGCAGAUGAAGAUUGCUCUCCUGACCAUGGGGUUUGUGGCCGCCUGUGAAGGCGCCGACAAACUGAUGGCACAGGUCCGCCCACGAAGAGAUGGAGUUGUCCGGCAAGUGCAUGAGCCAAGAUCUGACGUUGGGCUUGAGCACCAGCGGGAAGUAGUUGGCGAGGAUCUUCUCGUCGCGCCCCCCGGCAGCCUGCACCGCGAUGGUGUAGACGCUGAGGAACUCUGAUGGAUGUAUCCUGCCAUCGUACUUCUCGGGUAUGUCCGGCUUGAAGUUCUUGGUACUGGGCCACUGGACUUGCCGCAGCUCACGGGUGAACGCAGGGUAACCUGCCGCGUACGGCAAGUCGCCUGGUUCCCCUGGCGCAUGCAUAUCGACAGUGGGCCCAGCGCACUGGUCAGAUUAAUGUCGCGCUUCUCUUCUGCGCUCGAUGCGAGUACGAGCGUCUCUGUGUCGUCGUUCUUGGAGAACUUGGCGUUGAUCGCGGCGAGCUCGCGGGUCCGACGACGCGGUGGAGUCGGUGUCGAGGUUGGAACGGCGAGUUGGCGAUCAUGGCCUUCGGGGCGGGGAGUGCACGGUGGUGGCACCCCCAGCGGUCUUGUCGGUGUCGGCUUGCGCCCGGGCGUCUUGCCGGGGCUUUCGAUGUGCUCGGUUGCCGGGGCUUGUCGCCGUUGGCGAAGCCGAUGAGGCUUUGGAUGGUGAUCCUCCAGUCGUCGAUCUUGUCUGGCGCUGGAGGGUAAUCUAGAAGCAGCUGGGCUCGGGCCAGCGCUUCCUCUGGAGUCUUGGGCGGCGGUGGCGAGCGACGCGAGGUGCGGGAUAUGCUCAAACUUCUAACAGUGUUAGAAGGAGCAACAUCUCGCCCAGGCGACCGUACUUCGCUCGUGCCAGCGUGUUGACGUGUAUGUUGGCCUUGAGCGUCCCGCGAUCCGCCGGCUUGGCCUUGUUCCAACACGAGCACGGUGCUAGGAGUACCGUGGCAUUGCCGAUCUUGCACCUCCUGGGAGGGGUACGGUGGAUGUACAGACGCUGAAGCUUGCGGGGCCUUGUCCUCGGACCUGGUGACGAUGUGAGUCCCCCCGUCGGCGCCCGCUCCUCCGCCGGCGUCCACCCCACCACCCGUUUGCUCCGGUGGCGGUAGGAUAGUCGCAAACGGAGUGGCCACCUCCGAAGCCUUCUUCUUCGGUGGCAUGUCGAUGAAGAUGUUGAUGUAGCGCGCAGAUGCCGGAUCAGGUACGCACAACCUCGACGCCCACCUACCUGGCGCGCCAAAGAUGUCGUGGGAAACGAACACCUAUGGGGCAGGGCCCCUUUUCGGUCCAGCAAGGGAGCGGAGGGCGCACGAAGAGCAGAUCGAGGCGGAGCACGCGGGGGAAUUUUACCCAGCUUCGGAGCUCUCCGGAGAGAUAAAACUCCUACUGCUGCUUUGUGUUUCUAUUCUGUUCUUGCUCAAGAGCGUGGGUGUGUUGUAGUUUUGAAUGUGUCGAACCCCUUCUACGUGUGCAUGGGCCUCCUUUUUAUAGUCUAAAGGGGUCAGCGACAGGUGGCAGCGUAGAGAGAGGGGUAAAAAAGUAAAAACGCGGGUUGGUACAACCGCUAUCAACAGUGGCCCCUACCUAACUCUGACGGCAGGGGACAAGGGCAUUUAAUGCCCGUCCGGUCGCCCAAACAGUGCAGGAAGCGACCGUUAGGGGCGCCACCGAUCGCCAUGAUGGCCUCCUAGUCAUCUUCACUUGCCACCUCGCACCGCUUGGCUGCACAGCUACCCGCCACGUGCACCGGGAGCGAUCCUGCGGCGACACGUCGUCGGAUGCGCUGGAGCGUGGGCGCAGAGUUGUGGCUUCGCUGUAGCAAGCGCCUUGCCGCGGUCACUAUCUUGUCGCACCCGCAAGCUUGCCGCUCGCCGGGUCUUGGUUGGCCUUCCCGGCAAGCUCCUCUUGCCGGGGUCUUGUCCUUCCCGGCAAGCUUCUCUUGUCGGGGCUUCGUCUUCACAGUUAACACUUUGUUCUUGAAUGGCAGUAAAUAGGAAUGACGAAGGAUCUUGGCGGACGCCCGGCAAGCCUUGCCGCAGGACGCUGCGACUGCCCGUGCACAAGUUCGGGGUACUAAGGUACCCCUACUUUAGUACACCGACACCUCCAAACUUUAUGUGGCACUGCAAAAUAUUUGUGGCUCUGUCUAAGAUUGCCAAGGAAUUAAAAGGGGAACUUAACAUAUUUUUCCUAAGUAAAUAGUGUGCCCAAAAUAUUCUCUUAACCAUCUCUGUUUUUUUUAAUAAAAAAAGGCGAAUAAGAACUCGCCCGGGCCUCGGCCUACUCCCACUUACCAGCCCACCUAAGCCGGCCCACUCCCCCGCUCCCAUGGCCUAUAGGCCAUGCUCAACCGAACCCUAACCCCGCACGAUCCCCCCACUCCCCACUUCUCUCCCCUCCCGAUCCAAUCUGGAUCGGACCGAAACUGGCGCCCCGACGCCAACCGCCGUCGCUGGAGGCAUCCCCGACUCCACGCUGGGCCACCCCAUCACCUGACCUCCUCCCCGUCGUCGCUCGUCACUCGCUGGACCGCCUCGUCCCCACCAACGCCGCCCCGAGCCCAACGUCCCUGUCGUCGUCGCCGUCGGCAUCGCCCCGAUGUCGCCACCACCCGACGCCGGCGCCCUCGACAUCGCCACCCCGAGCCCACUGCCACCCCUACGCUCCACUGUGAGCCCCUCGCCGAUUCCCCCUCCUUCCUGUCAUCGUAGGUGGCCGCAUGCGCUGUUGGCCACCGUGGCCGCGCUCCGGCCGUUCCCCAUCCGUGUGCUAGCCUCGCCUUCCCCGGCUGCGGCCACCAGCCUCCUCGUCGCGCUCCCGCCUUCGCCCACACCUGCCCCUGUACGCCCAGCCGCUGCUGCUCGCCGGAUCCGCAUGUUCGCCCCCUAGCUUCGUCUCCGGCCGUCGAGUCCGCACCCGAUGCCGGCGCCCCAGCGCGUCCAUGCGCCCGUACGGGCGGGCGCCCACGCCCAUGCCCCUCCGCCCGUUAGCCCGCCCCGCUAAGGCCUGGGCACCUAACCAAGGGGCCCCACGCCCCUGUGUAAUAAAAAAGAUUUAAAAAAAAUAAAUAUAAAUAUAAUUAGUUAAUUAGUUAAUUAAUUGUAUAGUUAAUUAACUAACUUAAUUAACCUUGCUUAGUUAGCCUAAUGAACUAGUUUAGUUAAUUUAAAUCUGUUAGAUAGGUCUAUGAGAGAACGACCCCACAUGUCAGUUUAACCAGUCAACACUCUUUUGACUGCUGACAUCAUGAUGACGUCAGGCUGACAUCAUAAUUCCAAUUUUGAAUUAAUAAUAAUUUCAGAAUAUUAUUAAAACUUUGAAAAAUCAUAGAAAAUAAACCGUAUCUCGGAUGGAAGUUGCUUGGAACGACGAGACAAAUCCGAAUGCGCAGUUCGUUCAUCUGUCACGCGUCCCUAGCAUAGCAAACGUUGAACUUUUCCCCUCCGGUUCAUCUGUCUGAUAGACGUCCGGAACCGGGAAAACUUUCCCGGAUGUUUCCCCCUUCGCCAGUAUCACCUAGCACCUCGUUAGAACACUUCUAGCCCCGCUUAUUGUCUUGUUAUGCAUAUGUUUGCGUGUAUUUACUGUUUCUUCCCCCUCUUCUUCUCCGGUAGACCUCGAGACCGCUGAUGAUGCCCCUGUGAUCGACUACGUCGACGACGACCCUCCUUGUUUGAGCAACCAGGCAAGCCCACCCUUUGAUCAUCCCGAUAUCGCCCAUUCCAUUCUCUCAUGCUUGCACUAGAUUUUGCUACUGUAUUUGACUGCUCCUAUUCUGAUGCAUAGCCUGCUUUUGUACCUGCUAUUGUAACUUACCUGCUUAUCCUAAAUUUCUUAGUACAGGUUGGCUAGUGAUCCAUCAGUGACCCCCACCUUGUCUUUGUUGCCCCUGCUUCAUCAUCGACGACUCGAUCAACGUGAUCGACGACCGGAGCCUGACACCUCACAUCACAUCACGCCCCUUUUUCUUGCUCGACUCUGCAGAGUUACCAUCGAGUGCCGAGGGUGGAACCUCAUACAUCGCUCCUGAUGAGAUCUCUGUAGUGUAGCUAUUCGGUCGUGGUCAUCGAGGGUGGUUCCUCCUUCACCAUUCCUAAUACGGCUCUGUCGUGCAACACCUCAAGUGUGAACCUCGAGGGUGGUUCCUCUUACGUUCACCUUGAUGAUUACAUCAACUGGAAUCCACCGGGGGUGAUUCCUCGGAUUUUCCCCUUGAUGUCUGGACACAUAGUUACCUUGAUACUUGAGACCGUUGUGAAAGCCGGGCGAGCCCGGAGAGCACCCGUGCGAUGUGACGGUGGCGGCUGGCUGUUUAGCGGUAUCACCCGGGAGGGGUGAUAGCUCCGGACUUGUCCCGACAUCCGUCACUUCUUUUAAUAAUGCACUAACACGUUUGUGUAUUUGUUCUGAGUUGGCCUCUGGCCUUUACGCACUAACCACCACGCGAGAAUAGUUAUGGGCCUCGACGUUGCAGUAUCUUUCGAAGCUUUGUCAGACGUCCAGUUCAGCAUUGUGGCCGGGCCGGAUCGUGCCAUCCACUUCACCGGUGGUGCUGGUAUCCCCUUGUGCACAACGACCCGGAGUGCAAUGGGCGAUGGGCCCAGACCCCGGAGUGCUUAGGAUGUAGACCGGCGGGGACCUCUCUACUGAGCCUAGGUAGGGCUGCGACGUGUUGAUCUUCCGAGGCUGGGCAUUGACCCCAGAAAGGUGUGUCCGGCCAGAGUGAUCGAGCGUGUUGGGUAACGUGGUGCGCCCCUGCAGGGAAGAUUAUCUAUUAAUAGCCGUGUCCAUGGUAACGUACCUUCAGACUUAUAUCUUGAUCUUAUACAACUACAAAUGGAUACUUGAGAUAUGUGGCUCCGGGAUUGCUUUCUCGCAGGGAGUCGAGGAAGGAUCUCUGGGCGUUGUUGUUAAAACAUGCUUGUUAAUUAAACUGCUAUUCUUUACUCUUCUACAUGCUGCAAGAUGCUUGGAGCUGCUUGAAGAUGCUAGUCUUUGUUUGGCUAGGCCUUCCCCUCUAUUCUGGCAUUCUGCAAUUCAGUCCACAGAUACAACCCUUCCAUUUGAUACCAAUGCAUACUUAGUAUAGAUCUGAUGCUUGCGAGUACUUUGGAUGUGUACUCGCGGUUGCUUUGCUACCCCUUUUCCCCCUUCUUUCUUCUUUCCGGUUGACGCAACCAUAUGGUGGAUCCUUGGAGCCAGAUGCCACCGCCGAUGGAUGCUAGUACGUGAAGAUCGCCGACGACCAGGAGUAGUUAGGAGGUCCUAGGCAGGAGGCCUUGCCUCUUCGAUCGUUGUUGCUUUUGUGCUAGCCUUCUUAAGGCAUCCUUAUUUAACUUAUGUCUGUACUCAGCUAUUGUUGCUUCCGCUAACUCUUGUGUAUCGAGCUAUGUAUUCGAGCUCUCGAGGCCCCUGGCUUGUAAUAUAAAGCUUGUAUUAUUUUGAUUUGUGUCUAGAGUUGUGUUGUGAUAUCUUCCCGUGAGUCCCUGAUCUUGAUCGUACAUAUUGGCGUGCAUGAUUAGUGUACGAUUGAAUCAGGGGCGUCACACAAGCGGUACUACUGCCCCACCCAGUUUCAGCAUUUCGAGUUUCACCGUUUUGCCCAUAACUUCCACAUCCGGAGUCCGAUUUUUGCAUUUUUUAGCUCGUUGAGUAGCUAUUGACAUCCCCCAUCCAUCUAUAUAGGUUCCAACACCAUUUGACUCCAUCAAAUUUUCCAAAAUUUGGAAAGUUUGCCUAGGCCGUCCACCAUAUCAUCUGCAUAGCCACCACCGACCACCGCAACCUAACCCAUUUUGUUCCCCUUAGCAUUUGAGGUUGUUUGAGUUGUGGCUUGUGUCUCCUAAGGUGUUUCGGCUACUUAGGGAUGGUAACUUCAACUCCAACACGUGUAUAGCCCAUCAUUCCACUUCCGCAUUGCCGAGUGCAAACCACCACCUCUUUCCACUACCACCAUUUGACAUUUACCUUUGUAGAUUUUGAGUUUGCGAUUUUUCCGUUUCCUAGGGUGUUUUGGCUAACUAGGAAUGGGUCGACAUCAGCAACAUCGCCUCUCAUCAUCGCCAAGGACGGUAACCUCGAUGACACCAUUGUAUAUUCCCUUGCCAUUGCAUUGAUAACCCCUAGCCCAUUUUGCGUCACUUGCCUAUCGAGACUAGCCGUUUGAGUAUUGCCGGCAACGUGACUUGUGCACAUUAGUGAUCAUACUUCCCAUAGCAUCAUACCAUAUCAUCGUGGUGCAUAUAUUGGUAGCAUAUCUUGCGUCACAAGUUUGUUGCCGCAUAUACACAAUUGCUAUCUUGGUUUGUGCAUUAUGCAGAAGUGGCCAUACAAAAAAGAGAAAUAAAGCUUUUAAGCAAAAGAAAGAGAGAAAAGAAGCUUGUAAGCAAGUGCCAUAGCAUCAUACCAUAUUGCACAUAAGAUUGUCAUAUCCGAUCAUCUUGGAUCAUCUUGAGAGAACAUCGGGAACCAUACAUACAUAGCAUACUUGGGAUAGAAAGUAUAUCCAUUUGGCAUCUUGUAGGUUGUGCACAAGUGUCCUAUCCGCCUAUUGAGCAAUCGUGCUAGCGUCUCUCUUGAGUUGUGCAACACGAGCGUUUUCUGUGGAUUCCACAUUUUGUGCUCAUUGCUUGGUUGCACGACCCCAUUUAUCUAUCCGUGUGUGUGUUUCCGUGUGUCAUUCUUUGCUAUUGGUCUACUUGUUUCACUUGCAAAUUUGUGAAUCUCUUUCAACAUUAUUGACUCUUGCUAACAUUUUGCAUCAAAUUUUUGUGCCACUAUCCUCACCGAGCUCCACCAUAAGCUUUACUUGAUAGGUGUGAGUGAACAAGUCCGGUACCAAUUCCACUAUUCUUUCAUUUCACAUUGAGUUAAACGGGAUACAUCCUCAACUUUGGGAAAGGUAACUUCCUAUUGUUUAUCUCAUUUCCUACUGGCAUUUCACCUUCGGUCUACAACAACAACGACGAGUUCGAUGCCACGAACAACUCCAACGACGCCAAGAUGCAAGCUCAAAUGGAGGAGAUCAAAGCCCUCAUCAAGUCCUACAAGCAAUCUUCCUCAUCUUCGAGAAGACACUCACGUGCACAUGUUUCCGAGCUACCAUCUCCGGUAAGAUCACAUCAGCAUCGACACCAUCACCAACAAGAACGUGAAGGUCAAGAGCUCAACACCAACUACCGCUCAACGACUUCACCAUCUCCCUUGGCAUCUUCGCCAAGCGACUUCAAGGCAUCUUUGAGUACGGAUAUACGGCAUCUUCGCCAACAAGAACCUCAAGGCUACGCUCAAGAGAAGCUCCCCAAGCUCAAGUCCACGACUUCCAUGAGCUACUACGACCUCGACACCGACCACAAGAUUCCUUUCUAUGGAACUCAAGAACCCGAGGAGUACCUCGAGUGGGAGCGUUUGAUGGACGACUACCUCAAGCUACAUCAAGUCCCUUCCGAAGAUCAAGUGAAGUGCGCCACAAGAAACUUCCACGACUACGCCUCGACAUGGUGGCUUCACACACCUUCGGAGAGCUACGAGAUGAGUUAGCCCAAGACGAAGAGAGCUUUGCAGCGAGAGCUCGUGCCUCCAACCUACAUGGAACAACUUCGACGCCAAUUGGAGAACACCAUCCAAGGAUCCAAGUCCAUCGACGCGUACUUCAAGGAGAUGAAGAAUGCCUUGCGACGAGACGGCGUGGAUGACCCCAUUUCGAUGAAGUUCCACUUCAUGAUGCGAUUGAACAACGACAUCUCCAAGACUAUCUUCCUCGAGAACUACAAGUCCCUGGACAACUACUACAUUGGUGCUCUCAAGGCGGAACAAGAACUCAUGAAAGCCAAGGCUUCUCCACCCCAAGCACACUUCGCGGCGACCAAGCUGUACGACAAGCAUGAGGCUAGUACCACCAUGAUGUCCAAGCCCGACGAGCUCCAAGACAAUGCUCCCAAGUUCGACUUCACCGCCAUCCCUCUUUGUGGCAUUGAUGACGCCGAGUCUACCUUGACUCUUUUUCAAGACGGUGCGGCGACGAGUACGACUACGGAGACCUUCAAGGACCAAGCUUUGGAGGCGAGCGACAAGGUGGCGAGCAAGGAUGGUGUUUCCAUCUUUGGAGGCGAGAGUGAUGAUGUGCCAUCUUCGUCCUUCAUCCACGGCGACGAUGACGAGAUGAUCGAGCAUGGGAUUUUCCCUUCGGUCAUGGAGGAGAGUGAUGAUGUGCCAUCUUCGGCCUUCAUCCACGGAGACGACGACGAGAUGGUUGAGCAUGGGAUUCUCCCUUCGACCACGGUGACGUAUGAUGACUUGAGUGACUUUUGCCACCAUAUUGAGAGUGAGAGUGACUUCACCACUAGCCCCAUAUAUGACGAGUUGCCCCAAUUCCUAUGUGAGGAGAGCCACAACCCCCACCACUUGAGUGAGAUGAGUGACUCCACCAUAUGCGACUUUGAGUGCACCUAUUUUGAGGGAGUGAGUGAACCACCACAUAGAGAGAGUGUGAUAGUUGAUAGGUCUCGUGAGGCCAUUUGCAUUUCUAACAACUUGACCUCUACCUCUAUUGUGUCUUCUCAUUUGGUGCUAGGUCCCAUUUAUGAUGACGCGCCGAUCCUCGACGACUUCGUCCUCCCUUUGGACAAGACGAUGGCCAUGGUGGAAUAUGAUGCACCCCCCACAUGGUUCCAUCAAGAUGAAGAUGACCACCAUUUGGUCUUUCCCACCUCACCUACACCACUUGAGUGGAAUGAAAAAGGUAACAUAGGUGAAGGUGAUGCUCUAGUCCCACUAGUGGACAUUCUUGACAUUGAUUGCUUGCAUGAUGUUGAUCCACCUAGUACCAUGCUUCAUGCUAGUAUGAUUUCCCCAUGUGAUGAUUUGGCCAUUUAUGAUGAGUAUGAUGAUUCUCAUGUGGAGUCUCUUAGUUGUGAUGUCAUGUUACAUAGGAUUUCUUGUGACAAUUCUUUAGGUCACAUCAUGUUUGAUAAUCCGCUUGACUUGUCGUAUGCUAUGCAUGACAUUCACCAUAUGUCAUAUUUGCAAUCUCAUUGUAGUGACUAUGCAUAUGCCAUUCAAAUUAACCCAAUUUGCACUUAUGGCAUAGAUGACAAGCCCAUGGUUAUUGGGAUUUGUUUUUCUUGUGAUGAUAUUGAUAUGGUCCCUUUGCAUCAUUUAUCUCAUAUGCCAUGUCAUGCCCACCUAGCUUCGGAUAUGCAUUGUUUUGGAUGUUGUCCAUUUUCUCCAUAUGAUGUUUCCAAUCUUGCUCAUGAGGAGACCCCCAUAGUUCCCUCAUACAUGUUAGGAGAUUUUGAUCCAUCCCAUCCAUUGCAUGAUCCCAACAAUUGUGUGCACCAUAUGCUCCCCAUGAAUAAACAUGCUAUUGAUGUGCCAUAUACUUGCAUUCUCAAUUUGUGUCCCCAUCGUGUCAUACAUAAUAACUAUUCUUUCAUGAUGGAUGACAUGUUCUUAUACCAUGCAUCAAAUUUCGUUGAGCGAUGCUUAUCUUGUGCUAACUCACACGUGCACAUACACAUCAUGAUGGAUGAUGUGUACAUUUACCACACACACAAUUUAUUUGGUUUGUGUCUCUUUUGUGUAGGUACCCAGGAAUACUUGUCAACCUCGCAAUCCCACGAGUUGACAAAACGAGCUCUAGAGAGCAACGAUGAUUUGGGAUCCCAUGGAUUGUCUUUCCCACCGCUCUCUUCGCGCAAAGACUUAGCGCAUUUCUUCUACAUGGCCCUCACUUGGCUAUGGGUUGUUUUCCAUUACAUAUUAUAUGCCCAUCUUGCCAUGUUCACUUUGCAUGAUAUGCCCAUUCCCAUGCAUUUGUGACCCAUACUUUGCUUUACACAUGAUGAUUGACUCUCAUACUUUUAUGUGUAUUUGCAAGCUUGGUGGAGAUAUUGCUUGUUGUUUCCCUAUUCCAUUUUUGACCCACCCCUAUGAUGAUACUAUGAUCUUGCUUUGUGUUCGUGCUUGUGAUAUGUCAUGUGCAUUGUCUAUCCCUAUUAUUUGCUCACAUGACAUGAUUGCCAUGAUUUACUCUGGUGUGUUGCAUCUUCGCUCCACUAGUUUGCACCACAUGAUUGAUAUGCUUGCUUGUAUUGCAUCCCCCAUGAUUCAUACUUGCUCAUUUCAUGCGAUUGAUGACAACCAUUUCCAUACUUUGCACGUGAUUGCUAUAGCUUCUUGUCACAUAUCUACAUAUGUUGCCUCUCUCAUGCUAGAUCACUUGCCAUGUAUUUAGUGCAACAAUGCUCUUAUUCUUGCUCAUGAGAUUGCCCCCAUAGCAUUCUCACAUAUGAUUGGAGUUGACAUAAUUCUUGUGAAGCAUGCUUGCCUUCCUUCUUUGCACCAUAUGCCUAGUGCCAUGAAUAUUGCCAUUGUUGCAUCAUAUUGUUCAUGCACUUGUGCUACUAAAGGUUAUGUGCAAGAGAUGAGAACCAUCAUGAUGGAUGAUGUGUUUCUCUACCAUGCGCAUAUACUCUUUGUUUUGUUGUGUGCAUGUGUAGGAUACUUGGACUUCGUCUCGACUUCCACUUCAUGUGAGUUGACCAUUCAAGCUCUUAAGAGCGAGCCUCACACAUUCUACCACUACUCGCUUCUACACCGCAUUUGCUUGCGCUUCGGCAUUGUGAAGAAUGCACAAGGACAUGCCUUCAAGGUGACAUCUUUCUUGAGCAUGGAUAUUGCGGAUCAUACUACUUGUGUAGCUUGCACUGUGAGACUUAUUGGUCAUCUUGGACCACUUGAUUGCGCACUUGCUAGAGAUCUUGCUUUGACUUGCCAUUUUCACAUUCCCAUGCAUCAUGAUAUAUAUGCCUUGUGUGUUGCAUCCAAUUCUUGGAUUACUAUCACAACCUAGCUAGUCCAUGCAUUAGAGUGUUGCAUCAUGUCUACCUUUUAUCAGAAACUUGAAUUGGGGAAGACAGAACCCCCCAGAACCCCUCUGAAUUCAACUAGUGCUUACUAAAAAUAUUUUCAAUGAACCUGAAAUGCCCUUCUAAAAAGUUCACCCUCUUUGUCUUGGGUUAGAACCUCUGGCAAAAUUGGUGCACAAUUUUCUAGGUCAACAAAAGGCCAUUGAAUUAAAUCAUAUCUACUUUGAGUUUGGGCAUUUAAACUAUAUAAAAUAUUUCAAAUGCUCAAAUAACUCCAAACUAAAAUGUUCCAUACUGGAUAUAUUCCAACUAGGGACCAUGUGCAGUUUGGUGAUUUUUGGAGUUGCCUAAGUAUUUUUAGAAAUGCAACAAACUUACAGAAACAAUUAAAAACAGAAACAAAUGGGAAAAACCCUUACCUGGCCGAACCAAGCCCCAGCCCAGCUGGCCGGCCCAGCACUGUGCUGGCCCAUGCCAGCCAGCUGCUUCGCCGUCGCCACGCAGGCACAGAGCUGACGCCGGCAAGCGUGAGCUCGCAACGGCGCCAGCUGCUUGCCGCCCGCGCCCCCGAGCACCUGGGUGAGCUCCACGUCGCCGCCCCGACCCCGUGGACACCUCAUUCGCCCCCUGCCUCUCUCCCUCGCUCUCCCGCACCAUGGCCGACGCACCCGCCGCCGCACCCCCGACGUAGUCGCGCCCUCCGUCGUCCUCGUGCUGCACCACCGUGUCCCUUCGCUCCGCCGUCAUCGACUACAUCGAGUAGGCCGAGCCCCGAGCGCUCGCUGGCCCUGUUUCAUCUUCUUCGAGCUCGUCUUCACCGAGCACCGCCACAGAUCCCCUUCGCCGUCGCCGCCGUACCAGCUCGUCCCCGACCUUGCCGACCACUCCGUUGUGACCGCCGUGAGCUCAGCCACCUCCCCAUCCUCCCCGUUUGCCUUCUCGUGCACCGUAGCAACCGCAUGGAGCUUCAUCGCACGCACCACCGACGAGCUCGUCGCCGACGUGCCUCCGGCCAUCCACCGUCCACACCACGGUGUCUAACAUGCUCACCGCAUCGUGUAGAGUCUAACGCCCCACUCCACGCGCCUCGCCGUGCCCCGUAGCCAUGGGUCCAUUUUCAUCCGACUCCGGCGACCGCCGUGGUCGUCGCCGGCGACGUUCCUGGCCACCUCGACCUCAACCACCACCACCAAACGCCGCGACUUGUUCCCGGCUACACGUAGAUGGUCUCCGUCGUCCAUUUGGUCGCCAGAACAUGCUAACCCACUUCCUCCGCCGCGUCUGGCCUCGCCGGCGGCUAGACACCGGCAUGUUUGACCCGUUGACAUUCACUGGGUGGGCCAGGUUGACUCCCCUGAGUCUAUGACAAGUGCCCCCCCCUCUGCUAAUUAACCUAGUUUAGCUCUUACUAAAAUCAGUUAGUUUAAAUAAGUGCUGACAUGCGGGACCCACUGGUCAGUUUGACCUGAACGACCCCUUUGACCACUGACGUCACCCUGAUGCACUGCUGACGCAAUAACCAAUUUCUGGAUUUAUUGUUAUAUAGGAAAUUCCAGAAAUUGUUGCAAACUUCAAAAAUUCAUAGAAAUUAAUCUGUAACUCCAAAUGCAAAGAUUUAUAUAUGAAUUUUGAUCAGAAAAAUUCAAUCUAUCCAUUGGUAAUGGUUUCAUGCAUGUCAGAACAAGUUAACCUUGCUGUUUAAUCAAAACAAGUUAAUGCACUAAUAUGACUAUGUUAAAUGAACUACCAUUUGCAUCUUUGAUUCAAAUGAGUUCAUACCUUUCUGUUCUAGCUUGCAUUAGGCCAGGACACAUUCAUGUUGCCAUGUCAUAGCAUGCAUCAUAUUGUUGUAUAUCGUCAUGUGUUGUUCAUGUUCGGUGUGUUUUCGUGAUAGGUUCUGCCUCCGAGGAUAACCCCGAAUAUCCGUCUGAAGGGCUGUAUCCUACUACCACUACAUCAGGCAAGCAACCCAUUGAUCAUUCCGAUACAAACCCAUGUUCUUGCCUCUGCUCUUGUUUACUGCAUUAAGACAAUGCGAUUCAAACUUUUGUGUGUUGUGGUAGUUGAACCCACUUCCUUUGCAUGACCUGUCAUUGCCACAGUAACUAGAUGAAACUCAGUAGCAUGUGUAGGAGUUGAUUGAGCCAUAUCUGUGUUACCUACCAUGCUAUGCUUGCUAUGCUUAGAGUUGUGUCAGGUCUGGCUCAUUGGGAUGAUGAACUAGAGUGAAAGGUUGUGUCGGUAAUGAAGUGUUGAACACGAUUUGGUAAAGGUAUCGAUGAGAGGCCAUGUAGGAGUACAUGGUGGGUUGUUUCAUUGAGGCCGUCCUUAAGCACUGAGAUCUGUGUGUGUGAUUUAAGAUUCAGCUACUACCACGCAUUGGGCCCGAAACCAAUGGACCCUCUCGACUUAUUAACCACUCUUGUCCUCUGUCCGGGAGUUGCAAGUAGUUUUUGGUGUUUGUAGCAUGAUGGGGGCCGCACGCAGUGCUGACCUUAGGGGUGGGUUGGGUUGCGGUAGGCAUGUGGCACGGUGUAUCGAUUCGCCCGUUUGGUGUCUCGGGAACCAUGUUCACAUCAUUCGGGGCCGUUAGUGGAAACCUCGGCCGGACUCCCUGCGGAUGGAACCCGAAUAGGCGAUAAACCUGGACUAGGGACUCGUGUGUUUAGUCAGGCCGUGGCCGACACCCUCGCUGGGCUUCCGCUUGAGGCUUGCCGAGUACACGUCAUGUAGCGGUGAUAAGUGGUGAGAGCGUGUGUGAAGAAGUACACCCCUGCAGGGUAUAAAACUAUUCGAAUAGCCGCGUCCGCGGUAAAGGACUACUUGGUCACCUAUGCAGUUCAUAGACAAGUAAAUGGAUACUUCUAAAAGCCUCAAGUUAAGUGUGAGUACCGAGGAUGGCCCUCUCGUAGGUUGACAAGAGAGGAUCCUCGGUGGAGUAUUGUGUUGGUGAGUAGUGGACUCGUGUGCGACAAAUGUUUUGCAAGUUGUGUCUAUCGUAGAAUAGCUUAGCCAAGAGUCAAAGCUGGCUUGCUGCAAUAACUCCACUACCUUCUUGAGAAUGUGCAUGUAUGAUAGGAUUCUGUUGUAAGACUUGCUGAGUACCUCUGUACUCAUGUUUGCUUAAAUGUUUUCAGACGACAACACCAACCCCUCCGAUGGGUUCUACGUAGACCUCGACGUUGACGAGUGACUAACCACCCAAGUGGUGAUCCGAGACUUGUGAAGGGCCGAUGUAGAUAGAAAGGCUUCGUCAAGCCCUCUUUCUUUCUAGUGUCUGUACUCAGACUAGUUGCUUCCGCAUGUGCUUGUAUGCUUGUAUGACUUGAGUCUCAGGUCAUGUGACCCCUAUCUGUAUGAACAUGUUAUGUAUGGCUCCUUGGAGCCACUUAAAUAAAGUACUUUGAGUUGUAGAGUUUUGUUGUGAUGCCAUGUUGUAUGUACUCAUAUCGGGCAUAUUGUGUGUAUGUUUGAAAUGCUUGGUAUGAGUGGGAUCCGACAAUCUAGUUGUUUAUCCUUGGCAGCCUCUCAUAUGGGGAAAUGUAGUCUAGUGCUUCCUGAGCGAUAGUAGUCCGCUACAGCCCGGUUCACCGGAGUCCUGCUAGCCCAGUACUACAGCUCUGGACACUUGACUGGACAGCAUGUGUUUCACUUCGUUCCUGUGUCUGUCCCUUUGCGGAAAUGUCACGCGGUGGCAUUCGGAGUCCUGCCUAGCCUGCUACAGCCCGGGUUACUGUUGGGAAACGUAGUAAUUUCAAAAUUUUCCUACGCACACACAAGAUCAUGGUGAUGGCAUAGCAACGAGAGGGGAGAGUGUUCGUCCACGUACCCUCGUAGACCGUAAGCGGAAGCGUUAGCACAACGCGGUUGAUGUAGUCGUACGUCUUCACGAUCCGACUAAUCCAAGCACUGAACGUACGUGGCCUCCGAGUUCAGCACACGUUCAGCUCGAUGAUGAUCUCCGGCCUCCAAUCCAGCGAAGCUCCGGAGAUGAGUUCCGUCAGCACGACAGCAUGGUGACGAUGAUGAUGUUCUACCUGCGCAGGGCUUCGCCUAAAAUCCGCGACGAUAUGACUGAGGUGGAAUAUGGUGGAGGGGGGCACCGCACACGGCUAAGGAACGAUCCAUAGAUCAACUUGUGUGUCUAUGGGGUGCCCCCCCCCCCCCGCCCCUGUAUAUAAAGGAGAAAGGGGGAGGCCGGCCGGCCCCUUGGGCGCGCCAAGGGAGGAGGAAUNNNNNNNNNNNNNNNNNNNNNNNNNNNNNNNNNNNNNNNNNNNNNNNNNNNNNNNNNNNNNNNNNNNNNNNNNNNNNNNNNNNNNNNNNNNNNNNNNNNNNNNNNNNNNNNNNNNNNNNNNNNNNNNNNNNNNNNNNNNNNNNNNNNNNNNNNNNNNNNNNNNNNNNNNNNNNNNNNNNNNNNNNNNNNNNNNNNNNNNNNNNNNNNNNNNNNNNNNNNNNNNNNNNNNNNNNNNNNNNNNNNNNNNNNNNNNNNNNNNNNNNNNNNNNNNNNNNNNNNNNNNNNNNNNNNNNNNNNNNNNNNNNNNNNNNNNNNNNNNNNNNNNNNNNNNNNNNNNNNNNNNNNNNNNNNNNNNNNNUCCGGUUUUCUCCGAAAUCACCCGGAACAAUUUCGGUGUCCGAAUAUAGUCGUCCAAUAUAUCAAUCUUUAUGACUCGACCAUUUCGAGAUUCCUCGUCAUGUCCGUGAUGACAUCCGGGACUCCGAACAAACUUCGGUACAUCAAAACUUAUAAACUCAUAAUAAAACUGUCAUCGUAACGUUAAGCGUGCGGACCCUACGGGUUCGAGAACUAUGUAGACAUGACCUAGAACCAUUCUUGGUCAAUAACCAAUAGCGGGACCUAGAUGCCCAUAUUGGUUCCUACAUAUUCUACGAAGAUCUUUAUCGGUCAAACCGCAUAACAACAUACGUUGUUCCCUUUGUCAUCGAUAUGUUACUUGCCCGAGAUUUGAUCGUCGGUAUCCAAUACCUAGUGCAAUCUCGUUACUGGCAAGUCUCUUUACUCGUUCCGUAAUACAUCAUCUCAUAACUAACUUAUUAGUUACAAUGCUUGCAAGGCUUAGGUGAUGAGUAUUACCAAGAGGACCCAGAGAUACCUCUCCGACAAUCGGAGUGACAAAACCUAAUCCCGAAUUAUGCCAACUCAACAUGUACCUUCGGAAACACCUAUAGAGCACCUUUAUAAUCACCCAGUUACGUUGUGACGUUUGGUAGCACACAAAGUGUUCUUCCGGUAAACGGGAGUUGCACAAUCUCAUAGUUGCAGGAACUUGUAUAAGUCAUGAAGAAAGCAAUAGCAGUAUACUAAACGAUCAAGUGCUAGGCUAACGGAAUGGGUCAUGUCAAUCACAUCAUUCUCCUAAUGAUGUGAUCCCGUCAAUCAAAUGACAACUCUUUUGUCCAUGGUUAGGAAACAUAACCAUCUUUGAUAAACGAGCUAGUCAAGUAGAGGCAUACUAGUGACACUAUGUUUGUCUAUGUAUUCACACAUGUAUCAUGUUUCCGGUUAAUAUAAUUCUAGCAUGAAUAAUAAACAUUUAUCAUGAUAUGAGGAAAUAAAUAAUAACUUUAUUAUUGCCUCUAUGGCAUAUUUCCUUCAGUCUCCCACUUGCACUAGAGUCAAUAAUCUAGAUUACAUGGUAAUGAUUUUGACACCCAUGGAGUCUUGGUGCUGAUCAUGUUUUGCUCGUGAGAGAGGCUUAGUCAACGGGUCUGCAACAUUCAGAUCCGUAUGUAUCUUGCAAAUCUCUAUGUCUCCCACUUGGACUUGGUCCCGAAUGGAAUUGAAGCGUCUCUUGAUGUGUUUGGUCCUCUUGUGAAAUUUGGAUUCCUUUGCCAAGGCAAUUGCACCAGUAUUGUCACAGAAGAUGUUCAUUGGUCCCGAUGCACUAGGUAUGACACCUAGAUCGGAAAUGAGAUCCUUCAUCCAGACUCCUUCAUUUGCUGCUUCUGAAGCAGCUAUGUACUCCGCUUCACAUGUAGAUCCCGCCACGAUGCUUUGUUUAGAACUGCACCAACUUACAGCUCCACCGUUUAAUAAAAACACGUAUCUGGUUUGCGAUUUAGAAUCGUCCGGAUCAGUGUCAAAGCUUGCAUCGACGUAACCGUUUACGACUAGCUCUUUGUCACCUCCAUAUAUGAGAAACAUAUCCUUAGUCCUUUUCAGGUAUUUCAGGAUGUUCUUGACCGCUGUCCAGUGAUCCACUCCUGGAUUACUUUGGUACCUUCCUGCCAAGCUUAUUGCUAAGCAUACGUCAGGCCUGGUACACAGCAUUGCAUACAUGAUAGAGCCUAUGGCUGAAGCAUAGGGAACAUUUUUCAUUUUCUCUCUAUCUUCUGCUGUGGUCGGGCAUUGAGUUUGACUCAACUUCACACCUUGUAGCACAGGUAAGAAUCCUUUCUUUGCCUGAUCCAUUUUGAACUUUUUCAAAAAAAAUUCAAGGUAUGUGCUUUGUGAAAGUCCUAUUAAGCGUCUUGAUCUAUCUCUAUAGAUCUUGAUGAGUAAUAUGUAAGCAGCUUCACCGAGGUCUUUCAUUGAAAAACUUUUAUUCAAGUAUCCCUUUAUGCUAUGCAGAAAUUCUAUAUCAUUUCCAAUUAAUAAUAUGGCAUCUACAUAUAAAAUUAGAAAUGCUACAGAGCUCCCACUCACUUUCUUGUAAAUACAGGCUUCUCCAAAUGUCUGUAUAAAACCAUAUGCUUUGAUCACACUAUCAAAGCGUUUAUUCCAACUCCGAAAUGCUUGCACCAGUCCAUAAAUGGAACGCUGGAGCUUGCAUACUUUGUCAGCACCUUUUGGAUCAACAAAACCUUCCGGCUGCAUCAUAUACAACUCUUCUUCUAGAAAUCCAUUCAAGAAUGCAGUCUUGACAUCCAUAUGCCAAAUUUCAUAAUCAUGAAAUGCAGCAAUAGCUAACAUGAUUCGGACAGACUUAAGCAUCGCUACGGGUGAGAAAGUCUCAUCGUAGUCAACCCCUUGAACUUGUCGAAAACCUUUUGCAACAAGUCGAGCUUUAUAGACAGUUACAUUACCAUCAGCGUCAGUCUUCUUCUUAAAGAUCCAUUUAUUCUCAAUGGCUUGCCAAUCAUCGGGCAAGUCAACCAAAGUCCAUACUUUGUUUUCAUACAUGGAUCCCAUCUCAGAUUUCAUGGCUUCUAGCCAUUUUGCGGAAUCUGGGCUCAUCAUCGCUUCCUCAUAGUUCGUAGGUUCACCAUGGUCAAGUAACAUGACUUCCAGAAUAGGAUUACCAUACAACUCUAGUGCGGAUCUUACUCUGGUAGACCUACGAGGUUCAGUAGAAACUUGAACUCCUCACUAAUUGGUGUAGUUGUCACAGGAACCGGUUCUCGUGAUGAACUACUUUCCAAUAAGGGAGUAGAUACAGUUAUCUCAUCAAGUUCUACUUUCCUCCCACUCACUUCUUUCGAGAGAAACUCCUUCUCUAGAAAGGAUCCAUUCUUAGCAACGAAUGUCUUGCCUUCAGAUCUGUGAUAGAAGGUGUACCCAACAGUCUCUUUUGGGUAUCCUAUGAAAACACAUUUCUCCGAUUUGGGUUCGAGCUUAUCUGGUUGAAGUUUCUUCACAUAAGCAUCGCAGCCCCAAACUUUAAGAAACGACAACUUUGGUUUCUUGCCAAACCACAGUUCAUAAGGCGUCGUCUCAACGGAUUUUGAUGGUGCCCUAUUUAACGUGAAUGCGGCCGUCUCUAAAGCAUAACCCCAAAACGAUAGCAGUAAAUCAGUAAGAGACAUCAUAGAUCGCACCAUAUCAAGUAAAGUACGAUUAUGACGUUCGGACACACCAUUUCGUUGUGGUGUUCCGGGUGGCGUGAGUUGCGAAACUAUUCCACAUUGUUUCAAGUGUAGGCCAAACUCGUAACUCAAAUAUUCUCCUCCACGAUCAGAUCGUAGAAACUUUAUUUUCUUGUUACGAUGAUUUUCCACUUCACUCUGAAAUUCUUUGAACUUUUCAAAUGUUUCAGACUUGUGUUUCAUCAAGUAGAUAUACCCAUAUCUGCUCAAAUCAUCUGUGAAGGUGAGAAAAUAACGAUACCCGCCGCGAGCCUCAACAUUCAUUGGGCCACAAACAUCAGUAUGUAUGAUUUCCAACAAAUUAGUUGCUCGCUCCAUAGUUCCGGAGAAUGGCGUUUUAGUCAUCUUGCCCAUAAGGCACAGUUCGCAAGUACCAAGUGAUUCAUAAUCAAGUGAUUCCAAAAGUCCAUCAGUAUGGAGUUUCUUCAUGCGUUUUACACCGAUAUGACCCAAAAGGCAGUGCCACAAGUAAGUUGCACUAUCGUUAUCAACUCUGCAUCUUUUGGUUUCAACACUAUGAACAUGUGUAUCACUACUAUCGAGAUUUAAUAAAAAUAAACCACUCUUCAAGGGUGCAUGACCAUAAAAGAUAUUACUCAUAUAAAUAGAACAACCAUUAUUCUUUGAUUUAAAUGAAUAACCGUCUCGCAUCAAACAAGAUCCAGAUAUAAUGUUCAUGCUUAACGCUGGCACCAAAUAACAAUUAUUCAGGUCUAAAACUAAUCCCGAAGGUAGAUGUAGAGGUAGCGUGCCGACCGCGAUCACAUCGACUUUGGAACCGUUUCCCACGCGCAUCGUCACCUCGUCCUUGGCCAGUGCUCGCUUAUUCCGUAGUCCCUAUUUCGAGUUGCAAAUAUUAGCAACAGAACCAGUAUCAAAUUCCCAGGUGCUACUACGAGCUCUAGUUAGGUACACAUCAAUAACAUGUAUAUCACAUGUAGCUUUGUUUACUUUGCCAUCCUUCUUAUCCGCCAAAUACUUGGGGCAGUUCCGCUUCCAGUGACCAGUCUGCUUGCAGUAGAAGCACUCAGUUUCAGGCUUAGGUCCAGACUUGGGUUUCUUCUCUUGAGCAGCAACUUGCUUGCUGUUCUUCUUGAAGUUCCCCUUCUUCUUCCCUUUGCCCUUUUUCUUGAAACUAGUGGUCUUGUUGACCAUCAACACUUGAUGCUCCUUCUUGAUUUCUACCUCCGCAGCUUUUAGCAUUGCGAAGAGCUCGGGAAUAGUCUUGUUCAUCCCUUGCAUAUUAUAGUUCAUCACAAAGCUCUUGUAUCUUGGUGGCAGUGAUUGGAGAACUCUGUCAAUGACGCUAUCAUCCGGAAGAUUAACUCCCAGUUGAAUCAAGUGAUUAUUAUACCCAGACAUUUUGAGUAUAUGCUCACUGACAGAACUAUUCUCCUCCAUCUUGCAGCUGUAGAACUUAUUGGAGACUUCAUAUCUCUCAAUCCGGGCAUUUGCUUGAAAUAUUAACUUCAACUCCUGGAACAUCUCAUAUGCUCCAUGACGUUCAAAACGUCGUUGAAGGCCCGGUUCUAAGCCGUAAAGCAUGGCACACUGAACUAUAGAGUAGUCAUCAGCUUUGCUCUGCCAGACGUUCUUAACGUCGUCAGUUGCAUCAGCAGCAAGCCUGGCACCCAGCGGUGCUUCCAGGACGUAACUUUUCUGUGCAGCAAUGAGGAUAAUCCUCAGGUUACGGACCCAGUCCGUGUAAUUGCUACCAUCAUCUUUCAACUUUUCUUUCUCAAGGAACGCAUUAAAAUUCAACGGAACAACAGCACGAGCCAUCUAUCUACAAACAAACAUAGACAAGCAAAAUACUAUCAGGUACUAAGUUCAUGAUAAAUUUUAAGUUCAAUUAAUCAUAUUACUUAAGAACUCCCACUUAGACAGACAUCUCUCUAGUCAUCUAAGUGAUUACGUGAUCCAAAUCAACUAAACCAUAACCGAUCAUCAUGUGAGAUGGAGUAGUUUUCACUGGUGAACAUCACUAUGUUGAUCAUAUCUACUAUAUGAUUCAUGCUCGACCUUUCGGUCUCCGUGUUCCGAGGCCAUAUCUGCAUAUGCUAGGCUCGUCAAGUUUAACCUGAGUAUUCUGCGUGUGCAAAACUGGCUUGUACCCGUUGUAGAUGGACGUAGAGCUUAUCACACCCUAUCAUCACGUGGUGUCUGGGCACGACAAACUUUGGCAAUGGUGCAUACUCAGGGAGAACACUUCUUGAUAAUUUUUGUGAGAGAUCAUCUUAAAAUGCUACCGUCAAUCAAAGCAAGAUAAGAUGCAUAAAGGAUAAACAUCACAUGCAAUCAAUAUAAGUGAUAUGAUAUGGCCCUCAUCAUCUUGUGCUUGUGAUCUCCAUCUUUGAAGCACCAUCGUGAUCACCAUCGUCACCGGCGCGACACCUUGAUCUCCAUCGUAGCAUCGUUGUCGUUACGCCAUCUAUUGCUUCUACGACUAUCUAUACCGCUUAGUGAUAAAGUAAAGCAAUUACAGGGUGUUUGCAUUUCAUACAAUAAAGCGACAACCAUAUGGCUCCUGCCAGUUGCCGAUAACUUCGGUUACAAAACAUGAUCAUCUCAUACAAUAAAAUAUAUCAUCACGUCUUGACCAUAUCACAUCACAACAUGCCCUGAAAAACAAGUUAGACGUCCUCUACUUUGUUGUUGCAAGUUUUACGUGGCUGCUAUGGGCUUAGCAAGAACUGUUCUUACCUACGCAUCAAAACCACAACGAUAGUUCGUCAAGUUGGUGCUGUUUUAACCUUCGCAAGGACCGGGCGUAGCCACACUCGAUUCAGCUAAAGUGAGAGAGACAGACACCCGCCAGCCACCUUUAAGCACGAGUGCUCGUAACGGUGAAACCAGUCUCACGUAAGCGUACGCGUAAUGUCGGUCCGGGCCGCUUCAUCUCACAAUACCGCCGAACCAAAGUAUGAAAUGCUGGUAAGCAGUAUGACUUGUAUCGCCCACAACUCACUUGUGUUCUACUCGUGCAUAUAACAUCAACGCAUAAAACCUAGGCUCGGAUGCCACUGUUGGGAAACGUAGUAAUUUCAAAAUUUUCCUACGCACACGCAAGAUCAUGGUGAUGGCAUAGCAACGAGAGAGGAGAGUGUUCGUCCAUGUACCCUCGUAGACCGUAAGCGGAAGCGUUAGCACAACGCGGUUGAUGUAGUUGUACGUCUUCACGAUCCGACCGAUCCAAGCACCGAACGUACGGGGCCUCCGAGUUCAGCACACGUUCAGCUCGAUGACGAUCUCCGGCCUCCGAUCCAGUGAAGCUCCGGAGAUGAGUUCCGUCAGCACGACGGCGUGGUGACGAUGAUGAUGUUCUACCGGCACAGGGCUUCGCCUAAACUCCGCGACAAUAUGACCGAGGUGGAAUAUGGUGGAGGGGGGGCACCGCACACGGCUAAGGAACGAUCCGUAGAUCAACUUGUGUGUCUAUGGGGUGCCCCCCGCCCCUGUAUAUAAAGGAGCAAGGGGGAGAGGCCGGCCGGCCCCUUGGGCGCGCCAAGGGAGGAGGAAUCCUCCUCCUAGUAGGAGUAGGACUCCUCCUUUCCUACUCCUACUAGGAGGGGGAAGGAAGGAGGAGAGGGGGAAGGAAAGGGGGGGCGCCGCCCCCCUCGUAGUCCAAUUCGGACCAGAGGGGGGGAGGGGGCGUGCGGCCCAUGCUGGCCGCCCCUCUCUCCUUUCCCCUAAGGCCCAUAAGGCCCAAUACUCUCCCGGGGGGUUCCGGUAACCCCCGGCACUCCGGUUUUCUCCGAAAUCACCCGGAACAAUUCCGGUGUCCGAAUAUAGUCGUCCAAUAUAUCAAUCUUUAUGUCUCGACCAUUUCGAGAUUCCUCGUCAUGUCCGUGAUGACAUCCGGGACUCCGAACAAACUUCGGUACAUCAAAAGAUAUAAACUCAUAAUAAAACUGUCAUCGUAACGUUAAGCGUGCGGACCCUACAGGUUCGAGAACUAUGUAGACAUGACCUAGAACCAUUCUCGGUCAAUAACCAAUAGCGGGACCUGGAUGCCCAUAUUGGUUCCUACAUAUUCUACGAAGAUCUUUAUCGGUCAAACCGCAUAACAACAUACGUUGUUCCCUUUGUCAUGGGUACGUUACUUGCCCGAGAUUUGAUCGUCGGUAUCCAAUACCUAGUUCAAUCUCGUUACUGGCAAGUCUCUUUACUCGUUCCGUAAUAUAUCAUCUCAUAACUAACUUAUUAGUUACAAUGCUUGCAAGGCUUAGGUGAUGAGUAUUACCGAGAGGGCCCAGAGAUACCUCUCCGACAAUCGGAGUGACAAAACCUAAUCUCGAAUUAUGCCAACUCAACAUGUACCUUCGGAAACACCUGUAGAGCACCUUUAUAAUCACCCAGUUACGUUGUGACGUUUGGUAGCACACAAAGUGUUCUUCCGGUAAACGGGAGUUGCACAAUCUCAUAGUUGCAGGAACUUGUAUAAGUCAUGAAGAAAGCAAUAGCAGUAUACUAAACGAUCAAGUGCUAGGCUAACGGAAUGGGUCAUGUCAAUCACAUCAUUCUCCUAAUGAUGUGAUCCCGUCAAUCAAAUGACAACUCUUUUGUCCAUGGUUAGGAAACAUAACCAUCUUUGAUAAACGAGCUAGUCAAGUAGAGGCAUACUACUGACACUAUGUUUGUCUAUGUAUUCACACAUGUAUCAUGUUUCCGGUUAAUAUAAUUCUAGCAUGAAUAAUAAACAUUUAUCAUGAUAUGAGGAAAUAAAUAAUAACUUUAUUAUUGCCUCUAGGGCAUAUUUCCUUCAGUUACCGGAGUCCUGUUAGCCCAGUGUUACAGCCCGGAUGUAUACGUUGAUGACCGACAUGCUCGAUGUGACUCAUGUAUGCCUGUCCCCAUAGGUUAGCGCCGCUUUGGGUUCAUGACUAGCCAUGUCAGCCCGGGUUCUCUGUCAUAUGGAUGCUAGCGACACUAUCAUAUACGUGAGCCAAAAGGCGCAAACAGUCCCGGCCAUGGUAAGGCGACACCCGUGGGAUUACCGUGCGUGAGGCCGCAAAGUGAUAUGAGGUGUUACCGGCUAGAUCAAUGUGACUUGGAAUCAUGGUCCAGACAGCAUUGGCAUCAGAGCCGGACUGCCUGUAGGUUCCUAAGCCAAACUGGUCGAUGUCGAGUCUAGAAAUGCUUUAGUUAUAUGUAGGGGAAUUUAUUGUGGGAGGAAACGUAAGGCUCUUUUUACCCCUUUACCUUAUGCCCUCUGAUCUGUGUCAUCCUCUUCUCAUUCUACGUGGGUUAAGGACUAGGCUCUCUUCUCUCUAUCAGGUUCACGUGUUACUAAUCCGUAGUAACUUAUAGGAUUGUUGGUUACCAGUCUCAGUACAGUUCCUACUACUUUAGUAUGUUAUCAGUUGAACCUGAACCUUGAUAUGAUGUUGUUGAGUGGUUUUGCAAUCCGUUGUGAAUGUCUCAAAUCUGCUCCUGAGCAUUUACAGCUGUUAUGUUGUCCAAUUUUCCCUAGGAAUUCUAAUGUCUUUGCAUUGUGGUUGUGCUUUCAGAUGGCCACUCGCGCUCAGAACCAAGUGGUUCGCCUGACGCGGUGCCUCAAUGUGCCCGGUCAUACUGCUAUGUUAGUCCGGGUCAUGAUCGAGACAGGUUACCGUUGGUAUCCCGAAUACAUUGCCGAAGAGCAAUUCCAAGACUUUAAUCAAAGCCAAUACUUCUGCACUGUCAGGAUAUUUCCUUCAUAUCCUGGAUCCACCGAGCCCCUUCACUGCUCCUAUGGACUCGGGGUCACCAUUGAGAUGGCUGUACAGGAUGCGGCCUAUUCUAUGAUGACCAUCAUGCGAGUCAGGACUGGUCUGCUUCGGAACACCGACUUCCGUUAUAUGCCAGCAUCGCUCCCAGGAGCGCAAGGGUAUCUCCAGGCUAUCUAUGCUGAUUCCACCCAUGAGGACUCACUAACUCGCACCAUUGCGGAGAUGCUCGAGGAUAAGGACCGAGAGAAUCAGGCCUUGAGGUUGGAGCUUUUCAACACCUGCGCCGAUCAUUGGGCCACUUUGACUCGGUUUGCACCGGCUGUGCAAGCUGGAUGUAUGGAUAUGAGGGAUCUGUUUCCUGUGAGAUCUGCUCUGCCAGACAUGGUGGAUUGGCGUGAUGUGGGAGGCAUCAUCCCACCCCGUGGUCCCCGUAGGCCAUCGUUUGUUGGUCCAAGACCUCAUCCUAGCCCCUAUGGUCCACAGGCUCCUCAGGACCGUCUGUUCCCGGAUGAUCACGUUGAGCUUCCAAGCUAUGGAGGGGACUUCUAUGAGGACUACUACGGAGCUGUCUGAGUUAGUAGUAGUAUCUUUAGUAUUGUAAUAGUUGUAAUUCCAUCGUCCUGCGUGACCUGUGGAAUAUGACUUAGUGUGUAUCAGUUCCGGAGGUGUAGAAAAAUAAUGUAUCGGAGCUUGGAAUGCCUCCGAUGAGAUGUAACUUCUUCCACCGUAGUUGUACUAUAGUCGGGCUUGUACUAAACUAUGUAUGGUGUGUAUGACUGUUGGUGCAUAUAUGGCAGUUUCUGUAUUACCAUGUCAUACAGAUGAACAUCUCUGCAUUCCUUGUUAUCCAUUACAUUCUGCACUUCCUUGUCCAGAUUUGCCAUCCUUGUCUAAAGCGAUGUCUUGUUUUCCUAGGAUGGUCAACACCCGUAACAACCCUGCUACUCCGGAGCAGGGUGAAGCCAGUGCAGCUAGGAAUGAAAAUCUGCCUCAACCACCUUCUCUGGUCGAAGUUAUGCUGGAGGCAGAGCGAAAUAAGCGUGAGACCAAUCGCUUGCUGGAGCGGAUUGAGCAGAAUACCGCACGCCAGCCGAGGAACGACCUGGUGUCACUUAAUGACUUUGUCAAGCUGUAUCCACCGAAGUUUAAACAUUCCGUCGAGCCCCUUGAUGCGGAUGAAUGGCUUCGCAGCAUUACCCACAAGCUACGUUCUGUCAAUGUGGCCGAAGCUGAUAAGGUUAACUUUGCUACCUAUCACCUCGAAGGCCCUGCUAGCCUUUGGUGGGAAAACUUUGAGGCUAUGCGCCCGGUCGGCCAAAUUACUACUUGGGCUGAAUUCAGUAUGGAGCAUCACAUUCCGGAAGGUCUUAUGGAUCGCAAGCGUGAAGAGUUCUGCAACUUCACCCAGGGUAGACUGACUGUGGAUGCAUACAGUCGCGAGUUUGGAUAUCUAGCACGAUAUGCUCCUAAAGAGGUAUCCACCGACGCCAAGAAGCAGGCAAGGUUCCGCAAGGGACUUAGCCCCGAGCUUCGUCGUGAUCUUCGUCUGCACGAGUGCACCUCCUUCCAGAAGUUAGUCAACAAGGCCAUCAGUGCUGAGACAGGGCAGUCGGACUUUGAAGCUUCACGCAAGCACUCCCGUGACUUUGGACUUCAUCCGGCUGUGCAUCUCAGAAGCGCCGGGUCUGGAUUCCAAGCACUGCUCUGCCACCCAGGUUCACCCCGAGGCCAUCCUUUGACGCGCCUCGCCCCAACCAAUAGUAUACACCGCCCAAGGCCUAUGGUGGCCCCACUGCUAAUGCUACUCCAUGCCCCAAUGUGAUAACUUGUUUCAAGUGUGGGGAGACGGGUCACUACAUUCGUGAGUGUCCCCAAAACAACCCCAACCAGAUUGGAAAGUCUGUUGGCCGUGGCAAGCCAGCAGGAAAGGUGCUCUACGCCAAGCCAGCCACCACUGCCCGUGGCCAUGUCAACUAUGUCUCAGCAGAGGAGACUCAUGAGGAUCCCAACGUCGUUCUCGGUACGCUUCUUGUUAAUUGCCACCCGGCAACCAUUCUCUUUGAUACUGGAGCAUCUCAUUCAUUUAUAUCUGAAAGCUAUGCUCGAUUGCACAACACCACAUUUUGUGACAUGCCCACCUCCAUGGUAAUUCAAACCCCUGGUUCUAAGUGGCAAACCUCUAAAAUCAGCCAUGGAAAUGAAAUCCUUGUCGACAGAUUAGUCUUCCUUGCAUCACUAAUAGCUCUCAAGUCCUCGGACAUAAACAUCAUCUUGGGUAUGGACUGGAUGUCAGCCCAUUACGCUAAGAUCGAUUGCUCCACUAGAACUGUUCAACUCACCCACCCUUCGGGCAAGACAGCCAAUGUUUUGACCCGAGUGUCUAAGCGUCAGCUUUACUCUUUAAAUGCCAACCCCCUUCCAGACCUUGAAGAUAUUCCGGUAGUCCGUGACUUCCCGGAUGUCUUUCCAGAGGAACUGUCAGGUGUUCCACCUAACAGAGAUGUCAAGUUCGUGAUAGACCUUGUUCCAGGAACCAUGCCAACAUCUAGGAGACCUUAUAAGAUGGCACCCCUAGAACUAGCUGAGCUUAAGAAACAACUCGAUGAGUCCUUGCAAAAGGGUUUCAUCCAUCCUAGCUCUUCUCCAUGGGCUUGCCCCGUCCUUUUCGUCAAGAAGAAGGAUGGAACGGAUCGGAUGGUUGUAGAUUACCGGCCAGUCAACUUGGUCACUAUCAAGAACAAGUAUCCGCUCCCCAAGAUCAACGACCUGUAUGAUCAGCUCGCUGGAUCCUCAGUCUUUUCUAAAAUGGAUUUGAGGUUGGGCUACCAUCAAAUCAAAAUUAAGAACGGGGACAUUCCUAAAACGGCCUUUGUUACUCGAUAUGGCCAAUACGAGUACACCGUCAUGUCCUUCGGUCUAACCAAUGCCCCAGCCACCUUCUCUCGGUUAUUGAACUCGAUCUUCAUGGAGUAUUUUGAUAAAUUCGUCGUGGUUUACCUUGAUGAUAUACUCAUCUACUCCAAGAAUGAAGAAGAACAUGCCGAACAUCUAAGGCUAGUGUUGAUGAAACUUUGAGAGCAUUGUCUUUAUGCCAAAUUCUCUAGGUGUGAGUUUUGGUUGCCAGAAGUAACCUAUCUAGGACAUGUAAUCUCUGGUAAGGGCAUUGCUGUCAAUCCCAAGCGAGUUCAAGCCAUCCUUGACUGGACUCCACCUGAAACGGUCAAGCAAGUUCAGAGUUUUGUUGGUUUAGCGAGCUAUUGCCGCUGCUUCAUCGAGAAUUUCUCCAAGGUUGCUAAGCCUCUAACCGAACUCCUCAAGAAAGAUAAAAAGUUCGAAUGGACGCCAUAGUGCGAGUUCAGUUUUCAGGAACUGAAAAGACGCCUGACAUCUGCUCCUGUACUUGUUCCACCAGAUUUCUCUAAGGACUUCGUUAUCUACUGCGACGCCUCGCGACAAGGACUAGGUUGCAUACUCAUGCAAGAUCGUCAUGUGAUUGCCUACGCUUCUCGACAGCUGCGUCCACAUGAGGAUAACUAUCCCACACAUGAUCUACAGCUUGCAGCAGUGGUCCAUGCACUCAAAACCUGGCGACAUUACCUUCUCGGUAAUCGUUGCGAGAUUUACACCGAUCACCAAAGUCUGAAAUACAUCUUCACCAAACCGGAUUUGAAUCUCAGACAAAGACGUUGGGUCGAGUUGAUUACGGAUUACGAUCUAGGAAUAACCUACACCCCAGGAAAAGCCAAUGUCAUGGCUGAUGCAUUAAGCCGUAAAUCUUAUUGUAACAACCUGAUGUUACAACAAAGCCAACCAUUUCUCCACGAGGAAUUUCGUAAGCUUAACCUUCACAUCGUUCCUCGAGGUUUUCUUUCCACCCUGGUGGCGAAACCUACCCUUACGGAUCAGAUCAUCAAGGCACAGAAGGUAGAUCCGGGAAUAUCCCGUAUCAAGAGAAACAUCAAAAGGGAGUUGGACUGUUUCUCCAUAGAUGAUCAAGGUGUUGUGUUCUUUGGAGGCCAUCUAGUGGUUCCCAAGGUAUGCAACCUGAGGCGAUUGAUCCUUAAGGAAGCUCAUGAAUCCCCUCUCACUAUUCAUCCCAGUAGUACUAAAAUGUAUCAAGACCUACGCCAGAGGUUUUGGUGGACUAGGAUGAAGAGAGAAAUCGCUCAAUACAUUACCAAUUGCGACGUCUGUCGUCGAGUUAAAGAAGAGCAUCAACGACCUGCUGGCACCCUGCAACCUUUGGAAAUUCCCGAAUGGAAAUGGGAUAAAAUCGGUAUGGAUUUCAUUACCGGGUUUCCCAGGACCAAGAGGGGGAAUAAUGCUAUCUUCGUUGUUGUCGAUCGUCUUUCCAAAGUAGCCCACUUCCUACACGUUCGUGAGAGUUUAACCGCUAGCCAGCUAGCUGACUUAUACAUCUCCCGAAUAGUGUCUCUUCAUGGUGUUCCAUUGGAGACUAACUCAGACCGUGGAAGUCUCUUCACCUCUCGAUUUCGGGAAAGUUUCCAAAAUGCGAUGGGAACUCGUCUUUCUUUUAGCACCGCUUUCCAUCCUCAAUCAAGUGGUCAAGUAGAACGAGUCAAUCAAAUUCUAGAGGAUAUGCUUCGAGCUUCUGUCAUCUCUUUUGGUAUGAAUUGGGAGAAGUGCCUUCCAUUCGCUGAGUUCGCUUAUAACAAUAGUUAUCAAGCUAGCUUGGACAAAGCUCCUUUCAAAGUUCUCUAUGGAUGAAAAUGUCGAACACCUCUUAACUGGUCAGAAACCGGGUAAAGACAACUCUUUGGCCCGGAUAUGAUCCAGGAAGCAGAGGAGCAGGUUCACGUUAUUCGUGAGAAAUUGAAAACAGCCCAAUCUCAUCAAAAGAGCCAAUAUGACCGCAAACAUACACUAGUAGAAAAGGGGCCAAUGGUCCAGGCCGGUCCAGCCCAUUAGUCCCGGUUCAAUCCAGAACCGGGACCAAUGGGGGCAUUGGACCCGGUUCGUGAGCCCUGGGGGCCGGCCGGGCCACGUGGGCCAUUGGUCCCGGUUCGUCCUGACCUUUCGGUCCCGGUUGGUGGGACGAACCGGGACCAAUGGGCCUCGCUCCUGGCCCACCAACAUUGGUCCCGGUUGGUGGCUUGAACCGGGACCAAAGGCGUCCCUUUAGUCCCGGUUCAAGUCACCAACCGGGACCAAUUAGUUGCCUAUAUAUACCCCUCGCCUGCGAGCAGAGCACUCCCAGUGCUCUGUUUUUCGUGGCUGGCGAGGGGAGAGCUUUGUGGUGCUCUAGCUCACGUCCUAUGCACACAAGGUGUUCGAUGGAAUGCCCGAGCCACACUACUUAAGCUUUCUCCUCUCCAAGCUCGACCUCCAAGCUCCAUUUUCCUUCAUAUUUGUCUAGGUUUAGCGGUUCGUCACGUCCCGUCCCCAUCUUCACCACCGUUGAUCGCCCGCGCCGAUCUCGUCGCCGGCACCACCGUGGUGAGCCUCUUGUUCUUAUCUUCUUUCUGAAAGGAAAAAAAAUUCUUACUUGUAUGUUUAUAUAGAUACUUGUAUAAUUUUCUUACUUUUAUUAUUGCAUCUUAUAUAGUGCGAUGGUUUUGGUAUCCGCCCCCGUCGGCCCUCGUCCUGUCUAUGAUUCAGAUGUGGUAUAUAUAUAUUAUCUUUUCAUAACUAGUGGUUCAUUUAUUGUUUAUGACAAUUAUGCCGACCAACGUGACAUAGAUUUUAUUUAUCUAGGAGGUUGUUGAACCGGAAAUUCCAACCGACCCUAUUGUCGAGAGGUUAAAUUUAGUUGAAGAAAACAAUUUGUUGAAGGGAAAAAUUAGAAAAAUUGAGGAGGAGAAGAUGAUAUUGGAGUUGCAUGUUGCGGAUGUCAUCGAUGAUCACAAGAUCAAGAUGGAUGCAAUGCGCUUGAAGAUUAGAAAGAUUAGAAAAUAUGCCAUUCAUACCGAGGCUUGGUAUCAUUAUGUCGUUGGAUCAGUUGUUACAUUGGUUGCGAUUAUGAUCGUAUUUGUUUUCGCAUUGAAAUGUUUUACAUAGUUUCAGUGUAUGGUUUAAUUAAUUUAGAUGCCCUGCAGAGCUUUAUGUUGUUAGAUGAGAACUAUGUAUGUACUUUGGUUUUAAUGUGAUGAUGAACUUCUAUUAAUUUCGUCACUUAAUUAUCUAUUCAUGAUGUUCUGUAAUGAUUUUUGACACACUUAAUUAUAUAUAAUGCACGCAGAUGAACCGGCAAUGGAUGUACGGUUCAAGACACACCUCCGAGUACAUUAAGGGCGUGCAUGAUUUUCUCGAAGUGCCUGAGGCAACAAGAAGAAUGGUUUUAUGUGUUGUCCAUGCCCUAUAUGUGGGAAUACGAAGUCUUACUCUGACUGGAAAAUCCUCCACACCCACCUUCUUUACAAGGGUUUCAUGCCACACUAUAAUGUUUGGACGAGGCACGGAGAAAUAGGGGUUAUGAUGGAAGACGGCGAAGAAGAAGAGUACGAUGACAACUAUGUGCCCCCUGAAUACGGUGAUGCUACUGAAGAUCAAGAGGAACCAGACGAUGUGCCCGAUGAUGAUGAUCUCCGCCGGGUCAUUGUCGAUGCAAGGACGCAAUGCGAAAGUCAAAAGGAGAAGCUGAAGUUCGAUCGCAUGUUAGAGGACCACAAAAAAGGGUUGUACCCCAAUUGUGAAGAUGGCAACACAAAGCUCGGUACCGUACUGGAAUUGCUGCAGUGGAAGGCAGAGAAUGUUGUGCCUGACAAAGGAUUUGAGAAGCUACUGAAAAUAUUGAAGAAGAAGCUUCCAAAGGAUAACGAAUUGCCCGACAGUACAUACACAGCAAAGAAGUUCGUAUGCCCUCUAGGAUUGGAGGUGCAGAAGAUACAUGCAUGCCCUAAUGACUGCAUCCUCUACCGCGGUGCGUACAAGGAUCUGAACGCAUGCCCGGUAUGCGGUGCAUUACGGUAUAAGAUCAGACGAGAUGACCCUGGUGAUGUUGACGGCGAGCCCCCCAGGAAGAGGGUUCCUGCGAAGGUGAUGUGGUAUGCUCCCAUAAUACCACGGUUGAAACGUCUGUUCAGAAACGGAGAGCAUGCCAAGUUGAUGCGAUGGCACAGUGAGGACCGUAAGAAAGACGGGAAGUUGAGAGCACCCGCUGACGGGUCGCAGUGGAGAAAAAUCGAGGGAAAGUACUGGGAUGAGUUUGCAAGUGAGCCAAGGAACGUAUGGUUUGCUUUAAGCGCGGAUGGCAUUAAUCCUUUCGGGGAGCAGAGCAGCAAUCACAGCACCUGGCCCGUGACUCUAUGUAUGUAUAACCUUCCUCCUUUGAUGUGCAUGAAGCAGAAGUUCAUUAUGAUGCCAGUUCUCAUCCAAGGCCCUAAGCAACCCGGCGACGACAUUGAUGUGUACCUAAGGCCAUUAGUUGAAGAACUUUUAUAGCUGUGGAAUGGAAAUAGUGUACGUACGUGGGAUGAGCACAAACAGGAGGAAUUUAACCUAAAGGCGUUGCUGUUCGUGACCAUCAACAAUUGGCCCGCUCUCAGUAACCUUUCAGGACAGACAAACAAGGGAUACCACGCAUGCACGCACUGUUUACUUGACACCGAUAGUAUAUACCUAGCAAGUUGUAGGAAGAAUGUGUACCUGGGCCAUCAUCGAUUUCUUUCGACCAACCAUCAAUGUUGAAAGAAAGGCAAGCAUUUCAAAGGCGAGGCAGAUCACCGGAAGAAGCCCUCCAUGCGUACUGGUAUCACGUACUUGCUAUGGUAGUGAUUUACACGUAAUCUUUGGAAAGUGUCCCGGCGGACUAGCUGUUCCGAAUGACGCUGAGAAUCACGCACCCAUGUGGAAGAAGAAAUCUAUAUUUUGGGACCUACCCUACUAGAAAGACCUAGAGGUCCGCUCUUCGAUCGACGUGAUGCACGUGACGAAGAACCUUUGCGUGAACCUGCUAGGCUUCUUGGGCAUGUAUGGGAAGACAAAAGAUACAACUGAGGCACGGGAGGACCUGCAACGCUUGCACGAAAAAGUGGGCAUGCCUCCGAAGCAGUAUGAAGGUCCUGCCAGCUACGCUCUUACGAAAGAAGAGAAAUAAAUCUUCUUUGAAUGCCUGCUCAGUAUGAAGGUCCCGACUGGCUUCUCUUCGAAUAUAAAGGGAAUAAUAAAUAUGCCAGACAAAAAGUUCUAGAACCUAAAGUCUCAUGACUGCCACGUGAUUAUGACGCAACUGCUUCCGGUUGCAUUGAGGGGGCUUCUACCGGAAAACGUCCGAUUAGCCAUUGUGAACCUAUGUGCAUUCCUCAAUGCAAUCUCUCAGAAGGUGAUCGAUCCAGAAAUCAUACCAAGGCUAAGGACUGAUGUGGUGCAAUGUCUUGUCAGUUUCGAGCUGGUGUUCCCACCAUCCUUCUUCAAUAUCAUGACGCACGUCCUAGUUCAUCUAGUUGACGAGAUUGUCAUUCUGGGCCCCGUAUUUCUACACAAUAUGUACUUCUUUGAGAGGUUCAUGGGAGUCCUAAAGAAAUAUGUCUGUAACCGCGCUAGGCCAAAAGGAAGCAUCUCCAUGGGCUAUCAAACAGAGGAUGUCAUCGGGUUUUGUGUUGACUUCAUUCCUGGCCUUAAGAAUAUAGGUCUCCCUAAAUCGCGGUAUGAGGGGAGACUGACUGGAAAAGGCACGCUUGGAAGGGACUCAAUUAUAUGCAGGGACGGAUAUUCUUGGUCUCAAGCACACUACACAGUUCUACAGAACUCUACCUUGGUGACCCCGUAUGUCGAUGAACACAAGAACAGUCUGCGCUCCAAACACCCGGAGCAGUGCGACGACUAGAUUACAUGUGAACACAUCAGGACUUUCAGUAGUUGGUUGGAAGCACAUAUCAGAGGUGACAACACUGUUUGUGAUGAGUUGUACUUGUUGUCCAGGGGACCAUCUUUGACUGUAUUGAUUUGGAAAGGAUACGAGAUAAAUGGGAAUACAUUUUACACGAUUGACCAAGAUCAAAAGAGCACCAACCAAAACAGCGGUGUCCGCUUUGAUGAAACAACCGAGAGGGGAAAGGACACAUAUUGUGGUUACAUAGUGGACAUAUGGGAACUUGACUACGGACACGAUUUUAAGGUCCCUUUGUUUAAGUGCAAAUGGGUCAAUCUGUCAGGUGGCAGGGUACAGGUAGACCCACAGUACGGAAUGACAAUAGUGGAUCUGGAAAAUCUUGGAUACACUGACGAACUGUUCGUCCUAGCCAAUGAUGUGGCACAGGUUAUCUAUGUGAAGGACAUGUCUACCAGACCAAGAAAGAGAAAAGAUAAGGAAGCGAAUACAUCAUACGAUGAGCCAAAGUGCCACAUAGUUCUUUCAGGAAAAAGGGACAUCGUGGGAGUGGAGGACAAGACAGACAUGUCUGAAGAUUAUGAAAAGUUUCAUGAAAUUCCUCCCUUUAAUGUCAAGGCUGACCCCAGCAUCCUGAUAGACGAUGAAGAUUAUCCAUGGUUACGGCGCAAUAAGCAAAUGACACAAGCGAAGAAAAAGUGAAGACUUUCUCCCGCAACUAUUAUGAUGAUACCAUGCCAAAUUUGUAACUGACGAGUAUGAUACCAUUGUCCGUUUUGUACAUGCACAUGCUAUGUGGGUCAAUUUAUGAUACCAUGCCAACUUUCAACUUUUUCAGAGUUCAUUUGAAAUGCUUUAAUGUCUUAUGGUUCGGCCCUCGUAAUGAUUAAAAAUAGCAACAAUAAGUAUUUUGUUGUAAGUAGAAACAAAAUAAAAUAAAUAAAGCAAGAAAGAAAACAAAAAAAACAAAAAAAGUGUUUUCAAAUUUGAAAACUAAUGGUACUAACAGAAAGUUUAUAAUUUUCCUAAAACUAAAAGCAAAAAGAAUUGAAAAAUAAAGCAAAAAACAAAAGACAAUAAAUAAUGCAGAAAUCAAAACAAAAAACAACAAUAAGUAUUUUGUUGUAUGUAGAAACAAAACAAAAUAAAUAAAGCAAGAAAGAAAACAAAAAAACAAAAAAAGUGUUUUCAAAUUUGAAAACUAGGGCACUAACAGAAAGUUUAUAAUUUUCCUAAAACUAAAAGCAAAAAGAAUUAAAAAAUAAAGCAAAAAACAAAAGAAAAUAAAUAAUGCGGAAAACAAAACAAAAAAACUGGAAAAAAAAUAAAAUAGCAAAAAUAAGUAAAGAAAACAAAAAAAUGCCUCCUACUGGGCCCCCACGGCCUGAAUACGACUAGAAACCCUACUAUGGGCCAGGAUUCAGGCCCGCAGUAGGCCCAGAAGGCCCAUCAGGCAAAGCAAUAGCAAGUAGGCCCGAAAGCCUGCGGUGGAGAGGAGCUCGAGAGGGGUGCGGCAGUGGGGCUUAUAAACCACUGCACGCCCCUCUCAACUAGCGAGGUGGGACUAAACUUUGGCCCCGACGCGGGAAGCACAGGGGCCUUUGGUCCCGGUUGGUGGCACCAACCGGGACUAAAGGGGGGGGCAUUGGUACCGGUUCGUGGCACCAACCGGUACCAAAGGCCGCCGCUUCCCGCCCUUUGGGCUGCCGAAAAGGAGGCCUUUGGUCCUAGUUGGUGGCACUAACCGGGACUAAAGGGUGCAUUAGUCCCGGUUGAUUUCACGAACCGGGACCAAUGCCUUUGCUAUAUAAGCAAACACUUUGCAAAAUUUCAGAAUCCCAUCGCCAGUUGCCCCCGACGACGCCGACCCUCCUCGACGCUGCCAGGCUGCUCCACCUCGCCGUCGUCGCCGCCACCGCCAAGCCGUCGCCUCCCCGAGCCCGCGCCAUCCUCGUCGCCGGCCUCCCUGAGCCCGCGCCGUCCUCGUCGCCGGUCUCCUCGAGCCCGCUCCCCGUCCCGCCCCCGCGCGCCGCCGCCCCGAGCCCCUGCCCCGUCCUGCCCCCAUGCGCNNNNNNNNNNNNNNNNNNNNNNNNNNNNNNNNNNNNNNNNNNNNNNNNNNNNNNNNNNNNNNNNNNNNNNNNNNNNNNNNNNNNNNNNNNNNNNNNNNNNNNNNNNNNNNNNNNNNNNNNNNNNNNNNNNNNNNNNNNNNNNNNNNNNNNNNNNNNNNNNNNNNNNNNNNNNNNNNNNNNNNNNNNNNNNNNNNNNNNNNNNNNNNNNNNNNNNNNNNNNNNNNNNNNNNNNNNNNNNNNNNNNNNNNNNNNNNNNNNNNNNNNNNNNNNNNNNNNNNNNNNNNNNNNNNNNNNNNNNNNNNNNNNNNNNNNNNNNNNNNNNNNNNNNNNNNNNNNNNNNNNNNNNNNNNNNNNNNNNNNNNNNNNNNNNNNNNNNNNNNNNNNNNNNNNNNNNNNNNNNNNNNNNNNNNNNNNNNNNNNNNNNNNNNNNNNNNNNNNNNNNNNNNNNNNNNNNNNNNNNNNNNNNNNNNNNNNNNNNNNNNNNNNNNNNNNNNNNNNNNNNNNNNNNNNNNNNNNNNNNNNNNNNNNNNNNNNNNNNNNNNNNNNNNNNNNNNNNNNNNNNNNNNNNNNNNNNNNNNNNNNNNNNNNNNNNNNNNNNNNNNNNNNNNNNNNNNNNNNNNNNNNNNNNNNNNNNNNNNNNNNNNNNNNNNNNNNNNNNNNNNNNNNNNNNNNNNNNNNNNNNNNNNNNNNNNNNNNNNNNNNNNNNNNNNCGCUGCAUUGGCUCUGUUUUUUUUUCAUUUUUAUUAGUUUAAUUAUUUUUUUGUUCAUAUAUAUAUAUAUAUAUAUAAUGUAUAUGUGUAUGUAUGUGGCUAUAUAUGUGUAUGUAGAUGUUCAAAAAUUAUUCAGAGCACGUUUUUAUUCAUAUAUGUAUUUUUUGUUCAUAUGUGUAUUAAUGUUUUCAUAUAUGCAAAAGAUAGAUUUUUAGAAAAGUUAGGGUUUUUUUUUCUAUUCAUAGAUUUUUUUGGUGAUAUUAAUUAUUGUAGAAUAUGCAAAUGUUUGUAUAUUCAUAUGAACAAUGCAUUAGGCAAAACCUUUGUUUUUUUUGAAAUUUUUUAUUUGAACAUUUUUUAAAAACAAGCAAUACUAAAAGAAUGAGAGGAAAAAGGAAAAUAAGAAGAGGAAGAAAGGAGAAGAAGAGGAGAGGAAGAAGAGGAGAAAUAAAUAAGAAGAGGAAAAAAGAAGAGGGGAAGAAGAAAGGAAUAGAGGAGAAGAAGAAAAAUAGAAAUUUUCUAUUUUUCUUCUUCUCCUCUAUUCCUUUCUUCUUCUCCUCUUUAUUUUCUUCUUUUUUUUCUUCUUCCUUCUUCCUCUUUUCUUCCUUUUCCUUAUUUUCCUUUCUCGAGGGAGAAGAAGAAAAAGAAGAGUAAAAGAAGAAGAAAGGAAUAGAGGAGAAAGAAGAAACUUCAACACAAGGGGGGGUUACCGAUACCCCCUCCCCGAUAACAUUAUUUUCCCAUGUAUAUGUAUGUCGCGUCAUUGUCGAUAUAACCCCCUCGAGAUAACUUCGACAUGAGGGGCGGUCGAUAUAUAUACCCCCUCUCGACCGUGAUAACUUAUACAACGGCAGCACCCCCCUCGGCCCUCUCGCUCGACCAAAACUCUUGAGGACACCCAAACCCUAGAGAGAAAACGAUGUUGGUCUCCUACCCCCUCCCGCCGCGCCCCUACCCGACAUAUUAACUCUCUCGAGGCCACCCAAAUUUACCAAGUUAAAAGAGCGUUGUCGUCGAGGCCACCCCAAACCCUUGAAGCGUUGUGUCGAGGAGACCCCAAACCCUAGAGAAGCAGCGUCGAGGCCACUAACAUGGAUCGAUCCAUCUGUAAUAAUAAUUGACAUGGUGUAAAUAUUUGCAGAAACUAUGGAGCACUCCCGAGACGAAGAAACAGAAGCGAUGUUGGGGGACAUUAUCGCACAAGGAAGUGAUGAAGUUGCGUCAUUUCUCAACGACACCGAUGGUCAGGAACGACUGGGUGAAGAAGAGGGCUAUGUUCAUGAUGGCUUCGACCCAUUAAUGCCGGUACAAGAAGAGGACUAUGUUCAUGAUGGCUCUGGUGACACAAUGGAGGUACAAGAAGGAGACCGUGCUGACUGCUCCGGUGACCGAACCGAGUCCGGCCAGGUAUAUAUAUAUAUAUUAGUUAAGCCCGUGCUGACUAGUUAAUUGAUGCAUCCAUUGUUUUGGUAUAUGUACACAUAUUAAUUACUCUCGUCUUUCUUCCUUAUAAUUUCUAGCCCUCCGGAUCGAGCACAACUUCGGUAAGAAGACGAAGCCCGAAGAAAAAGUUGAGCUCGGAUGAAAAGUUUGAGAUCAUAGAAAUCGCGCCCGACGGCGAACCGAUUGAACCCAUCCGGACAAGGAAGGCAUUUUCUGCUCAGUGCGGGGUUCUUGUUAGGGACAAGAUCCCGAUCAGCAUCCAUCAAUGGUAUAAGCCUAAGGAGGAAGACCCCGAGGUGUCUUAUGUCAAUGAUAUGCAGAAAGAAGAUCUUUGGACUGAGCUAAAGGCAAAUUUCACCCUACCGCUAGAGGAGGAUCCGGAGAAGCCAGUUAUAGAGCAAUUAAUCAAUUCUUGUGCUCUUAAGAAGAUGGCAACCCUAAUGAGGAGGUGGAGGAAAGAGGUGAACCAGUUUGUCGAGAAAGAUAAGACACCAGAAUUCAUCGGCAAAUAUGAGAAGAUCAAAGAUCACUGGCCCGCAUUUGUGGCCCACAAGACAUCGGAAAAGAGUAAGAAGAUGUCGGCAACAAACAAGAAAAAUUCUGCAAAGAAGAAGCUUCACCAUCGCACGGGGUCAGGUGGCUACCUCAAAGCCCGGCCUAAGUGGUCCAAGGCUGAGCAUGAUCUGCUUGAAAAAGGGAUCGAACCAGAGACAAUGUACUGGCCAGACCGUUGUCGGACUUGGUUCUUCGGGGCUGGCGGAACCUUGGACCCUGUAACAGGGAAGUGCCAGUGGACGGAUGAGCAACUACAAAUACCAGUCAAGAAACUUCGACACUAUAUCGAUGCAGCGUAGCGAGGGACGCUCCUUCCAAACAGGGAGAAGGACGAGCUCACAAUGGCCCUUGGGAAUCCUGAGCACCCUGGAUGGACACGAGGCACGCCAGGCUCCAUUCCAUGGAAGGUUGGUCUUCCGCACACAGGGGGUUACAAAACCCACGAGAGGAGGAAGAAACUGGAGCAGGACCAAAUGCAGGCGCUGCACGAAAGGGUAAUGGGGCUAGAGGAACGAGAAGCAGCAGAUCGCAGCAAACGACAUGCCGAAGCUUCCCCCGAAGCUACCUCGCCAUCUCAGCGGAGAAGCAGCGUGGCUUCCACCGAGCUGCUUCAGCCGGAGCAUGUCUUGACGUCUCCUGCCAGCUAUCCCGUGGAUGGUAUCACGGAGUCUCAAAGUUGCCACAUUAUGACGCAAUGUAUGAAUUUGAAGGUCAAGGCGGCUGUUGGCCAAGUUUAUCCUAGUGGACCCGGCACAACUUAUCACUGCCAGCCGAUUCCAGAAGGAUUUGCUAAGGUGAUGGUGGAUGAAAUAACGGAGGGAUUUGAGGACCUCCUGCUUGAGCACCCUACCGGUGAAGGGGAGACUAGGCUGGGUUCUGCUCUGAAGACUCCAUGCCUAUGGCGGAAGGAGCUCAUCAACCUUCCGAACUGGACGCCUCCGCCUCCUCCUCCUCCUCCGGCGAGUCAGGGCACUCCGCCUCCUCCACCGCCUCCUCCUCCGGCGAGUGAUGAUCAGGGCACACGUGGCAGCACUCCGCCUCCUUCUCCGCCUGCGCCGGCGCGCCCGAGCAGCCAGCCUCCUCCUUCUCCGCCUCGUCAGCAAGGGCGAAAGAGACCCGCCGCUGCUCCGGCUGCUCCGGCGCGUCGUAAUCCUUCUCCUCCGCCUCACAAAAAGCAAGCAAAGAAGACAUCCACUCCGUCUGCUCUGUCGGUGUCUAGCAGUACAGCCAAAGGCGGGAAGAAAUACAGAUUUGGUCCUUCUCCGAAGACUCCAGAGAAGUUACCGUACGAGAGGACCGAGGAGGAAAACGCGGAGAUCACGCAGAACGAACUGGAUGGCUGGUUUGCAGGGUUGAAAGCAAAGAGACAUCCACCUCCGGAGGAGAAGGUAGAUCCGGUGAAAGUGAAGCGCACUCUGGCUGCCCUGAGGAAACCGGCAAAGUCUCCGCCGAGAACCAACUAUGAGCGCAUUACUGAACAGACAUAUCUCCAAGCGGAGCAGUCGGGAAGUACUGUCAGACAUCAAAGAGCAAAAGAACGAGCAGCUGCGAAAAAAGUUGACCAGCUCGGCGAACAACCAAACCAAUCGUGCCCCCCGCUCAAUGUGUCUAGCGGCAACAUCGUCGCUAAUGUUCCGGGGAUCAUGGACGGUUAUGGCAAUCCACAAUAUUACCUGCCUGACGAUGCACUUCCUGAAUUCAUGAUGGUGGAAGAACGCAGAUACGAGUACGGGAAGCCUCUCAUCAAAGAUGUAAAAUCUCUAACAACGAUGAUGCGAAGAUUCCAUACUUGGUACAUGAAAACCUGCAGAGAGUCUGGGGGGACGAAUAGUUUGUAUCUACACAUUAAAGAGGAGCACGACCUCGUUGGAACUGAUCUGUUGUGUGUUCCAUUUGAGGAGUUCUUCGCGUUCUUCAAUCAAAUAGCCCUCGAUAAAUUAACGGUCUUUUGCUACUGCCUGUAAGUACUAUUUCUGUCAUUAAGUCUCUAUAUAUAGCUUGGCUUUCAUUACAUGUAUUUAUAAUUAAUUAUCCUCAAUAUAUUAUGCAGAUUGAAGAUCGUCGAGUGCAAAAAAAUGAAAUCUAUGAUAUUGGGUUCAUUAACACAAAUAUCAUAGAUGUAUUUCUGGUUGAAAAGCACAUCGAAGAGGCCGAGGACAACUUGCUACGAUCAUUGAUCAAAAAUCAAAACAAAGAUACCAUACUCUUUCCUUACAACACCAAGUGAGUGUUACUGAUCAUUUGCAUAUUCGGUUUCCCUUAUUACUCGAGCGAGGUUAUAGUAAUGUAAUUGAUGAGUUAUGCAUGUGUGCGCAGGUACCACUAUAUUCUUCUGGAGAUUAAGCUUGAGCGUGGACUAGUAACCGUCUUAGACUCGAGACGGAAAGAUCCCAGCACCUAUGCGGACAUGACUGAAAUGCUCAGCAAGUAAGUUCAAUCGAUCAUUAUCGCACCAUAGCGGCAACUUUUUGUUCAUUUCCUGAUAUCUCAAGUAAUAAUAAUUAUUUUCUUUGUCUUGCAGGGUUUGGAAACAGUUCACCACAGUAGCUCGGGGACUGCCGAAGGAGCUGCGAUAUAUAUACCCGAAAGUAAGUACUACUGGCUAGCUAGUUGUGUGCAUCUCCUGUUGAUUCUAUAGCUAUACUUUCAUCACAUUUAUAAUGCUUCAUUAUCAGUUUGAUAGACCUCUAUUUCUCGUAAAGUGCUUGUGGUAGGAACAAGGGAAUGAUUUCUAUAGAUACUACGUGUGCGAGUUCAUCUACAACGCGACUUUGAAAAAUAAGCGGGGCUACUCUCAAAGACAAUAUGAAGUGCGUAAGCAAUUAAUAAUAUUCACAAUUUCUGUUGAGUUUCAUUCAUAUAUAUAUAUAUAUAUAUAUAUAUAUAUAUAUAUGUAUUAAUUAACCCCCUUCUUCAAAUUAGACGUGGCAGAUGCGGAAUGAACUCCUAGAACCAGAUCGCAUGAAAGGAAUUCAAGAGGAAUUGGCGGGAUUCUUUCUUGACCACGUCAUCAAUAAAGCCGGAGAAUACCAUGUGGAACUUGAUUUCAAAUGCUAGGGGACUGUAAUUGAGAGAUCUUAUAUAUUGUACAUGUUGUAUGUAGCCAGUAGCGUCGGACAUACAUGAUACAAAAACUUGUUGUUUGACCAAUCUCUCGGAGAAGGAGACGUCGAUCGAUCACUUCUCUCGGUAUGCAUGACGAACUUCUGUACUUAAUGGUUUCCUUCAUUUUCUUACUAGCUAGCGUGUCGAGAGCCUCUCUAUGUAUAGUACGUAGCGUCGACCAAGCACGGACAUAAGAGAGGACACUUCUCUCUAUUAAUUAGCUAGCUAACACAAUAUAUGAAACACCUAAAUUAACCCCCAAAACCNNNNNNNNNNNNNNNNNNNNNNNNNNNNNNNNNNNNNNNNNNNNNNNNNNNNNNNNNNNNNNNNNNNNNNNNNNNNNNNNNNNNNNNNNNNNNNNNNNNNNNNNNNNNNNNNNNNNNNNNNNNNNNNNNNNNNNNNNNNNNNNNNNNNNNNNNNNNNNNNNNNNNNNNNNNNNNNNNNNNNNNNNNNNNNNNNNNNNNNNNNNNNNNNNNNNNNNNNNNNNNNNNNNNNNNNNNNNNNNNNNNNNNNNNNNNNNNNNNNNNNNNNNNNNNNNNNNNNNNNNNNNNNNNNNNNNNNNNNNNNNNNNNNNNNNNNNNNNNNNNNNNNNNNNNNNNNNNNNNNNNNNNNNNNNNNNNNNNNNNNNNNNNNNNNNNNNNNNNNNNNNNNNNNNNNNNNNNNNNNNNNNCCCCCUGCCUGGGCUCGGCGCGUGGAUGCCUUUUGGUCCCGGUUGGUGCCACCAACCGGGACCAAAGGCCCCCCUGCCUGGGCUCGGCGCACAGGCCACGUGGAGGACCAUCUAUCCCGGUUCGUGUUACAACCGGGACUAAAGGGGGGAGGUAUUAGUAACGACCCAUUAGUCCCGGUUCAUGAACCGGGAGUAAAGGCCCUCACGAACCGGGACUAAUAGGUGUUUGUCUACUAGUGAUAAGCCUAUGACUUAUGAAGUUGGUGAGAAGGCUUACCUUCGGGUUACACCUUUAAAGGGAACCCAUCGAUUCGGUAUCAAGGGCAAGUUGGCCCCUUGUUACAUUGGACCCUUUUGCAUUCUUGCCAAACGAGGGGAAGUUGCCUACCAGUUGGAACUACCUCCACAUCUUUCUAGAGUUCAUGAUGUCUUCCACGUCUCUCAACUCAGGCAUUGCUUCUCGAAUCAUAUCCGCGAAGUAGACCAUGAAACGCGUGAUCUCCAAGAAAAUCUCACUUAUCGAGAAUAUCCAAUUCGCAUCCUUGAUCAAGCCGAGCGUACCACUCGACGCCAGAAUAUCAAGUUUCUCAAGGUUCAAUGGUCACACCACUCCGAUCAAGAAGCAACUUGGGAAAGGGAGGAUCAUCUACGACUUGAGUAUCCCACCUUCUUCCCGAUAGACCCUAAAUCUCGGGAUGAGAUUCUUUUGAGUGGGGGUGAGUUGUCACAACCUAGCUAGUCCAUGCAUUAGAGUGUUGCAUCAUGUCUACCUUUUAUCAGAAACUUGAAUUGGGGAAGACAGAACCCCCCCAGAACCCCUCUAAAUUCAACUAGUGCUUACUAAAAAUAUUUUCAAUGAACCUGAAAUGCCCUUCUAAAAAGUUCACCCUCUUUGUCUUGGGUUAGAACCUCUGGCAAAAUUGGUGCACAAUUUUCUAGGUCAACAGAAGGCCAUUGAAUUAAAUCAUAUCUACUUUGAGUUUGGGCAUUUAAACUAUAUAAAAUAUUUCAAAUGCUCAAAUAACUCCAAACUAAAAUGUUCCAUACUGGAUAUAUUCCAACUAGCGACCAUGUGCAGUUUGGUGAUUUUUGGAGUUGCCUAAGUAUUUUUAGAAAUGCAACAAACUUACAGAAACAAUUAAAAACAGAAACAAAUGGGGAAAAAACCCUUACCUGGCCGAACCAAGCCCCAGCCCAGCUGGCCGGCCCAGCACUGUGCUGGCCCAUGCCAGCCAGCUGCUUUGCCAUCGCCACGCAGGCACAGAGCUGACGCCAGCGAGUGUGAGCUCGCCACGGCGCCAACUGCUUGCCGCCCGCGCCACCGAGCACCUGGGUGAGCUCCACGUCGCCACCCCGACCCCGUGGACACCUCAUUCGCCCCCCUGCCUCUUCCCUCGCUCUCCCGCACCAUGGCCGACGCACCCGUCGCCGCACCGCCGACGUAGUCGCGCCCUCCAUCGUCCCCGUGCUGCACCACCGUGUCCCUUCGCUCCGUCGUCAUCAACUACAUCGAGCAGGCCGAGCCCCGAGCGCUCGUGGGCCUUGCUUCGUCUUCUUUGACCUCAUCUUCACCGAGCACCACCGCAGAUCCCCUUCGCCGUCGCCGCUGCACCAGCUCGUCCCCGACCUCGCCGACCACUCCGUUGUGACCGCCGUGAGCUCAGCCACCUCCCCAUCCUCCCCGUUUGCCUUCUCGUGCACCGUAGCAGCCGCAUGGAGCUUCAUCGCACGCACCACCGCCGAGCUCGUCGCCGACGUGCCUCCGGCCAUCCACCGUCCACACCACGGUAUCUAACAUGCUCAUUGCAUCGCGUAGAGUCUAACGCCCCACUCCACGCGCCUCGCCGUGCCCCGUAGCCACGGGUCAAUUUUCACCCGACUCCGGCGACCGUCGCGGUCGUCGCUGCCGACGUUCCUGGCCACCUCGACCUCAACCACCACCACCAAACGCCGCGGCUUGUUCCUGGCUACACGUAGAUGGUCUUCGCCGUCCAUUUGGUCGCCGGAACGUGCUAACCCACUUCCUCUGCCGCAUCUGGCCUCGCCAGCGGCUAGACGCCGGCGUGUUUGACCCGUUGACGUUGACUGGGUGGGCCAGGUUGACUCCCCUGAGUCUAUGACAAGUGGGCCCCCCCCUCUGCUAAUUAACCUAGUUUAGUUCUUACUAAAAUCAGUUAGUUUAAAUAAGUGCUGACAUGCGGGACCCACUGGUCAGUUUGACCUGAACGACCCCUUUGACCAUUGACGUCACCCUGAUGCACUGCUGACGCAAUAACCAAUUUCUGGAUUUAUUGUUAUAUAGGAAAUUCCAGAAAUUGUUGCAAACUUCAAAAAUUCAUAGAAAUUAAUCUGUAACUCCAAAUGCAAAGAUUUAUAUAUGAAUUUCGAUCAAAAAAAUUCAAUAUAUCCAUUGGUAAUGGUUUCAUGCAUGUCAGAACAAGUUAACCUUGUUGUUUAAUCAAAACAAGUUAAUGCACUAAUAUGACUAUGUUAAAUGAACUACCAUUUGCAUCUUUGAUUCAAAUGAGUUCAUACCUUUCUGUUCUAGCUUGCAUUAGGCCAGGACACAUUCAUGUUGCCAUGUCAUAGCAUGCAUCAUAUUGUUGCAUAUCGUCAUGUGUGGUUCAUGUUCGGUGUGUUUUCGUGAUAGGUUCUGCCUCCGAGGAUAACCCCGAAUAUCCGUCUGAAGGGCAGUAUCCUACUACCACUACAUCAGGCAAGCAACCCAUUGAUCAUUCUGAUACAAACCCAUGUUCUCGCCUCUGCUCUUGUUUACUGCAUUAAGAUAACGCGAUUCAAACUGUUGUGUGUUGUGGUAGUUGAACCCACUUCCUUUGCAUGACCUGUCAUUGCCACGGUAACUAGAUGAAACCCACUAGCAUGUGUAGGAGUUGAUUGAGCCAUAUCUGUGUUACCUACCAUGCUAUGCUUGCUAUGCUUAGAGUUGUGUCAGGUCUGGCUCAUCAGGAUGAUGAACUAGAGUGAAAGGUUGUGUCGGUAACGAGAGUGAAGUGUUGAACACGAUUUGGUAAAGGUAUCGAUGAGAGGCCAUGUAGGAGUACAUGGUGGGUUGUUUCAUUGAGGCCGUCCUUAAGCACUGAGAUCUGUGUGUGUGAUUUAAGAUUCAGCUACUACCACGCAUUGGGCCCAAAACCAAUGGACCCUCUCGACUUAUUAACCACUCUUGUCCUCAGUCCGGGAGUUGCAAGUAGUUUCUGGUGUUUGUAGCAUGCUGGGGGCCGCACGCAGCGCUGACCUUAGGGGUGGGUUGUGUUGCGGUAGGCACGUGGCACGGUGUAUCGAUUCGCCCGUUUGGUGUCUCGGGAACCCUGUUCACAUCGUUCGGGGCCGUUAGUGGAAACCUCGGCCGGACUCCCUGCGGAUGGAACCCAAAUAGGCGAUAAACCUGGACUAGGGACUCGUGUGUUUAGUCAGGCCAUGGCCGACACCCUUGCUGGGCUUCCGCUUGAAGGUUGCCGAGUACACGUCAUGUAGUGGCGAUAAGUGGUGAGAGCGUGUGUGAAGAAGUACACCCCUGCAGGGUACAAAACUAUUCGAAUAGCCGCGUCCACGGUAAAGGACUACUUGGUCACCUAUACAGUUCAUAGACAAGUAAAUGGAUACUUCUAAAAGCCUCAAGAUAAGUGUGAGUGCCGCGGAUGGCCCUGUCGUAGGUUGACGAGAGAGGAUCCACGGUGGAGUAUUGUGUUGGUGAGUAGUGGACUCGUGUGCGACAAAUGUUUUGCAAGUUGUGUCUAUCGUUGGAUAGCUUAGCCAAGAGUCAAAGCUGGCUUGCUGCAAUAACUCCACUACCUUCUUGAGAAUGUGCAUGUAUGAUAGGAUUCUGUUGUAAGACUUGCUGAGUACCUCUGUACUCAUGUUUGCUUAAUUAAUGUUUUCAGACGACAACACCAACCCCUCCGAUGGGUUCUACGUAGACCUCGACGUUGACGAGUGACUAGCCACCCAAGUGGUGAUCCAAGACUUGUGAAGGGCCGAUGUAGAUAGAAAGGCUUCAUCAAGCCCUCUUUCUUUCUAGUGUCUGUACUCAGACUAGUUGCUUCCGCAUGUGCUUGUAUGCUUGUAUGACUUGAGUGUCAGGUCAUGUGACCCCUAUCUGUAUGAACAUGUUAUGUAUGGCUCCUCGGAGCCACUUAAAUAAAGUACUUUGAGUUGUAGAGUUUUGUUGUGAUGCCAUGUUGUAUGUACUCAUAUCGGGCAUAUUGUGUGUAUGUUUGAAAUGCUUGGUAUGAGUGGGAUCCGACAAUCUAGUUGUUUAUCCUUGGCAGCCUCUCAUAUGGGGAAAUGUAGUCUAGUGCUUCUUGAGCGAUAGUAGUCCGCUACAGCCCGGUUCACCGGAGUCCUGCUAGCCCAGUACUACUGCUCUGGACACUUGACUGGCCGGCAUGUGUUUCACUUUGUUCCUGUGUCUGUCCCUUCGGGGAAAUGUCAAGCGGUGGCAUCCGGAGUCCUGCCUAGCCUGCUACAGCCCGGGUUACCGGAGUCCUGUUAGCCCAGCGUUACAUCCCGGAUGUAUACGUUGAUGACCAACAUGCUCGAUGUGAUUCAUGUAUGCAUGUCCCCAUAGGUUAGCGCCGCUUGGGUUCACGACUAGCCAUGUCGGCCCGGGUUCUCAGUCAUGUGGAUGCUAGCGACACUAUCAUAUACGUGAGCCAAAAGGCGCAAACGGUCUCGGGCCAUGGUAAGGCGCCACCCGUGGGAUUACCGUGCGUGAGGCCGCAAAGUGAUAUGAGGUGUUACCGGCUGGAUCAAUGUGACUUGGAAUCGGGGUCCUGACAAUUACUUGCUCCUAUCAUAUGUUUGGUUGCAACAAUGUCACUUCUUCACAUAUGCCAUGUCCCAUUGCUUGUCUCAUGCUUGACUUCAUUGCCUCACACAUGAUGAACAAUUGCUCUUUAUAUUGUGUUGAGUGUUACACUAUAUUCACUACAUCCUAUGCACGUUAUGUUUGGAUUGUCUUGCACUUGACCCAUGUGUUUAGACACUUCAUUUUAUUUGGUGUUGUGAAUCCUUCCUAUGCCUACCAUAGACCUUUCAUUGAGCAAUUUGUGAAUGCUUGCUAUGACCUCGAGGUAGAUGCUUAUGCUCUUGUCACACAUAUUUGCAUCUCUACCUCACAUUUACAUGCUUGUUCCCAUGAUAUUUUUGCUUGUGCUCGAUUGAUAUGCUUACAUGCCAUGUCACAAUCCUUUGUCACACCCUAUGCUAUGCUUGAUGACAACACUUGUUUGGUGAAUCACCUCUUGAAUGCUUGGUUUUGCACGAACGCAAACCACAUUUGUUUUUCCACGGGUUUGUUCUAUUUGCUCCUUUUGAAGGAAUCACAAGAUGGUGCGACACUGGAGAGUGCCCACUUCGAGCUACUAGACGAUGAGUGCUUGGUGAUCGACCACUUCGAUAUGGCACCGCCAUCUCUUUCCUAUGGUGAUUUGGUUUUCGAUCCGAGGUCGAAUCCUUCUCAAGGGGGAGGGGAUGAUGCGGAGCAUCCUAUGGACAUCACCAUGUCAAGAGUCCAUUCGGCAAGUGACACGUGCGACAUCUACUUCUCAUACAUAAAGGUGAAUCUUCUCCUUUACACGUGUUCACUUGACCCCUUCGAGGAUGGUAUACUACUUGACACUUCUCCCGUGUGCAUGCAUAGGUAUUGUCAGAGCUUUACGGAUGUCGAGGAGUGCAAGCGCCAAGGAACGACUACACCGUCCGCGAGGGAAGCAUGGAAGAGAAGGAGGAAGAGAACCUGGUGUUGGGGAACGUAGUAAUUUCAAAAUUUUCCUACGCACAUGCAAGAUCAUGGUGAUGAUAUAGCAACGAGGGGAGAGUGUUGUCUACGUACCCUCGUAGACCGAAGCGGAAGCGUUGACGCAGCGUAGAGGAAGUAGUCCUACGUCCUCCCGGUCCGACCGAUCCAAGCACCGUUACUCCGGCACCUCUGAGUUCUUGACACACGUACAGCUCGAUGACGCACCCUCGAUCUCCAAUCCAGUAGAGGCUCCAAGGGGGAGUUCCGUCAGCACGACGGCGUGGUGACUAUCUUGAUGUUCUCCUGUCGCAGGGCUUCGCCUAAGCACCGCUACAAUAUGACCGAGGUGUAAUAUCGUGGAGGGGGGCACCGCACACGGCUAAGGAACGAUCAAUGAUCAACUUGUGUGUUCUAGGGUGCCCCCUACCCCCGUAUAUAAAGGAGGGAGGGAGGAGGUGGCCGACCCAAGGAGGGGGCGCGCCAUGGGAGGAGGAAACCUACUCCAAGUAGGUUUCCCCUCUUUUUCCUUAUCUUAUUUGGAGGGGGAAGGAAGGAGUACUAGUAGUAGGAAGGAGUACUAGUAGUAGGAAAGGAAGAGGGGGAAGGAGAAAGGAAAGGGGGGGCCGGCCCCCCUCCCCAAUUCGGAUUGGGCUUGGGGGGGCGCGCCCCCCUCCCUUGCUCCUUCUCCCUUCCUCCUACAUGGGCCCAAUAAGGCCCAUAUACCUCCCGGGGGGGUUUCGGUAACCUCCCGGAGCUCCAAACUCUUCCGGAACCUUUCCGGUGUCCAAAUAUAUCCGUCCAAUAUAUCGAUCUUUAUGUAUCGACCAUUUCGAGACUCCUCGUCAUGUCCGUGAUCAUAUCCGGGACUCCGAACAAACUUCGGUACAUCAAAAUACAUAAACUCAUAAUAUAACUGUCAUCGAAACCUUAAGCGUGCGGACCCUACGGUUCGAGAACGAUGUAGACAUGACCGAGACAUGUCUCUGGUCAAUAACCAAUAGCGGGACCUGGAUGCCCAUAUUGGUUCCUACAUAUUCUACGAAGAUCUUUAUCGGUCAAACCGCAUAACAGCAUACGUUGUUCCCUUUGUCAUUGGUAUGUUACUUGUCCGAGAUUUGAUCGUCGGUAUCCAAUACCUAGUUCAAUCUCGUUACCGACAAGUCUCUUUACUCGUUCUGUAAUACUUCAUCUCAUAACUAACUCAUUAGUUAUAUGCUUGCAAGGCUUAUGUGAUGAGCAUUACCGAGAGGGCCCAGAGAUACCUCUCCGACAAUCGGAGUGACAAAACCUAAUCUCGAAUUAUGCUAACUCAACAUGUACCUUCGGAGACACCUGUAGUACUCCUUUAUAAUCACCCAGUUACGUUGUGACGUUUGGUAGUACCCAAAGUGUUCCUCCGAUAAACGGGAGUUACACAAUUCUCAUAGUUACAGGAACAUGUAUAAGUCAUGAAGGAAGCAAUAGCAGAAUACUAAACGAUCAAGUGCUAAGCUAACGGGAUGGGUCAUGUCAAUCACAUCAUUCUCCUAAUGAUGUGAUCCCAUUAAUCAAAUGACAACACAUGUCUAUGGUUAGGAAACAUAACCAUCUUUGACUAAUGAGCUAGUCAAGUAGAGGCAUACUAGUGACUAUAUGUUUGUCUAUGUAUUCACACAUGUAUCAUGUUUCCGGUUAAUACAAUUCUAGCAUGAAUAAUAAACAUUUAUCAUGAUAUGAGGAAAUAAAUAAUAACUUUAUUAUUGCCUCUAGGGCAUAUUUCCUUCAGUCUCCCACUUGCACUAGAGUCAAUAAUCUAGUUCACAUCGCCAUGUGAUUUAACACCAAUAUUCAUAUCUGUAUAUGAUUAACACCCAUAGUUCACAUCAUCAUGUGACCAACAUCCAAAGUGUUUACUAGAGUCAAUAAUCUAGUUCACAUCGCUAUGUGAUUAACACCCAAAGAGUACUAAGGUGUGAUCAUGUUUUGCUCGUGAGAGAAGCUCAGUCAACGGGUCUGUCACAUUCAGAGCCAUAUGUAUUUUGCAAAUAUUCUAUGUCUACAAUGCUCUGCACGGAGCUACUCUAGCUAAUCGCUCCCACUUUCAAUAUGUAUCCAGAUUGAGACUUAGAGUCAUCUGGAUCGGUGUGAAAACUUGCACCGAGAUAACUUUUACGACGGGCUCUUUUAUCACCUCCAUAAUCGAGAAAUAUUUCCUUAGUCCUCACUAAGGAUAUUCUUGACCAAUGUCCAGUGAUCUACUCCUAGAUCACUAUUGUACUCCCUUGUCAAAUACAGAGCAAGGUAUACAAUAGGUCUGGUACAUAGCAUGGCAUACUUUAUAGAACCUAUGACUGAGGCAUAGGGAAUGACUUUUCAUUCUCUUUCUAUUUUCUGCUGUGGUCGGGAUUUGAGUCUUACUCAAUUUCAUACCUUUGCAACACAGGCAAGAACUCUUUCUUUGACUGUUCCAUUUUGAACUACUUCAAAAUCUUGUCAAGGUAUGUACUCAUUGAAAAUCUUAUCAAGCGUCUUGAUCUAUCUCAAUAGAUCUUGAUGCUCAAUAUGUAUGUAGUUUUACUGAGGUCUUUCUUUGAAAAAACUCUUAUUCAAGUAUCCUUUAAUGCUUUGCAGAAUAAUUCUACAUUAUUUCCGAUCAGCAAUAUGUCAUUCACAUAUACUUAUCAGAAAUGCUGUAGUGCUCCCACUCACUUUCUUGUAAAUACAGGCUUCACCGCAAGUCUGUAUAAUACUAUAUGCUUUGAUCAACUUAUCAAAGCGUAUAUUCCAACUCUGAGAUGCUUGCACCAGUCCAUAGAUGGAUUGCUGGAGCUUGCACAUUUUGUUAGCACCUUUAGGAUUGACAAAACCUUCUGGUUGUAUCAUAUACAACUCUUCUUUAAUAAAUUCAUUAAGGAAUGUAGUUUUGACAUCCAUUUGCCAAAUUUCAUAAAAUGUGGCAAUUGCUAACAUGAUUCGGACAAACUUUUAAGCAUCGAUACGAGUAAGAAAAUCUCAUCGUAUUCAACACCUUGAACUUUGUCAAAAACCUUUUUUCGACAAGUCUAGCUUUGUAGAUAGUAACACUACUAUCAACGUCCGUCUUCCUCUUGAAGAUCCAUUUAUUCUUAAUGACUCACUGAUCAUCGGGCAAGUCAAUCAAAGUCUACACUUUGUUCUCAUACAUGGAUCAUAUCUCAGAUUUCAUGGCCCCAAGCCAUUUCGUGGAAUCUGGGCUCAUCAUCGCUUCCUCAUAGUUCGUAGGUUCAUCAUGGUCUAGUAACAUGACUUCCAGAACAUGAUUACCGUACCACUCUGGUGCGGAUCUUACUCUGGAAGACCUACGAGGUUUGGUAGCAACUUGAUCUGAAGUUUGAUGAUCAUCAUCAUUAACUUCCUCACUAAUUGGUGUAGGAAUCACUGGAACUGAUUUCUGUGAUGAACUACUUUCCAAUAAGGGAGAAGGUACAAUUACCUCAUCAAGUUUUACUCUCCUCCCACUCACUUCUUUCGAGAGAAACUCCUUCUCUGGAAAGGAUCCAUUUUAGCAACGAAUGUCUUGCCUUCGGAUCUGUGAUAGAAGGUGUACCCAACAAUUUCCUUUGGGUAUUCUAUGAAGACGCACUUCUCCGAUUUGGGUUCGAGCUUAUCAGGAUGAAACUUUUUCACAUAAGCAUCGCAGCCCCAAACUUUAAGAAACAACAGCUUAGGUUUACUGCUAAACCAUAGUUCAUACGGUGUCGUCUCAACGGAUUUAAAUGGUGCCCUAUUUUAAAACGUGAAUGCAGCUGUCUCUAAUGCAUAACCCCAAAACGAUAGUGGUAAAGAGACAUCAUAGAUCGCACCAUAUCAAAUAAAGUGCGGUUACGACGUUCGGACACACCAUAACGAUGUGGUGUUCCAGGUGGUGUGAGCUGUGAAACUAUUCCACAUUGUUUUAAUUGAAGACCAAACUCGUAACUCAAAUAUUUGUCUCCGCUAUCAGAUCGCAGAAACUUUAUUUUCUUGUUACGAUGAUUUUUCCACUUCACUCUGAAAUUCUUUGAACCUUUCAACUAUUUCAGACUUAUGUUUCAUCAAGUAGAUAUACCCAUAUCUGCUCAAAUCAUCUUGUGAAGGUCAGAAAAUAACGAUACUUGCCACGAGCCUCAACACUCAUUGGAUCGCAUACAUCGGUAUGUAUUAUUUCCAAUAAGUCAGUAGCUUGUUCCAUUAUUCCGGAGAACGGAGUUUUAGUCAUCUUGCCCAAAAGGCACGGUCCGCAAGCAUCAAAUGAUUCAUAACCAAGUGAUUCCGAAAAUCCAUCUUUAUGGAGUUUCUUCAUGCGCUUUACACCGAUAUGACCCAAACGGCAGUGCCACAAAUAAGUUGCACUAUCAUUAUUAACUUUGCAUCUUUUGGCUUCAAUAUUAUGAAUGUGUGUAUCACACGAUCGAGAUCCAACAAACCAUUUUCAUUGGGUGUAUAACCAUAGAAAGUUUUAUUCAUGAAAACAGAACAACAAUUAUUCUCUAACUUACAUGAAUAACCGUAUUGCAAUAAACAUGAUCAAAUCAUAUUCAUUCUCAACGCAAACACCAAAUAACACUUAUUUAGGUUUAACACUAAUCCCGGAAGUAUAGGGAGUGUGCGAUGAUGAUCAUAUCAAUCUUGGAACUAUUUCCAACACACAUCGUCACUACACUCUUAACUAGUCUCUGUUUAUUCUGCAACUCCCGUUUCGAGUUACUAAUCUUAGCAACCGAACAAGUAUCAAAUACUUAGGGGCUACUAUAAACACUAGUAUGGAACACAUCAAUAAUCUGUAUAUCAAAUAUACCCUUGUUCACUUUGCCAUCCUUCUUAUCAACCAAAUAUUCAGGGCAUUUCCGCUUCCAGUGACCAUUUCCUUUGCAGUGUAAACACUCAGUUUCAGGCUAUGGUCCAGCUUUGGGCUUGUCUUUCCACUUGAAGUUCCCUUUCUUUCCCUUUGCCCUUCUCUUGAAACUAGUGGUCUUGUCAAUCAUCAACACUUGAUGCUCUUUCUUGAUUUCUACCUUCGUCGAUUUCAACAUCACGAAGAGCUCGGGAAUCAUUUUUUCGUCAUCCCUUGCAUACUAUAGUUCAUCACGAAGUUCUAGUAACUUAGUGAUGGUGACUAGAGAAUUCUGUCAAUCACUAUCUUAUCUGGAAGAUUAACUCCCACUUGAUUCAAGCGAUUGAAGUACCCAGACAAUCUGAGCACAUGCUCACUAGUUGAGCGAUUCUCCUCCAUCUUUUAGCUAUAGAACUUGUUGGAGACUUCAUAUCUCUCAACUCGGGUAUUUGCUUGAAAUAUUAACUUCAAUUCCUGGAACAUCUCAUAUGGUCCAUGAUGUUCAAAACAUCUUUGAAGUCCCGAUUCUAAGCCGUUAAGCAUGGUGCACAAAACUAUCAAGUAGUCAUCAUAUUGAGCUAGCCAAACGUUCAUAACGUCUACAUUUGCUCCUGCAUUAGGUCUUUCACCUAGCGGUGCAUUAAGGACAUAAUUCUUCUGUGCAGCAAUGAGGAUAAACCUCAGAUCACGGAUCCAAUCCGCAUCAUUGCUACUAACAUCUUUCAACACAGUUUUCUCUAGGAACAUAUCAAAAUAAACAUAUGAAAGCAACAACGCGAGCUAUUGAUCUAUAACACAAUUUGCAAAAUACUACCAGGACUAAGUUCAUGAUAAAUUAAAGUUCAAUUAAUCAUAUUACUAAAGAACUCCCACUUAGACAGACAUCUCUCUAGUCAUCUAAGUGAUCACGUGAUCCAAAUCAACUAAACCAUGUCCGAUCAUCACGUGAGAUGGAGUAGUUUCAAUGGUGAACAUCGCUAUGUUGAUCAUAUCUACUAUAUGAUUCACGCUCGACCUUUCGGUCUCCGUGUUCCGAGGCCAUAUCUGUAUAUGCUAGGCUCGUCAAGUAUAACCUGAGUAUUCCGCAUGUGCAACUGUUUUGCACCCGUUGUAUUUGAACGUAGAGCCUAUCACACCCGAUCAUCACGUGGUGUCUCAGCACGAAGAACUUUCGCAACGGUGCAUACUCAGGGAGAACACUUCUUGAUAAUUAGUGAUAGAUCAUCUUAAAAUGCUACCGUCAAUCAAAGCAAGAUAAGAUGCAUAAAGGAUAAACAUCACAUGCAAUCAAUAUAAGUGAUAUGAUAUGGCCAUCAUCAUCUUGUGCUUGUGAUCUCCAUCUCCGAAGCACCGUCGUGAUCACCAUCGUCACCGGCGCGACACCUUGAUCUCCAUCGUAGCAUCGUUGUCGAUUACGCCAUCUAUUGCUUCUACGACUAUCGCUACCGCUUAGUGAUAAAGUAAAGCAAUUACAGGGCGUUUCCAUUUCAUACAAUAAAGUGACAACCAUAUGGCUCCUGCCAGUUGCCGAUAACUUCGGUUACAAAACAUGAUCAUCUCAUACAAUAAAAUAUAGCAUCACGUCUUGGCCAUAUCACAUCACAACAUGCCCUGCAAAAACAAGUUAGACGUCCUCUACUUUGUUGUUGCAAAUUUUACGUGGCUGCUACGGGCUUAGCAAGAACCGUUCUUACCUACGCAUCAAAACCACAACGAUAGUUUGUCAAAUAGACUCCGUUUUAACCUUCACAAGGACCGGGCGUAGCCACACUCGGUUCAACUAAAGUUGGAGAAACAGACACCCGCCAGUCACCUGUGUGCAAAGCAUGGCGGUAAAACCAGUCUCGCGUAAGCGUACGCGUAAUGUCGGUCCGGGCCGCUUCAUCCAACAAUACCGCUGAACCAAAGUAUAACAUGCUGGUAGGCAGUAUGACUUAUAUCGUCCACAACUCACUUGUGGUCUACUCGUGCAUAUAACAUCAACGAAUAAAACCUAGGCUCUGAUGCCACUGUUGGGGAACGUAGUAAUUUCAAAAUUUUCCUACGCACAUGCAAGAUCAUGGUGAUGAUAUAGCAACGAGGGGAGAGUGUUGUCUACGUACCCUCGUAGACCGAAGCGGAAGCGUUGACGCAACGUAGAGGAAGUAGUCGUACGUCCUCCCGGUUCGACCGAUCCAAGCACCGUUACUCCGGCACCUCCGAGUUCUUGACACACGUACAGCUCGAUGACGCACCCUCGAUCUCCAAUCCAGUAGAGGCUCCGAGGGGGAGUUCCGUCAGCACAACAGCGUGGUGACUAUAUUGAUGUUCUCCUGUCGCAGGGCUUCGCCUAAGCACCGCUACAAUAUGACCGAGGUGUAAUAUCGUGGAGGGGGGCACCGCACACGGCUAAGGAACGAUCAAUGAUCAACUUGUGUGUUCUAGGGUGCCCCCCUACCCCCGUAUAUAAAGGAGGGAGGGAGGAGGUGGCCGGCCCAAGGAGGGGGCGCGCCAUGGGAGGAGGAAACCUACUCCAAGUAGGUUUCCCCUCUUUUUCCUUAUCUUAUUUGGAGGGGGAAGGAAGGAGUACUAGUAGUAGGAAGGAGUACUAGUAGUAGGAAAGGAAGAGGGGGAAGGAGAAAGGAAAGGGGGGGCCGGCCCCCUCCCCAAUUCGGAUUGGGCUUGGGGGGGCGCGCCCCCCUCCCUUGCUCCUUCUCCCUUCCUCCUACAUGGGCCCAAUAAGGCCCAUAUACCUCCCGGGGGGUUCCGGUAACCUCCCGAAGCUCCAAACUCUUCCGGAACCUUUCCGGUGUCCAAAUAUAUCCGUCCAAUAUAUCAAUCUUUAUGUCUCGACCAUUUCGAGACUCCUCGUCAUGUCCGUGAUCACAUCCGGGACUCCGAACAAACUUUGGUACAUCAAAAUACAUAAACUCAUAAUAUAACUAUCAUCGAAAACUUAAGCGUGCGGACCCUACGGUUCGAGAACGAUGUAGACAUGACCGAGACAUGUCUCUGGUCAAUAACCAAUAGUGGGACCUGGAUGCCCAUAUUGGUUCCUACAUAUUCUACGAAGAUCUUUAUCGGUCAAACCGCAUAACAGCAUACGUUGUUCCCUUUGUCAUCGGUAUGUUACUUGUCCGAGAUUUGAUCGUCGGUAUCCAAUACCUAGUUCAAUCUCGUUACCGACAAGUCUCUUUACUCAUUCUGUAAUACUUCAUCUCAUAACUAACUCAUUAGUUAUAUGCUUGCAAGGCUUAUGUGAUGAGCAUUACCGAGAGGGCCCAGAGAUACCCCUCCGACAAUCGGAGUGACAAAACCUAAUCUCGAAUUAUGCUAACUCAACAUGUACCUUCGGAGACACCUGUAGUACUCCUUGAUAAUCACCCAGUUACGUUGUGACGUUUGGUAGUACCCAAAGUGUUCCUCCGGUAAACGGGAGUUACACAAUUCUCAUAGUUACAGGAACAUGUAUAAGUCAUGAAGGAAGCAAUAGCAGAAUACUAAACGAUCAAGUGCUAAGCUAACGGGAUGGGUCAUGUCAAUCACAUCAUUCUCCUAAUGAUGUGAUCCCAUUAAUCAAAUGACAACACAUGUCUAUGGUUAGGAAACAUAAUCAUCUUUGACUAAUGAGCUAGUCAAGUAGAGGCAUACUAGUGACUAUAUGUUUGUCUAUGUAUUCACACAUGUAUCAUGUUUCCGGUUAAUACAAUUCUAGCAUGAAUAAUAAACAUUUAUCAUGAUAUGAGGAAAUAAAUAAUAACUUUAUUAUUGCCUCUAGGGCAUAUUUCCUUCACCUGGCCGCUCCAGAACGAGCGGUACUACCGCCCACUCCAAGCGGUACUACCGCUGAGGCCACCCAAGAGGCACUACCGCCCAGCAUCCGCCCUACUACCGCUCAACCCGACAAACUCCAGUGAUCGAGCGGUAUAAGCCCGGUACUACCGCCCCUCCAAGCGGUACUACCGCUCAAGCGGUACUACCACCCAUGAGUCCGGUACUACCGCCCUGCUUGUGAGCAGCCGCGGGCCUUUGGCCUUGUAUCCCUCUCCCACUUACCCCUUCGUGGCUUAGACUAUAAAUAGACCACCUCCACCUCCUUUCUAGGGUUAGAACAGAUUGAGCUUAUUUUGAGAUAGAGCUUUACUCAUCCAUACGGAUCUACUCCUCGUGAGAGACUGCGGCCUCUUCGGAGAAGAUCGAUCUUGGAUUCAAGACCCCUCGUGGGAAGAUCCGUCUAGGAUCAUCAAGACCUCCUCUUGGAGAUGAACCUUACCUUGUAUCUUUCCCUUUGUUGUUCAUGUACCCUUGUGGAUCUUGUGUGUUUGAUUGUCUAGUGGAUGUGUGAUUGGACUUGUUCUUGAGUGUUUCCCCUUGUGAUUUCUCUCCGUUCUUCCCUGUGUUCUUCGUGUUCUUCGUGGGGAUCCACUCCAAACGUGAAAAAUCGGCCUCUAGGGUUCUACCCUACAUCAUCAUCCUUCAAAAAUAUGGAGGGCCAUUAUUGACGGAAGGGAUAUUAUAUGGCGCAAGGUAUAAUCAGACGCAUCGGGGAUGGAGCGACUACACACAUAUGGGAUCACAACUGGAUUAUGAUGGAAAGCUAUAAGAGGCCAAUAACUAAGUUAGUGCAGAACCCCCCUCAGAAACAUUUUAUGUAUACACGUUAACAUUUCCCAGAUAUAUGAUUAAUAUUUUUGGAAAACUUCUAUUUUUUAUGUGUACUUUUUUAUACAUUUUGUAAUAUCAGAAAUAGUUUUUAUAGAAGGUUUAACAUUUUUCAAAUACAUGAUUACCUUUUUGUAAACUUAUAUUGUUUGACGUUUACUUUUUUUCAUAGACAUAGUGAGGGGUUAUAUCUAAGGAAUAGGCCCAAGUACAUGUAUGGCACAACCAAAUGCCCAUGUUAAUCAAGGAUGUUCCACAAGACAAAUGGGGAAACACACCAAGGCCAAUGGAGCUACAAGGCCAAGGCAUCGGAUACAAGGGGAGAGUCAACUAUGUACAGUCGGAUUACACAGCCCUUAACAGACAAGACUCAUCAGUUGGUCCACUAUUGGAAUCAGGUCAUUUGCCGUCAGCCCAGAAUAGACGCGAAGACUUUGCCGUGAGCAAGUUGACGACAAACACAAUCAGCAAAGACUAUAUCGGCAGAGAGCUAAUUUGACGUCAACUUUUCAUCGCGCUGAUGACAAAGACUUUGCCGUCAAUUAAACUAUGUGUUUGUAGUCUGUAGAGAAAACACAAACGGCAAAGAAAUUAAAAAAAUGGUCAUUUUAAAAUAAUUUUUAGAAAUCUAUAUACUGUUUUUUAAAAUGUUUAAUAUGUACCAAGAAUUAUUUCGUAAGUAUACAAAAGAUGUAUAACGUGUAUGAAAAUUACGUAGACAUCAGAACAUAUUAUAGAAAUGUUAAUCUUGUAUUUAAAAAUUUUAAAUACACAUGCAUAAAAAUGUUUUUGAUGUACAUAAAAAAAUUGUACAUAGUGUGUGAACAAAGUAUGCAUUGAAAAAACAAAAAUCUUGUUGGAAAAAAAUCUCGUGUUGUAUACGAAAAUGUAAAAGGUGUAUGAAAAUAAUUAGAUAUAUGUUUAAUGAAAAAAGGAAAGAAGGCGCAAAAAAUCCGAUUAACACCAAGAUAGGAACAAGAAAACCUGAAGAAGACCAUUGAAAAAAAGAAAUGAAUACAAGAAAGAGGAAGAAAAACAAAAAAAAUGAAGAAGCUGAUGCAGAACAGGGAACUUAGUGAAAACGAAUAAAAAUUGAUGAAAACCGAGAAGAAAAACAAGAAAACUGAAGCAAAAAUUAAGAAAAAUAUGUAAAAAAAAUGAUGAAACAUUGCGAAACAGUGAAAUACUAUGAAAACCAAAGGAAAAAAAGACUCAAAAAUAAGAACGUACAGCAAGCGAAUGAACAACAACUGAGUGAACGAGCGAACAUGCGAGAAUACGUUAAUUGUCUGGCCCAUACUUGUGGAUUCCAGAGGCGAGCCAGAAUAGGCGAGAUAUAGCUAUGACGAUUUGAUACCCUUCAUAGCUUCACGAAUGCUAUAUCUCGCUCACAGCGAAAGUAUUUUUUGUCUGGCCUGAAGGUGAAAGAAUAGCAUCAGGUCGCUGUAAGUUUUGUGAUCCUACAAUCAGAGCUCGAUAAGAUUAAAAUUCAUGUUUCUGACAACCAGUCAUUCGCUCACUCAAUUCCACGUACUAGUUUGGUUAGGUUUUUUUUUCAUUUUUUUCUGUUUUUUAUUUCUUCACUGGCUUUCUUUGGUUUUUUUAUCGGUUUUCUUUGUUUCCUUCACGUUUUACUCUUUCUUUUCCUUUUUACUGGUUUAUCUAUUCCUUUUUUCUUUGUUUCUUUCUUGGUUUUCUUUGUUUUUUCUUUCUUUUGAUGUCAACCUUUUUACAUACACAUUCAACAAUUUUCGUAUACAUCAGAAACAUUUUAUGUAUACACGUUAACAAUUCCCAGGUACAUGAUUAAUAUUUUUGGAAAACUUCUAUUUUUUAUGUGUACUUUUUGAUACAUUUUGUAUAUAUCAGAAAUAUUUUUUAUAGAAGGUUUAACAUUUUUUAAAUACAUGAUUACCUUUUUGUAAACUUAUAUUGUUUGACGUUUACUUUUUUUCAUAGACAUAGUGAGGGGUUAUAUCUAAGGAAUAGGCCCAAGUACAUAUAUGGCCCAAGUACAUUUAAUCAAGGAUGUAGUCCACAAGACAAAUGGGGAAACAGACGGGGGCCAAUGGAGCUACAAGGCCAAAGCAUCGGAUACAAGGGGAGAAUCUACAGUCGGAUUACACAACCCUUGACAGACAAGACUCAUUAGUUGGUCCGCUAUAGGAAUCGGGUAAUUUGCCGUCAGCCGAGAACAUACUCAAAGACUUUGCCGUCAGCAAGUUGAUGACAACUUUUCAUCACGUUGAUGACAAAGACUUUGCCGUCAAUUAAACUAUGUGUUUAUCGUCUAUAGAAAAAACACAAACGGCAAAGGAAAGCACCUUUGCCAUCAGCGGCUAAUCUGCAUGUGUCUUCAACAAGACUCGUCUUGUCACUAGCCUCAAACAUCACAGAUGGAAAAGAAAUUUUUUAUUUUAAAAAAUCUGCGUCGACCACCCUACUUCGCACAUGUAGCCACCGCCUGGCCGCGCUCGCUGAUCACCCACAAGUGUAGGGGAUCUAUCGUAGUCCUUUCGAUAAGUAAGAGUGUCGAACCGAACGAGGAGUAGAAGGAAAUGACAAGCGGUUUUUAGUAAGGUAUUCUCUGCAAGCACUGAAAUUAUCGGUAACAGAUAGUUUUGUGAUAAGGUAAUUCGUAACGGGUAACAAGUAACAACAGUAAAUAAAGUGCAGCAAGGUGGCACAAUCCUUUUUGUAGCAAACGACAAGCCUGGACAAAUUCUUAUAUGAAGGAAAACGCUCCCGAGGACACAUGGGAAUUAUCGUCAAGCUAGUUUUCAUCACGCUCAUAUGAUUCACGUUCAUUACUUUGAUAAUUUAAUAUGUGGAUGGACCGGUGCUUGGAUACUGCUCUUUCUUGGAUAAGCAUCCCACUUAUGAUUAACCCCUAUUGCAAGCAUCCGCAACUCAAAAGAAAUAUUAAGGUAAACCUAAUCAUAGCAUGAAACAUUGACACGGCACAUUAUAAAGAGUUCAACCCAAAUUUUGUAGUAACACUAUUAUAUUUAAAUAGUGAUUAUUCCAACACAUGGAUAAUUAAUUAAGGCACCAGGUUGCGCUUGUGACCAGGAAAGACAAACUUAUGAACUUGCAAGCAUGACAAUCAGAUCGACAUCCACACAAUGUCAAUAUGAACAUUGUCUUGAUACAACUUUAUUUGUAUUUUAUUUCAGAAUUUAAACAACUAGUUUGGGCGGGUCACACACGACGUUGUGUGACACUUUAUUUGUCACCGCUGCAUCGACAUAUCCAUCGACUAAACAACGGUGAUCCAACUAUAUAUUACUAGAGACCUUUCCUUAUCAGUAGGCACCAACUCCAGUGCCAACGCCAAAUGGCACACUAGUGGUGGUCCUAUACAACGGCACAUUGACACGGCACAUCAUUGGCAGGGUACGGAGCGCAAUGGAAGUCAUCACCUCAAGCUGAGCUAUCUGGUGUGGCUGCAAAAAGGUACCCUGUGCCAAUUGUUGUUGUUGAGGUUGUUGCCCGAGUUGCUGCUGUGACUGCUGUUGGGGUUGGGAAACGCAUUGGCCCAACUGUUGCGGUUGCUGCUGCUGAGUUUGGAUGGAACCCCGAACCUGUUGUUGUUCUUGCAGGACGAUGGAGUAGAUGAUAGCACGGAUUGCCUCAUAGCGGGAUUGCUGGGGGAUUUGCGGCAACUGCUGGCAACAUUGUUGUUGCAUCACAUGGCAACUACUCUGCUGCAACAUUUGCGACCUAGCAAGACUUUGUGGCAUUGCCACAGGGCUGCAUUGCUGCUGGAGGAAUACCUUGCAUGGGUUCAGCUGCUGCAAG